GAAAUGAAAAGAAUACUAUAACUAAUAAAUCUAUAAAUCUCAUUUCCAUGAUGACAUUAUAGCAGUGGGUUACCAACCCCAAUUGAAUUAUAUAUAUAUAUUUACUCGAAAAUUAGGUUAGAGGGUAAACUGAUUACACAAAUUCUAUAGAAAAAUGGCCAAAAAGGCUGCCUUUUGCCUCUGUAUAUGUGAGCUAACUUUUAACUAGUAUUCUCUUCCAGAUAAUUCAUCCAUAUACAACUCUGCAAAUCACAAGAAUCCUUCACGAAAUGGCCGCCAAUCCAAUAGAUUUCCCCUCUUCAGUUUCUGUUUUCUGGUCUUGCUGAAAAGAGAAUGCAACAGACUAGUAAGUAGACUACAUUUGAAGAAUUGCAGAUUCGCUUGAAUUGAAAAUAAAAAUUAAGGCAUUUAUUAAAAUGGCUUCUAGAACAGCUUAAGGGGUAGUAUGGGCAGAUUAGUAAAAGGAUGGAAGAGAAAUUAUGCAAGAAUGCUUACUUGAAACAUUUGUGAUAACAUUAACACUUUUCUGAGCAGCAAGAGCUUUCAACUUGUUCCCACUACCUAGUACAAGCAAGCUCCUCAUAUGUUGCUUUUGUUCCCUAGGACUAGCUGUCUUUGUUGUUUGGAUAUUCUCACUUCCUAUCUUUUGAAAAAGGGAAAAAAGAAAACUUGCUUAGCGACGCUUAAUUACUGCUGUUAAUAUUCUGGCCAUUUAACAAACUUAUGCCCAUCGUUUGGAAAACCAAAAAAAUACAAUUAUUUUUCCAAGAAUAUAAGCAUGAAGAAAACUGAAACUAAGAAUGAAAUCUGAGAGGUUCAAAAGGCAUAUAUAUGAAUUAAAAUGAAGUUGAUUAUAAUAAGGGCUAAUAUCAUCAUUUGCAAAGCAAAAAAACCAAAAUAAGAAGCUAGUUUAGAGUUUCUUAUCAGCUAGCUCUAAAGAAAGACAAGUGCAGCAAAUUAAAGAUGGUUUUUUAAACCUCUCUAAUCUUAAACAUAAGUAGAUGAGGUGCCAAAUGCAUGGAUGGAUCCAGUACCGUAAGUAACAAGGCAGCUUCUUCUAAUUAAGCAUAUCGUCCCGUCUGGUUAUUUCCGUUUGCCAGAACGCAACCUCACCCAUGAUCACAUAAUUAUCCACCAACAAAACAAUCGUUGCCAAGGUCAUAAUCAAGCCAUCAUCAGACAGCCCGUGCUCUCCACGGACGGCAGCAGCUAUAACCUCGUGAUAAAUCCAUAACAUUUUCCAUCCAGAAACGAUGUGCGGGACCCAAAUCUGCACUACGAAAAGCACCACGAAAGAAGUUGAGCAACAAAGGUACGUAAAUCGAGAGAAGAAAAUAAUACACAUUGAUGCUUAAAGAGAGCAGAACGCCGGCCCGCCUGCUUUGUGUGCAGACAUGAGAUAAAGCUACUGCGUAUUGUUCCCAGUAAAAGAUCGAAGAAGCUGAUUCGAUUCUGAUGCUGAAUCCCCAGACCAAGACUAAGGUUGGAGCAAGGGUUGCUAUGCCUGCAUAUUCAGAGCCCAACACCUCCGCGAACAACAUCAUCCAGCUGUUUAAGUUUGUGAUGAGCAUCAUUGUUAACAAAGAUGACAUGUCGGGAAGAAGCUCAUGAUUGUGGGUUGGCCAAAUGGGCAUUUUCCCUUUUUCUAAAAUAUUUUUUUCCUCGGUACUGUAUGUAACUUGUCUGUUUGGCUUCUGGGAAAAUAAAUAUGAGAGGAGAAAGCGAUUGGAGAAAAUUUAGCUGAAUUACACGAUGAGGAUUGGAAUUGAGGGAGUCCAAACCAUGUGCUUCUACUCUGUUAGUGCACAAAAUGGGAAAUGGCAGAGAACUCAAAUUAAAGCUUCACAAAAUGGGAAACACCUAUCUAAUAUAAAGUGUUGGGUGGAAGUGACAAAUUAAGGAAUUUUGAAGGUCAUAGUCAAUUUAUAGACUUCAUUAAUUCCAAUAUCUUAUUAAUUUCUGACAUUGAAAAUUAACAUAUCGUAGACUUGUUGAGCUGUACAAAACUCGUUACUCAUUCCAGUCACUUUAUUUCUCAAAUUUAUGAUCUUUCAAAAAUCUUCUCAACUCCCACUGUUAUUGCCGGUUUUUCUGUUGAUCAAUUAAAAUUCAUUUCUUCUGUUUGAAUGCAGGCACAUUUAUUUUUCAUCAAUUUUUUUUAUUUACGCAUAUCUACAUUUUGAGUAAUUGUAAAAAAUUAUGUAUGGGAAUUAAGAAUUAUUGUUAUGUUAUUAACCAAACUCUCAAGAUUUAAAAUGCAGUGGAAAGUUUUGUAUGUUUCAAUAUUAUUUUUUUCAAUAUUUUUUGGAGAAACAAUUGUUCAAAAAAAGUAAAGUCAAAAAGCGAGAAACUUUUGCCAAAAAUUGAAAAUAAGACUUGUACUCCAAGUUAUUGCUAUACGCCCACACAUAACAUAUAUCUCUAGAAUAAAAUGAUGAAUGAGUAUGUAGAAGAUGAAAAAUUCAAGAACAGACCAAUAAGUCUAAAAGAAGAAAUAUUAAUUAGAUGUGAAGAUGAUCGGUAUGAACUUAACGUGUUAUUGGAUUGUUUGAAAUCUUGUAUUGUGAAGAUGGAUACAAUAUUGAAGCUAAUCAUGACAAUGAGUGAACAUGAUAAAAUAAUCAGCGUUCAAAACCAUUUGAGCAUUUUACAAUUUAAAUGCAUAGAGAAAUUGUAAGAUGGAUGGAGUGAUGAUGCCACAGAGGCAUUGAUUAAUCAAUUAAGGUUACUUGAUUUUAACCUAAAAAGACUUACUUGCCUUUUGAACUUUGUAACAGGCUAAUAUUUAUAUUUAAUUUUCUCCAUUAUUUUAGUAGUAUGUUUGUCUAUAUUGUUUAUCAUGAAUAUGGAUUUUAAAAUUUUAAGAACCUUGCUUUUAUAAUUAAAAAAAAAAGAGAAAAUAAAGAAAACAACGAACAACAGAAAUAGAUAACGAAUACAUAUUCUUUAAAAAAUUUUAAAUAAUUUAUAUCUAAAAAAAUAAUUAUGGGUAAUAUGAAAACAACGAACAACAGAAAUAGAUAACCACAUGCUUGUGUGGUAUUCACAAUACUGGCUUUUCCUUUGCCCGUGAGCAUCAGAGAUUCGAGUGAACAAGUUCACAAUUCACCUAAUUUGCCGAAUUUGAACCUGGUCAGAAUUAUGGGUAAUAUGAAAACGCUAAGAUUGUGUGCAGAAGAAUCACCGCAAAGUCUCCCUCCCUUUGUCCCCAUAUAUACCUUUCUAAGAUCUCUAUAUAACUAUACAAAUUUUGGACGUGUGGAAUUAGCAAAAGGAUCAGGUAAUAGAAGUUAUCAUGUAAAUGUAAAUAUGUGAAUGAAUUUGAGUGGUCAAUGUCGGUGUCAUAAUUCAUUAGGAAUCAACCUUUGGAGCCAACGGAGUUAUUCUCAGAUAUUUCAGUGUGGAUGGUACAAAUUGAAAUAGGUGUGGCCCAGUUAUUGAGAUUAUAGUCUGGUGCCGCUUGUGCAACAUAGUAAGAUCAUUUGGUUUUCAUCCCUGAAGAAAUUUUGGAAAUGAAAGGCUUGAUCCAUUCAAAGGUAUAAAUUAAAACUUGAAUUUGCAUAUGGCCAAUCACCUACGCGGGUACAUCAUCAUUUUCUGCUCCCCGCGCAUAUCGCCCAAAGUUGCAUCCAUUUUCACUGUGAACAGCUUUAACAAAGCAAGCAUGACACUGAACACAUGAUGCAAUUCUUAGCAUGCAAGAAGGCUGGUGGUUAUUAGAAUCAAUAAAGGUGUUUGGCAAAAGAGAAAGUGAAAGAAAACUUUAACUAAGAAAAUUCUUAUUGAUUAAAAUAUGGAAUUAUUCAUUAUGAUUGUGUUAACAACUAUUUAUAGUUACACUAAAAACUGAUUACAAAAGCAGAGCUCAAAGCUGCAACGUUAACGAACUAAUCAGCCUUCCAAUCAUAACGUGCCAGCUGGAUAAAUCGUUACAACUUAAUCAAAACCAAAUAACCACCCAAUCCAGCUCAGCAGCUCAGCACGUCAUCAGCCAGCUCAGCAGCUUUAGCUUAUACACUUAACAUCCCCCCUCAAGCUCAACCUGGUGUAGUCAGGGUGAGCUUGUCUUUCAGAUAAUGAAAAGGGUGAUAAGCUAAAGCUUUUGUAAGGAUAUCAGCUGAGUUAUGGGAACUGGGAACAUAACUAACUUGGAAGCUCUUAUUAGCAAUCUUUUCUAGCAAGAAAUGAACAUCAAGUUCUAUGUGUUUAGUUCGGGAGUGGAAUUUGGGAUUGCUUGCUAAGGCAGCAGCACUUUGGUUAUCACACCAAAUGACAAGAGUAGAGACAAGAGAAAUACCAAUUUCAGUCAGCAAGGACUUAAGCCACAAAACUUCAGAUGUAGCAAUUGCUAGAGCUCGAUACUCUGACUUAGUGCUAGACCUGGACACUACUCCUUGUUUCUUUGAACACCAAGAAAUCAUAUUAGGACCAAAGUAAACAUAAUAUUCAACAAUUGAUUUUCGAUCAUCUCUAUCAGCUGCCCAGUCUGCAUCACUGAAACAAUCUAUGUGUAAGGGACCUUGAUUAGAAUACUUUAAUACCAUAUGCAAUGUACCCUUUAGAUAUCUAAGAAUCCUUUUGCAUGCUUGCUAGUGAUUAUUUGUUGGUGCAGCUAGAAAUUGGCUGAGUUUGUUGAUUGGAAAUGCUAUCUCAGGUCUGGUCAAGGUAGCAUACUGAAGAUCUCCAAUUGUGCUUCUAUACAAAGUUGCAUCAACAAAGAAUUCAUUGUCAGUUUUGGUAAGUGGAACAUUGGCAGCCAUUGGACCUGUGUUUACACUUAUAAGUUACAUGGCCUGAAAUGAAAUAGAUUUGACACACAUCUUUUCCAGGACCAGUACUACUGUUCUGACUGUUAUCAUAAGCACUAAAAGUACCAGCACCUACAUUUUUUUGAUUAUAUCCAGAUCUAUUAUAACCUUGGCCAUUCUGAGCAAAAUUUGUUGUCAUAUCAUGCAGAGAUUCAUUAUGAGAUUUUCCUUUGCUCAUUUCCAACCUAGUUUCAUGACUAAGCAUCAUAGAAUACACCUCUUCAACAAUGAGUUUCUCUUUUUCCAGUCUAGUAAGUAUAUUUGUAACUAAAGACUCAUAGUUAUCAUCUAAUCCAGUAAGCAAGUGCAUAAUCAAUUCAUUUAAAGUAACUGAAUUACCUCUAAUGGCCAAACUAUCAGUAAUUUUCUUCAUCUUAUUAAAAUAAUCACUUACUGAGAGUGAUAUUUUCUUUGUUGAUUGAAGUUGCAUCUUCAAAGGCAGAUACCUCGCUUUAGAUUGUGACAUGAAGAUUUCGGCAAGUAUCUCCCAAAGCUCAAGUGAUGUUUCACAGUUGAUCACCAUGAUUAACACGUUAUCCACCAUUGACGAUAGCAUCCAGCUCUGCAGAAGCUUAUUGGUUUUCAUCCAUAAAGCAUAAUCUGGAUUUUUUUGUUUCUGUGAAGCUUCAGCUCUAGAUCUUCCAAGUUCUUGAGUUGAUUCAGUGAGAUAACGUUCUGGACACACAUUCUCACCAUUGAUAAAGCUUUCAAGUCCAUUAGCAAUGAUUGAUGUUCUAACUUGAGCCUUCCACACUAGAUAGUUUGAUAUGUCGAGCUUUACAGGUUGAACAAAGUGAAAUAAGAGUGAGGAGGAAGCUAUAUGAUUGGAUCCAGACAUAAGUGUUUGCUCUGAUACCAUAUUAGAAUCAAUAAAGGUGUUUGGCAAAAGAGAAAGUGAAAGAAAACUUUAACUGAGAAAACUCUUAUUGAUUAAAAUCUGGAAUUAUUCAUUAUGAUUGUGUUAACCACUAUUUAUAGUUACAUUGAAAACUGAUUACAAAAGCAAAGCUCAAAGCUGCAACGUUAACGAACUAAUCAGCCUUCCAAUCAUAACGUGCCAGCUGGAUAAAUCGUUACAACUUAAUCAAAACCAAAAAACCACCCAAGCCAGCUCAGCAGCUCAGCACGUCAUCAGCCAGCUCAGCAGCUUCAGCUUAUACACUUAACAGUGGUGCUGUUAACAUACAAGAGUUCCUUUAAACACUUCACUAGCUAAACCCCACCCCCCCCCCCCCCCUCCUGCCCCCGCGCCCGGGGGAGCCCAAAAAUGCUUGAGGGAAAUCCUACCAGGCCUUAACAUGGUUUCACCACUGUCAAAACCUGAAAUUUUGCAUAUGAUUGGAGUUUUUUUUUUUUUUCCUUUUUCAUAGAUAAUUUUUUUGAAUUCUUUGCUGCAUAAAUCCAAUUCAGUUUCUUUUAUUUCACCGGUGAAAUAUAAUAAAACAUAAGGCAAAAUAAAAUGUGUAUUCAGACUAGUUAACCAUGUACAAUCUUUCAAUAACCAAUAGUUCAUGCAGUGUAGAAGGAGAACAAAUGUUUGUAUUGGAUAAUCAAGAGCUGCUGCUGGACCUACCGUAAGUAAUAAUUUCUUGUAGUUUUAUCAUUGCCAGGACUUCAAAAUCUAAACUUCAAAACCUUAAACACGCUUUGCUUUUAUCUUCAACGGAGUGAAUGAACUGGAAUUGAUGGUCAAGUCAACGAGGUGUCACAUUUGAAAGAGUAACCUCAUUAACAGAGCAAACUUCGGCACCCGAUGAGAAUUGACCUGGCCUUGCAACAUUUCGGCCUACAGAAAAUGCAGGUUCGGUUGGUUGAGGAAGUGUUACAGUAUCGCUUGCUAACAUAACAACCACAGAAGACAUGGUAGGUCUGUCUGCUGAGUCUGCUUGAACACAUAAUAAUCCAAUAUGGAUAAAUUUCAAAAGUUCAGCAGCAACGCAUGACUGCUUGAGUACUGGGUCCAUCAGCUCCAAUGCUUCUCCUUCACACCAUAGCUUCCAUGUCUAUAAUAUUGUUAUACAGGUCAUAAACAAAGGUGAGACUCAAAAUCAUUGGAUAUUAUUCUUCAGAAAGAAAGAUAGAAAGUCACUUACAUAAGAAAGGAGGCUUUGACCAAGUUCAGAUAGAUAAAACCCAGUGUUCUUUUUCCCACUGAUGAUUUCUAGCAGUAGAACGCCAAAACUGAAAACAUCUGAUUUUACGGAAAAUAAUCCUUCCAUAGCAUACUCUGGGGCCAUGUAUCCACUGUUUGAAAACAGAACAACAUAAGAUCAAAUGCCAUAGAAAAGCUAAUGACCUAUGUGACCUCCGUAUUUUGAAUCUGGUGACAUGAUCAUGAGGUCACAUAUUCAAACCAAAUGCAAUAGAAUACUGUUAGCAAAUUAAUUAUUGGAAACAGAGAAAACAGAGAGAGAUGGGAAUGGAAUGCACUUACUAUGUUCCAACAAUUCUAUUGGUAUUAGCUUCACUUUGGUUUCCACCAAAUAUCCUAGCCAUCCCAAAGUCUGAUAUCUUCGGGUUCAUCUCAUGAUUGAGUAAAACAUUACUAGCUUUGAGAUCACGAUGAAUAAUUUUGAGUCGAGAGUCCUCAUGUAAAUACAAAAGACCCCGAGCAAUUCCAUUAAUGAUGCUUAUGCGUCGUUUCCAGUCCAGUUGUACACUCCUCGUUGAAUCUGAUAAUGAAUUAGACAGCAUUUAACCUGAUUAGCUACUUUGUCAUCUACUCUUCUAUGGAAAGGAAGCGGGGAAAAUAAUAGGAAAUGGAAAGACUUGGCUACAAUUGCCAUAGUGCCUAGUAGGGGGCAUAUAAUGUGCAAACCAUAUAACAGGGCCACUUCAAUUAUACAAGCUGGAAUUAAACAAAACAACCACAGGUUCUAUUUGCACAACUUAACAACUAGCAAUUAAGGAAAUAGAAAGUCUGAGAAACAAACCAAAGAGGAAGACAUCAAGGCUUUUAUUGGGCAUGUACUCAUAUAUAAGCAGUGAUUCAUUUUCCUCUAAGCAGCAGCCGAACAGCCUCACAAGAUUUUUAUGUUGCAAUUUGGCGAUUAGAGUAACUUCAUUCUUGAACUCUUGUAGGCCUUGCCCAGAUGUUCUUGAGAGCCUCUUCACUGCUAUUUCCUUGCCAUCUGCUAAUUUACCCUGCAAGCAACUUUCCAUUUAUUGUUACCGUGAAAGUUUUGUAUGCGUACGGAAAACGCAAGUUUCCGCUGACAUGAACUCAUUUCCAAAUACUGCAUUCGGUGAAUACUUAUGUAUAUUUAAACAAGCGUACAGUAAAAGUGGAUUGGUAUGAUUAAUAGUUGUUUUUUUAGGCAACUGUACUAAAGUGUUUAGUAAAUUAUUACUUGGAAACUAAGUUAAUUUAUACUAAAGUGUUUAGUAAAUUAUUACUUGGAAACUAAGUUAAUUUAUACUAAAGUGUUUAGUAAAUUAUUGCUUAGAAACUAAGUUAAUUUAAUCUCACAUUUGUAUGAUGAAAAAAUUAUAAUUUUUUUUUAUAAUUUUUGUCAAAAUUAUCAUUUAAAAAUCAUAUGUACUUUUCAAAAAUUUUAUUUUAUAAUUAUAAUUUUUUUUCUUUUUACAGUAAUUAUAACUUAAAUAAUAUAAUACCUUGAUAUGAAAUACGACCUUAAGCAUCCCUUUAUAAUUACCUUGUAAACAGCCCCAAAUCCGCCUUCUCCAAGCUUAUUUUCAUCAGAGAAAUGCUGCGUAGCUUCAACUGCGAGAUGUAACGGAAACAAAGGGAACUCUUGAGAUUCUUCCUGCUUCUGUCCUCGUAAAGCAUCAUACGUAUAGUCGUUGCCAAGUCUACCGUCUGCUAGAUGAAGCAGCCCUGUCUCUUGACUAUUUGCUUUCUCCUCUGCAAAACAACGGAUUAAUUAACUUCGUAAACUAUGAAUUAGAACAAGGGAGUGGUCGAGUUACCUUUGACCCUUUCCUUUCUUCUCUUUAUACACCGAAGUAAAAAACUAAAUAGCACAAGUACUAUAAUUGAUGAUACAGUGGCGCCGAUUGCAAUCCGUGUUCUGCUUUCCCUCGUUUUCUUCUUUCCCGAAUCUAACAUAUAGCCAAGUUAAAGAAUCUCUGAGGAAAACUCUUUCUACAUCUUAUGUUAUGUUUAAUUUAUAUAGAAUUAAGGAACCUGAGAUUUACGAACUCACCGUCGGAGCUACCAUUCUUCUUAUUAGGUGGAUAGAUGGGAGCCGUAGGGUCCUCAAAGAAAGGGUACAUCUCGUAUCUUAUGACACAACUUAGCGAAAGGGCUCUAACACCUUGCCUUCCGUAGCAGCAGGAUGAAAGUCGAGAAACAGUAGCGCGCAGGCAAAUAUUGCAGUCUGAUUUAGACAGAUAUGGUAUGCACUGCACUAGAGUCCAAAUUCUGUCAAUGCUAGAGACGUUAACUAUUUGGGCUGCAGCUGCAUAUUUUGAGUUAGAAUCCCUUGAGGUUACAUUUUGAAUUAGAUCACUGAAGGACUGAGCCAAAAUAUUAGAGAACUUAUAAGGGUCAGUAACGUUCAUUAUAUUCCGUAGGUAUACAGUUUCCGAUGUAUUUAGCGAAAAGGGAAAAGAAUUGUUAGAGAAGCGCACCAUACACUGAUCAUACCAUACAAUAGCCACCUUGGCGCCAGUACAAUUUUUCGCAAUGGUAUCGAAUGCAACUUGUAUGCAGUCUUGGCAUGCCUCAUAAGAAACGUCGAAUUUACAAUUGUAAAUACCAUAAACUUUGUCUGGGUAAUCCCCUUCAGUUGUCUCGUUGUAGAGAGAACGGCCACCUUCAUUGUAGAGCUUUUCCUUGAGUGUCGCAAGGUUAUACAUGAAUAUGUCGCCCGAAGCAGUAUUGUUUUCUCGUGGGCAGGCAUGGUAGAGAUAAUUAUUGGAGUCAAGUUUAGCCGCCUCUGACGAACUUUGUAACAGAACUAAAGAUAGAAAUGAAAAAAGGUGAAGCAGGUUAACUGUGCUUCUAGUUCUCGGGCCAAAUAAUACGAGCAGAAUCGGCAUCUUCCCCUUGCUCUUCAAUUCUGAAAAUUUUGAGUUCCAAUGUCAAGAGGCUGAAUUAAGGCACAAGCAUCCAACUAGAAGUAAACAGGAUUAAUGAUGAAUACAAGACGAGUUAACAUAUUAGAAAAGUCGUGGGUCACAUUUGAUGGUAAAAUUUCUUAUGUUGAAAAAUAAGAGAUUUUAGGUUCGAAUCCCAUUCACAUAACUUGUAUUGGGAUUGGAUUUUCAUUAAGCUAAAUAACCAAAGACCAAUGAAAUUGAAAAGUCAAACAAAAGACCAUUGGUGAAGUCUAAGAAACCAAGGAAGUCUGUACAACACGGAUCAUUGAUAGUUUCCUGGCAUCCUCGUAUUGGAGAUUAAGAACAGGAGGUGUUUUUUUUAAAAAAAAAAAACUUAAAUAGACCUAAUUAAUAAAGUUAAAUGUCUGAAUUUGAAUGAUAUAUUUAUCUUUUUUGUGUCUAAAUUCAUAUAAAUAAAUAUUAUUAUUUUUUAACUUAAAAAAUCUGAAAACUAAUAUUUUAAUAUUUGUACCUUUACAAAUUAUAAAUGUUAAACAAAUAAUAAAUGUCUCAAAGAAUAUAAAUAAGAUAAUAUAAUAUCAUAAUUUAAAUAAUUUUUAAUUAAAUACAAUCUUUUUAUAUUCUGAAUUCGUAUAUAUUAAUUAAUAUUAUUACAAUUAUGAUGUUUUUAUAUAAAAAAUAUUCAUAAAAAAUUAUAAAAUUAAAUAAUGAAACGACCAUAAAAAAGUCGUGCAUGUCUGUGGAGGCCCUACUUAAUUAAUUUUCAAAGACGCGGCCAGCCCAAACAGCACGGAAUUAGACUUAAGAAAGUCAUCUCUUUAGCAGGAAUUAUUAUUCGCCGGCGAACUUUAAUCAAAUGACCAGAUUCAAAACAAGAAAAAGAAACUCAAUCAAAUGAAAUUCUUAAAGUAAUAAUUAUACAACACAUUUUUCAGUGUUAAAAAUAAUUAUUAAUUAUCAAAUUACCAAAGCCUAUUACUUAUCCACGGAUUAAGAUGAUUACUUUGAAAAGUUUUGUUAUAUAUAUUUCACUGAUGAAUCUGACGGUGGAUGACAGUUUGAUUGGUACUUUCCUUUAGAGGGAGUGAGUUAGGAUGCACUUUUGCUUAGGACAAGUUGAAAGAAUCAUACAUAAACUUUGAAGCAUAAAUUAAACUAACUCCUGCUUAGGAGAAGUUAAGAUCGUGAAAGAAUUAUAUUAAGCUUUUAGACAUUAAUUAAACUAACUAUGAUCGAAUUCACCACAAAUGUAUAACAUAAUUUGUUGUGUAUAUAACUGUAUAACAUAGAUUAAAAAAAUUAACUUUUUUGUGUCUUUAGAACUAAUAGGUAUAUACCAUAAGAUAUUUCUUGAUAUCUCACACUAAGUAUUAUGAACUCAUAGUAGCUAAAGGUCGACAAUAAUAGAAGUCAAGGUCGACAAUAAUACAAGUCAAGUUUUCAUCUUAAUUUUUAAAAGAUUAAUAAAAUUUUACAUUACAGAAAACAAAUUGUUAUACUUUAUGUUAAUAUCAAUAAUUUACCUAUUGCAUAAAGUAUGAUAAUUUGAUAUUGCAUAAAUCUGUAAAGUAUAAUAAUUCACACAGGCAGUCACAUAUGUAACCCAUAUAUCAACAUUUUUCAAAAAAAUAAAAAAUAAAAAUCUAUAGAUCACCAUUCAAAAAAUAAAGAAGGAAAAAAUGAAUUUAAGAAAAUGAUUACGGUUUAAGUAAGUUAGGAGAGAAAAAUGGGAUUAAAAGAUAAAAAAUUAAAUGAGAUCUGUAUGACCCAAAGAUGUAAAGUUAUUUUUAUUUUAAAGGAGUAUUAAAGAAAAUGUUUUUUUUAGAAGGUUUAAAAGAAGGAAAGAGUUUAUAACAAUAGUUUAUUGAAAAAAUUAUAUGAUAAUAAUUUUACCAAUUAUAAAAUUUAUCUCCAAUAAAUAAGUGUUGAUGCCGAAGAACGAUCUCAACAACUGAAUUUGUUUCUUUUGGGGAAUUACAGCACGAAUCCAAGCUCAAACGCAAGUCUGAUCGUAACUUUCUAUACCUGCUAACCAGAAAACACGGUUAGGAUACGCCGGUGGGGUUCCGGCGUAGACCCUCCAAUGCUUAAGUCAGAAAUUAUGUAUAAAAAGAGAAAAAUGAGAAUGACGAAUAAUGAAUGAGUUAAAGUCGAGUAAUUUUCCGGUAGAGUGGCUGAAAAUCUUGUAUAAGCUUUGGUUCAUUUUGUUAACCCCUUCACCUGAUGCGCUCUUCAGUUUAAAUAGGCUCUUGGUUGUGCGCGGUUACCUCUUUAACUUUAACUAGAUGAAACAAUCGUGUCUCUUGACUAUUUGCUUUCUGCUCUGCAUAACAACGAAUUAAUUAACUUCGUAAACUAUGAAUAAGAACAAGGGAGUUGUUAAGUGAAUAAAAACACCAGCUCGGCCAUGUCAUCAACCCCACGCCGAAGUAGUCGAGUGGUACGAGCAGAACACUGGUAAUAAGCCUUCUACAAACAUGGGACGACCAGAAACAAGUACCAACCAUAAAAGUAUACCGACCAGAGACAUAUACCGAGCCGAUACCCAUCCCCCAGAGAGUGGGCACACGAUCCAGAACUAUUGAGGGGGAGGCGAGAUCCCACGUUUGCCCAAAGUAAAACAGUUAGAGUCCCACUAGGGGCUGCCGCUACCCGAAAAACAAGGGGAAGAAAGCAGUUAGAGUCACACUAGGGGUUGCCACUACCCGAGAAAAGGGGAAGGAAGGGAGAAGGAAAACGGGGGGAGAGCGGCUAUAAAAGGGGAAGAAGUCGAUGAAGGAGGGGACAGAAAAACCAAAGAGAGGGAGAAUACUGCCAAAUCGCAACCAAGGCCAUUUUCUUACAAACUCCGAAUAGAUUAAAAGUCGUUCUUGAAUCCAAAUUGACCCGUUUUCCCGUGAAACAUCUUGUGCUAACUUAGGCAUCGGAGGGUUUACGCCGGCAAAACUACCGGCGUCUCUUAUUCAUUUUUGGUGAAUGCAGGUCUAAUAAGAGAAAGGAGGGCGAUUCCAACCCCAGUGGUUCAAGCAGCAGCUGAUAACAUAAACGUUGGUGAAAGAAUCUGGUCGGUCCAAGAGCGAGCAGAUUUUAGCAUCAACAUUUUGGCGCCGUCUGUGGGGAGCUGAAUAAAAAGCUACCACCAAAUUAGUAGUUACCAGAGAAGCAUCGAACGGUUAGAUAUGGAUGUAUCAAAAAAGAAUGUUUUGAGGAAGGACAAUGAAACGGUGGAGACAAUCACUCUCCGGGAAAUUGCAAACGAAGCCCGAGAGAGGGUGAUGCAAGAUCGGCUGGAGCGAAUGGAGAAACAAAUGGAGACUCUCGCGGCCCUACUGGGAGAGCUGAGGGAUGAACGUAGAAGGGAUUGUGAAACCCCCGUGGGAAGAGAUGAAGUUGGAGUAGGACCCAGCCUCCGGAGGCAUAGGGUCGAGGAAAUCCCUCCGCCAGCAGACCAACCUAAUGGGGUUCAUCCCCACAAAAGUACAGGUCCGGUUCCAGCAGAACAGAUGGAUGAAGGGAGGGACCAACCUCACCCCGGACGGGUAUUUGAAAUUGAUGGCCGAGCAGCCAAUGCUGAUGAAGGAGAAUUAAGACAGCGGUUGCAUAACGCCAAGCAGGAACGAGAUCAGAUUGCUGCGCGUGAUCCUGAUCGAGCUGUAGAAUUGGAGGGAGAGGUGCGCAGAUUGGCACAGAUGAUGGAGGAGAUGCAGGGCAAGAGAAAGCCCCUGAGCUGGAGAAUAAUGUUAGAUGAAGAGUCUCUGUUAUCAAUCGAGAUCAUGGGUACCGUAAUCCCAAAAGACUUCCGCUUCUCCGACCUCAAAUACUCUGGGCGAAGUGACCCGCUAGUGCACAUCGAGCGUUUCAACGACAUGACGGGUGUGCAGGGGCUAACACCAGCUCAAAGGUGCAGGGUGUUCCCAUUGACCCUAGAAGGACGAGCCCGAGAGUGGAACUGAUGGGGAUGAAACAAGAGGAACAUGAAUCCCUUCGAGAUUUUGUAAAACGAUAUCACCGAGCCGUGUUGGAUCUGGGAGCUCUUAAUCACCCGCAGGCGUUGAGGGGAUUAAAAGAAGGUGUAAGAAUCGGCCGAUUGUGGUAUAACUUAAGAAGCCCCCUAGUACAGAAUUACUCAGCGGGGUAUGAGCAGGCGAGGCGAGAUAUAGAAAUCGAAGAGGAGAAAGCGGCAAGAAUAAAAAGUGAACAGCUGGAAGAGCUGAGGCGAAAGGAACGAAGAGCCCCGAACGGGAGCGGGUCGGGAAAGCGAGCUGGGGAAUCUUCAGUAAUGGGCGGAGUAUCAGCUCGGUCCCGCACUUACCCCAUAACUCCGAGAUCACAACAGCUCCAACACAGCCGGGCUCAACCUCCGCGCCCCCCGUUCCCAGAGCGACAGCGAGAAUUCAGGCAGAUGGCUGCCCACCAUUAUCAAAACACUCCCAGAGCGUUAAAUGCAACUAAUUCCAGGUCGGGACAACCAGAGCAGCUACCGGCUAUACCAGCCCGAGGUGACAUUCAUGAUAGCCGAGCAGUCCAAUUGGUUGACCAGAGUAUGACAUAUAGACAGUACACUCCAUUAAAAAUCUCCAUGGAAGAACUGUAUGAAAGGAUCGAGGGACGAGGCCUGCUGUACCCUUCAGCCCCUAUAAUAAAACCUGCUCACCGACGGGAUAAGAACAGAUUCUGCAAAUUCCACGACACUCACGGUCACACUAUCAGCCAAUGUCGUGACCUAAAGAUUCAGGUGGAGGAUUUAGUGAGGAACCGGUACUUGGAUAAGUAUGUAGAUGGAAUGUCCCCCGUCAUGGAAUCGCAAUACGCACAGGAUGAAGGAGUUGAGAGAGGUCUGGAACGAGAACAGCCGACCAUCCAUGUGAUUGCAGGAGGGCCAACGUUGGCCGAGGAUUUAAAUAGAGCACGAAAGAACUAUGGAAGAUACGCCAUGACUAGCAAAGAGGUGCUCCUCAAUUUGCCAGCAGCCAAGAGGGCAAAAGUACGGCAAGUUCCCAUUAUGUGGACAGAGGACGACGAAGAGGGCAUUUCAUAUCCUCAUGAGGAUGCACUGGUGAUUAGGGCAUUGGUGGCUAGCACAGAAUUGCGACGAAUACUGGUGGACACGGGCAGCUCAGUAGACAUUCUGUUUAAAUCGGCCCUAGAUAAUAUUGGGAUUUCAGACUUGAAGCUGGAGCGGACGAAUACAUCCUUGAAGGGAUUUGGAGGAGGACGGUUAACUCCCAUGGGAAUCAUCGAACUCCCGAUUACUGUGGGGUCAAAACCGUUUGAAAGAACGAUGAUGCUGGAUUUUGUCGUGGUAGAAGAAAGAAGUCCUUACCAAAUGAUACUGGGGAGACCCUUCAUGAGGAUAAGCCAAUGUGUAAUGUCCACGCACUAUCUGGCAUUGAAGUACAAAAUAAAUGGAGUUAUUGGCGUAGUAAAAGGAGACCAGAGAAUGGCAAAGAGCUGCUAUCCUACAGCAGCCAAGGAAACACUGCAGGUUACCUCUCUAGAUAACCGAGGGGAUUCAAAAAAUGGUCGCCAAGAACCUGUUGAGAAGCUGGAGGGAGUUAUUGUAAGCAGGAAUGACCCAAGUAGAGCGGUUAAAAUCGGGUCAGAAUUGGGCGAAGCAAUAAAGGGCGAGCUGGUGAAGUGCCUACAAUCCCAUGCAGACAUAUUUGCCUGGUCUCAUGAGGAUAUGUCAGGAAUCGAUAAAAGGGUAGCCUGCCACAAGUUGGCAAUCAAGAGAGGAGCAAGACCGGUGAGGCAGAAAAUGAGGUGCUUCAACCAGGAAAGAUACGAGGCCAUAAAUGUCGAGGUGGAAAAGCUGCUGAAAGAAGGAUUUAUAAGGGAAGCCAAGUACCCGGAGUGGAUUUCCAAUGUAGUACUGGUAAAAAAGGCCAACGGGAAGUGGAGAAUGUGUGUAGACUUCACAGACCUCAAUAAGGCAUGCCCGAAGGACAGCUUUCCUCUACCAAAAAUAGAUCAGUUGGUGGAUUCAACCGCGGGUCAUAGUCUGCUCAGUUUCAUGGAUGCUUUUUCGGGAUACAACCAGAUACCCAUGGACGAGCAGGAUGAGGAAAGCACCACCUUUAUAACUAACAUGGGUUUGUUUUGUUACAGGGUGAUACCUUUUGGCCUGAAAAAUGCAGGAGCUACCUAUCAAAGGCUAGUGAACAAGUUCUUCAAACCAUUGAUCGGUCACACUAUGGAAGUAUAUGUGGAUGAUAUGAUCACAAAGUCAAGGGAACCGAGAGAUCAUGUGAAGCACUUGGAAUAGACCUUCGAAUUACUGAGGAGGUAUGAAAUGAAGCUGAACCCGGAGAAAUGUGCAUUUGGGGUCAGCUCGGGCAAAUUUUUGAGAUACCUGGUGAGUCACCGAGGAAUUGAGGCCAACCCGGAAAAUAUUCGGGCGGUGAUAGAAAUGAAGUCCCCACGAACAGUUAAGGAGGUGCAGAGCCUUACGGGGAAACUGGCGGCAUUGAACCGAUUCAUUUCACGGGCCACUGAUAAAUGCCACCCUUUCUUCCAAAUCAUAAAGAAAGGGAGGAAGAUGGAAUGGACAUCAGAAUGCGAGGAGGCAUUUGGACAGCUGAAGGAAUACCUAGCCUGCGCCCCGCUACUAUCAACUCCGAGAGAGGGUGACCAACUACUUUUGUACUUGGCAAUCUCUAAGUGGGCUACCAGCUUGGUCUUAGUCAGGGAAGAAGAAGGGAAGCAACACCCGGUAUACUACACAAGCAAGGCCCUGGUAGACGCAUAAACCAGAUAUCCGCUAAUGGAGAAGUGGGCACUAGCUCUAAUAACAGCAGCACGCAAACUCCGACCAUAUUUUCAAGCCCACCAGAUCGUUGUGAUGACUGACCAGCCCCUUCGGUAAGUGCUUCAGAAACCAGAUGCAUCUGGUCGAUUAGUAAAAUGGUCUGUGGAACUGAGCGAAUUUGACCUGUCCUAUAGGCCCCGAGGAGCAAUCAAAGCCCAAGCCCUGGCUGAUUUUAUGGUUGAUCGUGUUAUACCAGGGGAAGAAAUUCCGGAGGCACAACCAUUAGAGCAGGAGAAACCAGAGGGGGUGUGGCUGGUGAUGGUUGAUGGGUCACGUAGUGAACAGGGAUCCGGAGCAGGAGUUGUAAUACGGAGCCCAGAAGGGGUCGAGGUAUCCUAUGCAAUAAAAUUCGAGUUCUAGCUUACAAAUAACCAAGCUGAAUACGAGGCCUUCAUUACUGGGCUCGGGCUUGCACACGCACUACGAGCUGAAAGGGUAGAAAUCCGAGCAGAUUCUCAGCUAGUCUGCAAUCAGCUUUGCGACCAAUUCCAAGUAAGGGAAGAAACGUUGGGGCUUUAUCUGAAAAAGGCGAAGCAAAUGGUCGAACUCUUCAAAGAGGUAGAGGUAAAGCAGAUAUCUCAGAAUGAAAAUUACCGAGCAGAUAUGUUGGCAAGAAUGGCUGCAAAUGUAGACCCAAAGUUACCUAAGUCAGUUCCAUUGGAGAUAAGGACCUCGCCGAGUAUAGGGGAGGAAGUUGAGGUAAUGAGAGUAAGCACUGAAGAAUCAUGGAUGGACCCGAUUCUCGCAUACAUCCGCGAUAGCACUCUACCGGAGGAUAAAAGGCAAGCAAAAAAAUUAAAAUGCCGAGCAGCAAGGUACACGCUACUUGAUGAGGUGCUCUACCACCGAGGAUUCACCUUACCACUUUUGAGAUGUCUGGAUAAGGAGGAGGCUGAUUAUGUACUAAGGGAGAUUCAUGAAGGAAUAUGUGGAAAUCAUUCGGGAGCAAGAACUUUAGCCUUCAAGGCACUCCGGCAAGGAUACUUUUGGCCAACCAUGCACCAGGAUGCGAAAAGGAUGGCAAGGAAUUGUAAAAUCUGCCAAAGCUUCUCAGAGGUUCCUGCACAACCUCCAGAAAAGCUGACCACUAUGACAUCCCCAUGGCCUUUUGCUCAAUGGGGAAUCGACCUGAUUGGUCCGUUACCAAAAGGCCGAGCAGCGGCAACACAUGCAAUUGUAGCAAUAGACUACUUCACCAAGUGAGUAGAAGUGGGAACCCUCAGCCAAAUCACGGAAAGGAAGACGACGGAUUUUAUUUGAAAAAAUAUCAUCUGCAGAUACGGAAUCCCCUAUACCAUCAUCACAGACAAUGGAAGGCAAUUCGACAACAAUAACUUCAGAGAAUUUUGCCGAAACCUGGGGGUAGAUAUGAAGUUCUGCACCCCUGCGCACCCCCAGGCAAAUGGACAAGUGGAAGCAGCCAACAAAGUAAUAAAGAAACUCUUGAAAACAAGAUUGGGAGAGAAGAAGGGAGCUUGGGUCGACGAGCUACCAGGAGUACUGUGGGCUUACCGGACAACUCACAAAACCGCCACAGGGAAAACCCCGUUUGCUUUAGCUUUUGGCCAUGAAGCGAUAGUCCCAGCAGAAAUUGGAGUAGGAACGCAUCGAACAGAACAUUUUAAUGAGGAGUAAAAUGAUGAGCAGAUUUACUUGAACCUGGACCUGUUGGAGGAGAAAAGGGAAGGGGCCUCACAGAAAGUGGCCCAAUGUCAGCAGAGGGUCGCGCGUUAUUACAACAAGAAAGUACGCAUGAGGCAGUUCAGAGCAAGGGAUUGGGUGCUUAGGAAGGUGAAUCAAAACACUAGGGAUCCCUCCCAUGGCGUGUUCGGUCCAAAAUGGGAAGGCCUGUACAUGGUGAUACGAGCGACUGGACCAGGAGCUUACAAACUAGCAUACCCAGACGGACGAGAUGUGAAGAGGUCGUGGAACACCGGGUACUUGAAGAAAUAUUUCCAGUAAGCAAAAUGCUUUACCAAGUCUUCAUUUGAUAAGAUUUCCAUUAGGGGUGGGCAAAAUCGGGUUCGGGUCGGGUUCGGGUCAAUCCGAUCGGGUUUCGGGUUGUUCGGGUUAGACAAGGAACAAUCCGAACAUAACCUGAAUUAAUGAUCCGACCCGAACAGAUCCGAACCGACCCGAACUAUCUUAGGGUCGGUUCGGAUCGGGUCAUUAAUUCGGGUUAUGUUCGGGUUGGAUUUAAAAUGGGUAGGAUUGAGUUCGGGUCAAUUUGGGUUAGUUCAGGUCAAUUCGGGUCAAUUCGGGUCAGUUCGGGUCAAUUCGGGUCGGUUAAAAUCGGGUCAGUUCGGGUCAAUUCGGGUCAGUUCGGAUCGGUUGAAAUCAGGUCAAUUCGGGUCAGUAUAUAUAUAUAUUUUUUAGAACUCGAUCGGGUAUUCGGAUCGGGUCGGGUUUGACCCGAACCGAUCACAACCCGAUCGGGUUUGUAAAUUUCAAACCGAUCGAGUUUCGAUCCCGACUCGAACCCGAAAUUUAUCGGGUCGGGUCGGGUCGGAUCGGGUAAAAUGCCCACCCCUAGUUUCCAGGCAUCUUCACAUUGGAGACUAAUAACAGGUGAUGUUUAUUUUUUUUCUUUUUUUUUAAAUCCUUAAAAAUAAAUAUUAAGUUGUUUGUUUUCUAACUUAGAAAUUUUAAAAACUAAUAUUUUAUAUUUGUGUCCUUAUAAAUUAUAAAUGUUAAACAAAUAAUGAAUAUAUCAAAUAAUAUAUAUAAGAUAACAUAUUAUAAUAAUUUAAAUCAUAUUCAAUUAAUAUAAUUUUUUAAUAUUUUAGAUUAACAUAUGUUAAUCAAUUUUAUAGUAGUUUAUAAUAUUUUUAUAUGAAAAAUAUUUAUAAAAAAUUAUGCAGAUAAAUAAUGAAACGACCAUAAUAGAGUCUUGCGCUGCAUGCAUGUCUGUGGAGGCCCUACUUAACUAUUUGAUGAGAAAUUUCAAUGAAAAUGAAAGGAGUACCAUAUCAAGGCUAUUCAACGCGGACCAAUCAGGCUUUUCGAAGACGCGAACCAGCCCCAACAGCCCGGAACUAGACUAAGGAAGUCGUCUGCAGUGGUCCUUUCGCUUUCUAAUGGGACCUUCCCUGAUUAAUUAUUCAUAAUUGGCAGUGUCUAAGAUUAUCCCUUCAGUCAUAACUGGCUGCUUCUAGGCAUCUUCAUUCUUCAGAUCGAAGGUUAGUCAUCGUUAUGAAAUACCAUGCAACUUUAACAUACGUUAGAUUAAUUAAACACGAAUUUCUGGAACAAGAAAAAAAAUUCGAAUAUAGCAUUCUAUUAUAAAUAAAUAAUUUCAUCAAAAUGGUGAGUUAUAGUCAUGGGUGACUGCCAUCUAGUUAAGAUUGUAAAAUUCUUUUGUGUUCGUAAAAAAAAAAAAAAAUUUGAGUUCAAAUCCUGUCAGUCUGUCACAUAGGUGGGGAGUGUAUUAAAUACUUGCAGUGCUAAAUAAUAACAUUGAUGUCACAUCUGUGGAACUGCAUGUCUGUGGAGUCCCUACUUUUUUUUUUUUUAAUAUUGAUUACGCACUAGAUUACUGCAUUGCACAUAUAUUUACAACUAUUAUUAUAGCAGACAUUACACUGAUAUUUACAAUCAGAUAUACAUAAGUACCAGAUUACUGCAUUGCACAUAUAUUUACAACUAUUGUUAUAGUAAACAUUACACUGAUAUUUAUAAUCAGAUAUACAUAACUGAGACUUAUAUAUGAUUACAUUAAAUUCUAUGAAAUACAUGCCUAGAUAAAUUACCUUCACAGACGAGGGAUGCCCCUACUUCACUUGCAUUUCGCAAGAAAGAAGAAGUUAUAAAUGUUUAGCCCCCACUUGAUUAAAUAGUUAUGUGACAGAACAAAACCAUUCAGCAAUCUAGUGCUCAAGAUUUUUAAAUUAUUCACCGGCGAAACUUAAUCAAAUGAACAGAUUCAAAACAAGACAAAGAAACCCAAUCAAAUGAAAUUCCCUUUAGCAAUGAUUAUACAAUACAUUUUUCAGUAUUAAAAUUAAUUAUUAAUUAUCAAAUUAUCAAAGCCUACUACGUAGUACGUACUUAUCCACGGAUUAAGAUGACUACUUUGAAAAGUUUCGUUAUAUGUAUUUCACUGAAGAAUCUAACGGUGGAUGACAGUUUGAUUGUUUAGAGGGAGUGGGUUAGGAGGAUGUACUCCUGCUCAGGACAAGUUCAGAUCAUGAAAGAAUCAUAUAUAAGUUUUUGGACAUAGAUUAAAUCAACUACAAUCGAAUUCAUCACAACUAAUAAUAUAAUUUGUUGUGUGUAUAGGUAUAUUCUACUAUUUUAGGCAAAUUAUUGUAUAACAUAUAUUAUUUUUAUUAUUAUUAUUAUUAUUAUUAUUAUUAUUAUUAUUAUUAUUAUUAUUAUUAUUAUUUGUGUCUUUAGAACUAAUAGGCACAUACUAUAAGAUAUUUCUUGAUAUCUCACACUAAGUAUUAUGAACUCAUAGUGGCUAAAGGUCAUCAAAUAAUAUAAGUCAAAUUUUUAUCUUAAUUUUUAAAAGAUGAAACCAAGAUUAUUAAAAUUUUGCAUUUCAGAAAAAAAUUGUUAUACUUUAUGUAAUAUCAGUAAUUUACCUCUUGAUAAAAGUAUAAUAGUUUGAUAUUGCAUAAAUAUGUAAAGUAUAAUAAUUCACAGAGGCAGUUACAUAUGUAAUCUAUUUAUCAACAUUUUUCAAAAAAUAAAAAUAAAAAUCUAUAGAUCACCAUUUAAAAAGUAAAGAAGAAAAAAUAAAUUUAAGAGAAUGAAUAGGAGUUAAUAACUUAGGAGAGAAAAGUGAGAGAUAAUAAAAUAAAUUAAAAGAUUAAAAAUUAAAUGAGAUUUGCGUAAACAAAAGAUGUAAAGUUAUUUUUAUCUUAAGAGAAUAUUAACAAAAGGUUUAAAAUAAUAAAAGAGUUUAUAAUAAUAGUUUAUUAAAAAAAUUAUUAAAAAAAUUAUAUAAUAAUAAUUUUAUCAAUUAUAAAAUUUAUCUCUAAUAAAUAAGUGACAUAUAUAUUUGAGAGCUACAAAUUAAGAUUUAAAAAUAGGAAAAUUCUAUGAUGCCGUAAUUAAAAUUACGGCAUCGAUGCCGUAAUUAUUAUGAACCGUUAGAUUAAAUCAACGAUUCACAAUAAUUAUAAAAUAAUAAAAUUUUUAAUUAAAUUAAAUCUAACCGGUUAUAAGCCGGUUAAGUACUUUUUAAAGAUAAAAUUUGACCGGUGUAAGUUUAAAGGAAAAAAAAAAAGAGGAUUUACCUUUUAAAGAAAUAAAAAAUUAGAAAGGGAAACUUCCGUUCAUAUUUUUCAUUAAACCCUAAUUAACGAAUUCCUAAAGAAACCUCUCAUAUGUCUACAGAUUGCAGCCAUUCUUGAGUUGAUUUUCUGUCUUGAUUUUCUAUCUUGUUCGAAUUGCUGAGUCUCUGCUGUUGCUGCCUCUAUCUUGGUUUGGCCGUCGUCACCUGUGCAAGGUAAAUUUAAUCCUCUGUCUCGUUCGAAUUGCUAAGCAUUUUAGUUUUCAUUCAUGGUCAUAAUUUGUUCACGGCAUUGAAUCUAAGAAUUAAGAAGUCGCUGCAAGUGUUUGGGUUUGCAUAGUUUUAUUUCAUAGUCAUAAUUUCCGCAUUUGUUCACGGAAUUAAGAAGUUCCAGUGCACUCCUGCCUUUGCCUCUUGAGAAAAUUAGAAGCUUUGCCAAUAGCAGUAGCAGUGGCAUUAGCAGAAGCUUUCCAUAUUCAAUGCUCUGUUCAGAUGCCUCUCCAGUUGCUCAUCUAAGCUUUUCAGAUCAAUCUGAUCUGCUCUCACGAACCCAUCACUGCUUUCUUUCAUUCUUUCUUUCAAGGGUGCUUCUGUUCAAAUCACUCCCUCCUCCUCUUUCUUCUUCUUCUUCAUGUUGAUGAUAUUCAGUUGUUAUAACUUGUUGUUGUUGUUGGAGUUAUUAUUUCUCUACGAGAAUUUGCUUGUCAAAAUUUCUCAAUAGGAAGGAAGCGAAGAGUAUGCAAACAUUUUUUUAAUUAUUAUUUUUCUUUUCUAUUGAAGCAUGUGGGCACAUGGCAUUGCCUGAACACAACAUGUAUUUGUGACCACUUUCCUCUUCACAAUUAUUAUUAUUAUUAUUGUUUUGUUUUUUCUUUUUUUUUCUUCGAUUUUGAUUGGCCAUCAAUUUUUUUUUGGGUGAACGAUAUAGAGUGCUAUAUGAGUUAUGCUAACUGCUGUGACCUUGAUUUUGUAUUAUUGUUUGCAUUGAUUUUGGUUGAUAAACAAAUGUGUGGUGGAUCAUGGAUGGAUGUAUGGAUGAGGAUAAUAAAUAAAUGAAAUAUACAUAAGACACAAGCAGAUAAAUUAAAGGUAAUGGAUCAUAAUUCUGAAACUGGAAGUGGGUUUUUGUCUCAAAUAUAAUUGAAGUGAUAGAGAAUUAUGUGAAGUUGCAGAAAAAUUUUGGGUUUGAAAUGCUUUUGUUUCUAGGUAAAUUUUUUGCUGUAUUUUGGAUGAUUUGUUGCUGUUUUUGGUUAAAUUUUUCUGGUGUUUUGGGCUUCAUUUGGUGCUGUUUUUAGGUUAAAUUUUCUUCUAUUUUUGGGUUAAUUGGCUGCUGUUUCUCAGUUUAUUUUUCUGCUGUUUUUAGAUAAAUUUACUGCUGUUUUUUUCUUAUAUUUUCUGCUAUUUGCAGAUAAAUUUUUCUGGUGUUUUGGGCUUCAUUUGCUGCUGGUUCUAGGUUAAAUAUUUUGCUGUUUCUGGGUAAAUAUACUGCUAUUUUUUAGUUAAAUUUUUCUGGUAUUUUGGGCUUCAUUUUGUGCUGUUUUUACGUUAAAAUUUUUGCUGCUUAUGGGUAAAUUGACUGCUGUUUUUCAGUUUGUUUUUCUGCUAUUUUUACAGAAAUUUAAUGCUGUUUUUGGGUUAUAUUUUCUGCUAUUUUCAAGUAAAUUUUUCUGGUGUUUUGGGCUUCAUUUGCUGCUGGUUCUGAGUUAAAUAUUUUGCUGUUUCUGGGUAAAUAUACUGCUGUUUUUUAGUUAAAUUUUCUGCUGUUUUUGGAUAAAUUUUUUGUUGUAUUUGGGAUGAUUUGCUGCUGUUUUUGGUUAAACUUUUUUGGUGUUUUGGGCUUCAUUUGAUGCUGUUUUUAGGUUAUAUUUUCUGUUGUUUUUGGGUUAAUUGGUUGCUGUUUCUCAGUUUAUUUUUCUGCUGUUUUUAGAUAAAUUUACUGUUGUUUUUUGUUAUAUUUUUUGCUAUUUGCAGGUAAAGUUUUUUGGUGUUUUGGGCUUCAUUUGCUGCUGGUUUUGGGUUAAAUAUUUUGCUGUUUCUGGGUAAAUAUACUGCUGUUUUUUAGUUAAAUUUUUUGCUGUGUUUUGGAUAAAGUUUCUGCUGUAUUUGGGAUGAUUUGCUGCCCUUUUUGGUUAAAUUUUUUUGGGGUUUAGGGCUUCAUUUGGUGCUAUUUUUAGGUUAAAUUUUUUGCUGUUUCUGGGUUAAUUGGUUGCUAUUUUUUAGUUUAUUUUUCUGCUGUAUUUGAGAUGAUUUGUUGCCGUUUUUGGUUAAAUUUUUUUGGUGUUUUGGGCUUCAUUUGCUGCUGUAUUUGGGUUAAAUUUUUUGCUGUUUUUGGUUAAAUUUCCUUCUAUUUUUCAGUUAAAUUUUCUGUUGUUUUUGGAUAAAUUUAUUACUGUUUUUGGGUUAAAUUUUCUGUUGUUUUACAGGAUCCAAAACUUGUGAUAUUUCCCAUUUCUUUUUGUGCCUAAUAUCUUCAUGUACAGGUUCUUGUAAACUCGAAAAUGGCUGAAAAUAUAGAUGAGGGUAACGAGAAUGAUUUCAAGGAGAAUGAUAAUGUGAGCCAGGAAAAUGAAAUUUCAAGAAGAAAUCGACCUUUCAUUGAGUAUUUGUAAGUCUUCUUACAUUAAAUAUUAUGUGUUUGACUAUUGGUAAAUUUAUGAGUAUUUAGUAAAGCCAAGCACAAUAAUGUUAACAUGCACUGAUUAUAUAUAUUUUUUUCAAAAUAUUUAAUUGACUGCAGCAAGCAAGAAGCAAAAAUAUUACGGGAACAAGGAAAAAAAGUGGUGAGUGUAGGUGCGAUAAUUAAUUUCCAUUAAAUUUGGGACGUGUUACAAGCAAUAACUUAUUGUCAUAUUUGUUUUUUAAUUUUUUAGGAUAGAAUUAAAUUAGGGAAAUGUUUCAAAAAUUUGAGUGAAGAAGAGAAGGCUAAAUUUAGAUUGGUUGGUAGUGAUAUAGCACAGAAUAAAGACAAAGAAGAUGAUUUUGUGAAGGGAACUCAAAAAGCCAUGGAAACUAGAUGCGCUCCAGAUCGUUUUGCAAAACUGGUCACAAAAUUGUCAGAAAAUAAAAAAAAAGUUGUUGUGGAGUUAGGAUUUGAAAGUCUUCUGCACAUAAAAUGUGGUCGACUGAAACGAGAUUUAUGUUCAUGGUUGGUUCAAAAUUUUGAUCCAUUUACUUCAUGUAUUUUUUUGCAUGGUAAGAGUAUCAGUUUGUCGCCUCGAGAUUUUGAGUACAUUAUGGGAAUAAAAGAUGGUGGAGUCGACAUUGAUGUGGAUCUUGGUAUUGAUGACAUAGAUAAAUUGAGGAAUGAAUAUUGUGAUGACAGUGGAUACAUUAAGCUGAAAACUUUAGAGUCAAAAUUGGUGAAUCAAAGGGAGGUGAAUGAUGACUUUAAAAGAAGCUUUGUUUUGUUUGCUAUAGCUACAAUUAUUUUUCCUAAAUCGGGGUUGAAUUUAGCCCCGUAUUACUUGGUUUUUUUGAAAGACACCAGUGCCAUAAAAAAAAAAAAAUUGGGCAACAUGGGCUUUUAAAGGGCUAGUUGAGGGCAUACAAAAGUUCAAGGCAGGACAACAUAAAGUUGUUAAUGGUUGUGUACUAUUUUUGGAGGUAAUAAUUUUUUUUAAAAAUGAUUUCAUCAGUUUUAUUGUGUUAUUUUGUUUUUGCUUUGUUUUGAUCAUUUUGUUAAUAUUGCAGCUUUUUUACAUGGAUUCUAUAUCAUUUGCACGAAAAUUUAUUGAUAAAUCUUUGAGUCCAAUAACAACAUGGACAAAUCGAGAUGUAACUAACUUAUUGAGUUUUGUUAAGAAAAAUGGCGGUUAUGGGAGCUCAAAGGUAUGGCAUCUACUUUUUAUUAAUUAAAUAUUAGCGUAUCAUAUUGAAAUGACAUGUAUUUAAUAAUAUGUGGUAUUUAUUAGGUUAAUUUGCGAGAAAUCCAUCCUCAACAAAACACGGCCCAGGAAACAUUUGAUGGAACAAGUCGGAAGAAUGAAGAAUGCAUACAUAAUUGUCAACAUCAGAAGGAAUUAUCACUUGUUCGAAAAGAUAUUGGCCGUAUGGCAUUGGAGCUUGAUGGUUUAAAGCAUUCAAUGGGUAGCUGGAUGCAGCAAAUGCAACAAGUAAUGGAAACCCUUAAAGAGAACUUAACACAAAAGCAAGUUGAGCAGCAAAAGGAGAAUAAUGGCGCUGCUGUUGGAAUUACUUCUCCUUCCCGAAAGCAACAAAAGAACGAUGAAUCAAGCCAUGAAAUUUUAACUUUUGCGGAACUAAUGAAGAGAGCCAAAGAAAGGCCAGAUGGAGAUGAUAUUCUUGAGAAGAAAUUACUGGAUGAGGAGAAUGUUGAAGAGAAACAUGAUGAGAGAAUUUUGACGGGCGAGUCAGACCUAAAUGAGGGAAAGCGUAAGCAAAUUUUCUACAAUGCAGCUAUACAGGUAUUUAGCAAUAAACUGUGAUCUUCUUUUUUGCACAAGUAAAACAUAAUAGUGCAUGGAUGAGUAUUAAGUUAUAAAUCAUAAUUUUUGUAGGAUAAUGGUCGGAAUGAUGAUUGUUCUAUUGAAGAGGAAUCAUCAAACCAACUUAGUGUAUUUGAGGUUAAAGAUAUGCGCUCCCGAAAGCGAAAGCCUGGUCCAUACUAAAAAUCCCCUUAUAAUCAGUUUCCCAAAAGACGAAGCAAACAAAAAUUUUUUCAUGAUUCAAUCACUCUACUAAAUUCAUUUUCAGAGGAAGAUAUGAAGUUGCUGCAGUAUAUAUUUCAAGGAGAAUUGCCUAUGGAGUAAUUGGAUUUUCUCAUGACCCAUUUUCCAUAUGUUAUUAUUUUUGCAUUAACACUGUUAUAGUUCUAAUUCUAUUUUUGGAUUCUUAAUACAGUGAGCAUAUUGUUGAUGGAAUUAGUUUUUUCGUCUCUCGCCAAGAGAUGUUUUCUUUGGCUCCUAAUACUUGGAUCAUUGACACAGUAAGCAUACCUUCCUUAUAUCUAGUUUAAUCAUUCAAUUUAUUUAUUUUCUUUCUAAGUAUUUAAGUCUUCUUGUUUAAUGGCUCUAUUCGUAGGUCAUAGAUUGUUUCGUCAACUACUUGACAAACAAAGAACGUGCAAAAAUGAGCCUAGAGAUGCGUAUUUGGUAUUUGCCCACCAUAUUUUCGGUAAGUUGUAAAUGUUAUACUAUGAAUUUGUUUACUGACAGUUGACCCUUUAUGUUGAUAAUAUACUAAUUUUCUAUUUAUUUUAUGAGUUUUGCAACAAAAAAUAGUGGCAAACAUGGACUCUAAAAAGAAAUCAAGCAUCGAAGACUUUGUCAAAAAUCAUAAUAUUCGAGAUAAGUACAUGUCAGAACUUGCAGUAUGUGAAAAGGUAAGAAAUUAAAUACAAAAUUACAAUAAAUCAUGGCAUUGUUUAAGACAUUUAAUGGUAAUUAUUAAAAAUUAUGCAUUUGUCAUGUAGAUCUAUGUUCCUAUAAAUGAUGGCUUUGCACAUUGGUAUCUGGCGGUGUUGAUUGUUAAAACGCAAACCGUUGAAAUUUGGGACUCUUUACCUAGUAAUAGUUCGAAUUCACAUUGAGAGGAAAUUGUUAGAGCAAUUGUAAGUGAAGCUUGCAUUUCACCUGUAUUAUUACCAAUAAAUGCAAAUGUAUGCUGACUAUUAUCAUCAUUAUCACAGUUACAGGGACUCGACGAAGUUUUCCUCGAUGAUUUUUUGGGAAAAUUUCAUUCAUGUUGGGAUUUUUUUAGUUUUAAAAUUUUAUAUCCAGAUAAUGUCCCAGUACAACCAAAUGGAACUGACUGCGGUUUGUUUGUGAUCAAGUUCAUGGAGACGCAAUGUGAUCUAUUAUCUAUAAAACAUGUAUGUGACAUUAAUUUUACAUCAUAUUGAUUAAAAAUUUUACAAUGAAUGAUGACUCUAUUUCUCACUUUUUUAUUUUUUCUCGUACUAUAUUUAGUAUAACUCAACAAUAGAAAGAUAUCGCAUUGCACUCCACCUUAUCAACGGAGAUACAAAUAAAGUGAGAGAUAGUAUCAGAUGUAAGGCUGAAGAAUUUCAUGAUUCGCACAAGAAUAAUCUUCCACCGAACAAAGUGACGAACAAAGUUAAUGGUCAAAAGAAUUUGAAGAAGAAAAAGUAGAGUCCAAAAGCCUGCAGCAUGUUAAAAGUAAGUUCUCUUUAACUGUUUCUUUCUUGCUUUUUUUUUAUCCUAUUACAUUUCAUGAUUUGUAUUAGUUAUUUAUUAGUUAUUGCAAUUAUAAUUGUUGUUUCACAUAAAAUUAAUUAGAAACAAUUUCCAAUUUGCAAUUGCCUACCGAGUAUAAGCAGAAUGUGGACUGGAAAUAGUCAAUGUUUUACUGCAAGUUUUCCUUUAUUCUCCAGGUGGCUCACAAUUUCCUCUUCAGUGACAUCUUGUGGGAAAGUGGAUCAUCUUUGUUGGGGAGCAGUAGUAAUGAUAGUUCCUUUAGAAUACUUUCACUUUAGCUUCCAGAAACUGAAGCAAUUAACAAAUUAUAAUCUGGAAUUAAGGUUGAUUAAUUCAUCGCAAUCACAUGUACCAUCAUCACAGUGUUGGAAAAACUGCAGUGUACAAGAGUUCCGAUUUUACCAAAUGGGAAUUCAUGUAAACUUCUCUAUAUUAGAGCAGUUCUUUACCAUAGAGAGAAAGUGAAACAUAUAGUUUGUGAGAAACUCUAGAAAGCAAUUAAUUGAGCUACCGGAACUUUGCAUGCUAAAGAUUCUACGAAGCAAGAAUUUUCAACUUUUCUUUCCUCACUGCAUGUUCUUGGCAACAAAAAACAACAAAAGCCAAGUCACUCUUCUUCAAUUGAAACAGUUUAAACAAGACCAAAAUAAAGAAAACAAGUUAGAUGUACAAUCUUUGUGCAGAACUUAAAGUUUGCUUGUGAAAGAUCAUACACGAAUAAAUAUAUGUAGUAUGCCUUGAAGGAACAUUUAAAGCCAUUCAUUUGUCAAAUUGUGAAGUUAUGUGUCUGUUAAAGCUUCUUAGGUCUAGUGGCCUUGAAUUUGCCUUUCAAAUGAUUUUGUCUUUUUAGAUAAAUCUAAAUAAAAAAAAAGUGGCACAUCAAAUCAACGCAUAUUAGAAAUAUUUUCCCUUUCUACAAUAAUAUAUGUGGUGGAGGCUUGAGAUCAACUGUGUCUUUGUGUGUCGUAUAUUUAAUAUAUAGUAAUUUAAUAAUACUGGGGGAACCGAGGAACUUUCGUGGAGGGGAUAUUUGAUAGACUCCAAGUGGGACUCAGAAGAAAAUAAAAUUAAAAGGACCCCCAAUUUGAACUGGCCACUGUCAAUCACAUGUAUUUGUUAUGCAGGUAUCAGAAUUCAUCUCAUGCCCACAUCAAGAAUCUAUAAACGAUAACCAGACAAUAUCCGAACAACCAAGUAGUUGGUUUUUGUGGCACAGAUUGGCCCGGGGUAAAACUCAUCAUUACUCCCUCAAAAUCUUGGAUUUGUUUUGAUUAUAUAGCGAAUAAGUCGGGGUAGUUUUGUCCCUUUAGAAAAAAAAAAUUACAUGGAUGCAUAUGUUUGCUGCCAAAAAGUGCUAGGGUUGCUCAAGAGUAUUGCACGAAUGCACGUCUUCUAUUCACUCCAAAACUCCAAAAGCUUUUACUACCAUCACUGCCAAAAUUGAAAAACAAGAAGCAAGCAAGGCCCAGUCAAUAAUAAAAAAUAGUUGAGGUUUUACACAACCAUCAUGACUGUCCAAACUUGCUGCGAUAGCAUGAUAAUGAUCUAAUUAUUUAGAAAAAUUAAAUUACAAGCAUAAUAGUAACCUAGCUAGAAAAAUAAGACCUAAUAUAACUCCUACGCACAUGAACACGACACAUUAUUUUGCAACAAAUAAUUUUCAGAACAUUAUAAGAGAAACUAGAGGCAAAACGGGAAAAAAUUAUAAUUCUAAAAUUACAACCAUAGUAGUAAUCGAUUUAUUUAGGGACAUUGUUAAUAUUUUGACACUUACAAUAAUACUCAACAGGCAAAACAUAAUUAAGGCUGACUUUAUACUUCUGGGGCUGGAUGAGUAUUUUUAAAAUAAAUGGGGUCAUUUGUAAUAUUUUGACUUAAUGGGGACUAAUUUAAAAUUAGCCAUAUUAAAACUUUUGCAACUUGUCUAGAAACGACAGAAUUUGAAUACUUAAUGGGGACUAGUUUGAAAUUUGCCAUAUUAACAACUUUUGCAACUUGUCCAGAAUACGUCUUUUCCUAAUUCAAUAGUUCCAUUCAAAUUUAAAGACUUAAUGGGUACUAAUUUGAAAUUAGUCAUAAUAAAAACUAUUGCAACUUGUCCAGAAUACGUCUUUUCCUAAUUCAAUAGUUCCAUUCAAAUUUAAAGACUUAAUGGGUACUAAUUUGAAAUUAGCCAUAAUAAAAACUAUUGCAACUUGUCCAGAUAUAAGUUGUGAAACGACAGAAUUCAAUAGUUCCAUUCAAUCCUACAAUUUCCUUGCCCAGUUUUUUCUAACGACCACAUAGAACACAAUGAAUGAUGAUCAACAAGGUUAAUUCUUCAUUGUCUUUUAAUGAUUUGUUACUCUUUGCUAUUAUUUUUUAUGUUAUUUUCUCUCUUUCUAAAAAGAGUAGUGUUUUUUAACCUUUUAAAAUUAAUAUUAAUUGUGUCUAUUAUAAUUUACAGGCUAUUGUCUAGCAGUGCCAUUUCACUGAUUGUAAUAUUUUCUUAUUGUAUUAUGACAGGCAUUAACAAAAAUUACAAAGUGCCAGAGCUUGAUGUUCCAUCAUCAUAUGAUAUUCCUUCAACAGCUCAAGCAGGAAUACAAUCAGGUUUUUUAGUUGUUCAUAACAAAACAAUUGAACCAAAUUAUUUUUGUAAUAUUUUGAAAAUCAAAUAACAGUAUCAGUUUAUUUUAGUUGUUGAUAAUAAAAUAAUAGAAUUAGACUAUUUUAGCUGUCAAUAAUAAAAUAAUAGUAUCAAUUGAAGUUAGCUAUUCAUGAUAAAAAAAUAAUUAUUCAUACUCUAUUAUGACAGGGAGGGAUGGUUCAAACUCUAUUUAUUGGGAUGAUAAAAGCAUGUAUGAACUCACUGCUGAAGACGUUAUUGGAAAGCGAUUUGCAUCACUUGAAGAAGCUACAGAUUUUUAUAAAAAAUACUCAAAAAUAAUGGGUUUUAGUGUUCGCAUUUAUGAUGGGAGACGUGAUACAAAUGGUGCACCCAUAAUGAAACAUUGGGUUUGCAGUAGAGAAGGUGAAAGGGAUAAAAAGUAUAUUGAGCAUACAAACAGAAUCCGUGAACCUAGAGCUAUUACAAGAGUCAACUGUCGAGCAGCAUUCAGGGUAAAUUUAGAUAAGGAGUCCAAAACUUGGGUUGCUAGAAGCUUUGUUCCGAAACACUCUCAUGAGUUGGCAGCAGAUUUUGAGACUCAAUUUCUUCGAUCUCAUCGAAUGGUUAAAGAUUCUGACAAUGCUCUAGCUAAUUCAAUGCAAACAGUUGGUAUAAAGACAAGUCAGAUUAUGGACUUCUUUGUCAACCAGGCUGGGGGUUAUGACAAUUUGGGCUUCGGAUUAAAGGAUUUAUAUAACAAUUUAGAUAAUGAACGUCGAUCCAUGAUACUCGAAACAGACUCAGAAGCUGCACUUGCAUACUUAAAUGCAAAAGCUGACAUGGAUCCAGAUUUCUUUUGUAAGUACUCUGUAGAUGAGGAGAAUAGACUUGCAAACUUAUUCUGGGCAAAUUCUAUUGCUCGCUUGGAUUAUAGUUACUUCGGCGAUGUUUUGGCUUUCGAUAGUACUUACAAGACAAAUGAGUAUGGGAAGCCUUUAGUUAUUCUAUUGGGUGUUAAUAAUCAUUAUGCAACAAGUUUUUUUGGCUGUGCAAUUCUCACGGAUGAGAUGGUUGAGACCUACACAUGGGUGCUUAAAACAUUUUUAUGUGCUAUGAAUAAUAGAAAGCCUAUAUCUAUUGUGACCGAUGGAGAUAGAGCGAUGCGUAAAGCAAUUAAAAAGGUAGGUCCUGAAGCUCGGCAUCGACUGUGUAUUUGGCAUCUACAAAGAAAUGCACAAUCUAAUGUACAUAAAACGCCUGAAUUUGUUACAAGGUUUAAGGAUUUUCUGUUGGGAAAUUACAGACCCGAAGAAUUUGAGCAAUUGUGGCAGAACAUGGUGGAAGAGCUUGGUCUUCAAAAUAAUGAUUGGGUUAAGAAGAUAUACUCAAAACAAGAGAGAUGGGCAGAAGCAUUCUUACGGGGUCAUUUCUUUGGUGGCAUGCGCACAACACAGCGUUGUGAGGGUAUGAAUGCAUAUAUGAAUAGAUUUCUUCAAAGAAAGUUGAAGUUGUAUGAAUUUGUUCGUCAAAUUGAUCGAGCCUUGAGACGUACAAGGAAUAACAAUUUAGGACAUAAUUUUAAAACUAAGCAUUCUAUUCCAAUGAUUAGUACUCAUCUUCCAAGCUUGGAGAAGCAUGCUGCAGGGGUUUACACUCAAAAGUUAUUUUACAAGGUUCGUAAACAGAUUUACAAAGAAGGCCAGUUUAUAUUGUUGAGCAAUGUCACUCUUCUAGAUAUUCAAGUGUACACAUUAACUAGGCAUUUAGAAGCCAAAAAGAAGUGGACUGUGGUUUAUUAUCUAAAAGAACAACAUUUUGAGUGCUCCUGUAAGAAGUUCGAAUCUACUGGAAUACCAUGCCCUCACUUAUUUUGUGUGAUGAAACAUAUGCAUGUUAGUGAGAUACCUGCUUCAUUGAUUAACAAAAGAUGGACUAUGGAUGUGAAAGUUUACAAACAAUCUCUAAUGCCAUUGGAAAGUCAAUCUAAGGAUGUUCUUAACAAUUUUCGGUAUGGGUCAUUAAAUGCCGAAUUCAAUGAAAUUAGUUUUUAUGCCUCAAAAUCUGAUGCUGCCUAUUGGAAAUUAAAAAGUCAUCUUGCUCAACUGAAGAGUGAGAUAAAGGAGUUGAGAACGUGUGACAACGGAGAUACAGAUAGACCAUGCAGUGCAGAAAAGAAAGCAAGAAUUGUAAAAGAUCCUCUAGUUGUGAAGACAAAGGGUGCACCCAGUACGAAAUUUAACAAAGGUGUUAACACAAGAAAAUGUGGAUAUUGCAAACAAGAUGGACAUACUGCACGGAAAUGCCCAAGUAAGAACGGCCAUGUUACAAGUGUGGACAACUUCGCUGGACCAUUAAACAGCUUCACAAAAUUUAUUUGGUAUGGGAAAAUAGGUCAUUAUUUCUAUAAUUAUUUUUAGUCCAAAUCAAUGUGUUGUAUCAAUAAUUUUGUUCAAAUUUUCUGCAGAUUAUAUCCUAAGGAGGCUGCCUCACUUGCGUCAAUGCACACAAAAUUAUCCUAAAAUAAUCUGCAUAUGCCUGAGGGUGUGGAUUUGGACAAGCUAUUUGCAUUUUAAGAAAACACAAUUUUGACCAAGUAUUUUUUAGACUAUAGUUAUGGCCAUGUGAUGUAGUCUUAUAUUUUAAUGCAUUUUUAGUUAUAAUAAUAAUGAAUAUUACACCUCUCAUGAACCUAUUACUUUCUCCUACUUUGAUGACAAUGAAAUAUGACAGGAACCUCGAACAAUGUAAUAUUCAUGAAAUUUUAAGCUUACAAAAAAGGGCCUAACAAUGAUAUUCUAAAUCUUAAUACAUCAAUUGAUCUUAUUUCCUAAGAACUGCUACGUGCAUCGAUUAGGUAUCCUAGGACGUUUAUACAUCACUAAUAAACUAGUAAACCAUACCACAGUUGCAAUGUAAUAUUCUUUCUUACCUUGCUGAUUAGAAACUUCAGCGGCCAAAUGCCAACUACAUCAACUUUUGCUUCCCCAUAGCUGAGUGAAAUUCUUGUAGUUCCUAAAUCCAAAAUACAAGUAAGAGAAAUCAGUGCAAAUGUUCAUUUAUCUUGAAAUUCCUUUGAAACUGAGGCCCAAAGAGAAGCUAGAAUAAACAGUCAUGCAGGUUUUCUAUUUUAGGGAAAAAAAAUGAAAUUCUUUCUGUAGUAUACUUAUUAAGCAAGAUAACAUAAACCAUGAAUUACAAAAGCUGCCAACAAUUAAAAUAGGCGACCAAAUGGAAUUAAAAAUACGGGCACACUGUGUACAGAAAUUCUGCAGGAUACAAGGCCAAUAUAAUUUACGAUUCAUACCAGACUCAAUUGGCCAAACCUAUGGAAUUGGAAUGAUGCAUUUAUUUAACUCAAAAGGUAAAUAUCAGGCUUAAGGUUCUUACAUAUUAAAACAAUAAUAAUUCAUUCAUUUUGAACAUGAGAUGCAACUUGGACUAUUUCAAGUUAUUCCAAAAGAAAGCAUUAAAAGGAAUUUGUUCAUCCUACGUGGUAUAAGUAGUAUACUUCAGUUAGUAUUAUACAUCAUCAGUUAAAUCAUUUCGACUAUUAACAUUGAUAACAACAAUAAUAAAAUAAACAUAUGUAGUUAUAAAAUAAAUAGAUAAAUUCAACUUCGGAUAAAUUUGGGUUGUUACAGUAACCCUCCAAGCCACCACUGUAUUAUAACCAAUAGACAUUUGAAUUAUAACAGAUAGACAAGAAUAAAAUGAAAGCCAAUAUUAUUCAUGCAGAAUUAAUCUAAUUUAUUUUUCAGUUAAGGUUAGUAACAAUUUAUCUGUAAAUAAUUGAACCAACUUGGUUAUUACAACAUUACUUUUUCAAAGCGUUUAGAGCUCAGAAUAUCAAGACAACAAUUUGAUGGUUGGUUAAUUGAGUACCGGAAUCAGUGAUUUUUACUGCAAGAAUGCAAUUGUAAACACCACACAGUAAGUUUUCAAGGCAUCCAGCAUAUUAACUCAAAAAACAAAAUUCUCAUUACUUGUCUAUAAUUGCUGAAGUAGAGUGUACCAGGAUAUCAGGCUCAGCAUCUUGAAAAUCUUGCAAACUAACAGGGGACUGCACAUAUUCGAAGGAUACAGAAUUUCAAUCUAAGGGGGCUGAAUCUUGUACAUUGCACUAUUAUCGAAAGAAAUGAACUCAUAUUUAUGUCAUAUAAAUGCAUAUAUGUCGUGAUUGGAGGAGAGAACAUUCUAGAACAAUUGCUACUUAAUACCUUUUCAUUAUCUUUAUUUGAGUUCAAGUUCACAGUAAGAUCUAAUUAUCCAAUCUUCCUCAUAUCAGGUUUGUCAGCUUGUAUGAGUCAAUCUUACACAUAUGAAUAUUGAGAAUUAUUCAUAAAGAUAUUUCAUAAUAAACAUAUAGUCAACUUUUCAAGAACUAGUGAAAAAUGGCGGAAAAAUAGUAUUCAAAAGAAUUCUAGAAUCUUUUUCCUCUUUUCCAAGAGAAAUGCAUAUACUUAUAGAUAAAGGAAGGAAAAAUUUUAAGGGCAGCGCAGGGUAUGAUAAAUAACAACUCCUUGACAUCCUUCAACUAAAUGUGAAGAAUUUGAAGUUUUUGUGGAUGCCUUUACUUCUGAAUUCAAUCAUACACAAACAGGCCAUAUUAUUAAUAGGAAAAACUUUUGAAAGGGGACCACAUACUCCAGAAUGUCAGGAAUCAGGCGGAAUUGAACCCGCCACAUCAUGGCCUCUGUGCUAAGAGUUAAUAGAAAACUGCAGAGUAUUGUUUGGCAGUGGCAUUUGAGGCAAUUCCUUAAAGAUUAUGAGUAGAAAGAUAUCUUAGAAAAUCUACUGGAGGUUAAAAGUUAAUAGCCACUAAUUUAAUUACAUUCAUUGUGGAGUAUCCACCUUAUUCAAUAACCCCCUUUAGUCACAGCAACUUUAUUCAAUGCAAGCGAAGUCCAUUCUGGUGAUUCAAUAACUAAAGCAAAAACAUAUGGUACCUUGCCAGUCAGAGUUGUCACCAUCACUAUCUUCUGAAUGAAAUUGCCUUCUCAAGUAACUUUCUUCAUCAGCAAAUGCAGGCCUGAGGUAACCCACUAUAGAAAGACCAUUUGAAGGAUGAUCCAUUUUUCUAUCAUAGUCCAUAUUAACAGCCUACGUGAAAAAACAAUAAAUAAAUCAUUACACUAGAGUACUAAAAGUAAUUUGACAUACAUAAUACUGAGAAAAAAAAAAACCAGAAUUUUAGCCAUGUAAAGUUGAAUAAUCUGGAGAUUAAAAAAAUUAAUAAAUAAAUAAAUAUAAAGUUCAUGUUAUUAGCAGACAAACAGUCAGCACUUCACGUUAAAUAAUUAAACUUGCAAUAGAAAGAUAGAACAAUAACUGACUUGAUCAUGGUGUUGGGAAACUGUCAGUGACGUAACAAAAUUACUAAUUACAAAACCAGCUCAUAAUCACCUUUGUCAAACAAUUGGCAAAAUAAAUAGGAUGAACCCAGUUGGAAGUAUCUGGCAUUCCCCCAGUCAACUGAGCAUAGACUGUGUUACCAAAAGCUAUUAAUGAGGUUAUGAUAGCUUUAAAAGCUCAAAUAGGGCAGUUGUAGAACAGUCUAUACUGUGACUGUCCUCAUUCAAAAAAUUAGCCGAGAAAGCUGAGUUACACGGAAGGUUCAAUGGUUAAAGAUGUGACUUUGCAUGGGUGCUAAAACCAACAUUUAUUAAGCUUAAAGAUCUGUCUUUAUCACCUAAGCUCCUCUGUAACAAAAUAAAUUAAGCCUAGAGAUCGAUCUUAAUCAGUUAAAGAUGAUCUGUACAGCUGCAGAAUCAUUUACACCCCUUAGUUUAUCUUAAACAACAACAUCAAUAUCUGUCAUAACUCUCACCAAUAUUCAUUCUUUUCACAAAUACAAUCACCCAAAAAUCACUCAACCCAGCAGUUGCAAGUCCUUUGCUAAGAUCAAUCAUUAAUCAGAUAUAAACUUUUAAGAAAAUAUAAAACCUCAACGACAAUGACAACUUACCAGUCUCCUCAUCAGGCCUGGACGGCGGGCCCUGGCACCACAAGGCAGUCCCUCAUUGCAUCUUAUAACAGGUAUUCUGCUCAAUCACAAGCUUGCCACUAAAAUCCCCUUUCAUCCAGCUUAGAAGCCACAUGAUCAGGAUCUCCGAGCCUUACUAGAAGCGAAAGAGUGAGAAAAGUAAAGGGGCAGAAAAAAUGGUAGAAACCCUCAGCUACUUGCUUGCAAGUAUUAGGACCAGAUCUUACCAGAUCUAAAAUGAUUUUCCAGAUUGCAUACCUCGCGCGAUGCGCGCCAAACCGAUCUGCAAAGUUUUGGAGUUGGAAGAUAGUUUCAGGGUUAAAACUAACGGAUGCUUUUGGUGCUCUUCUUGGUUUCUUCCACAGCCUUACCAUCACCAGAAUCUGAACGACAAUCUGCAUCUCAUCUCUUCGACAAUCUGCAUUCCCAACUAUUUGGAUUGUGAUCGACGGUUUCACGGUUCACGUGCCAGCGGAUUCGGGUUCGGAUUUGGUGAAUCUUGGCUUAAAAUUUAGGAGAUUUGAGACAGGGCGGUGCUUUUUCUUUUGAUUUUUUUUUCUUCUACAGUGACGUUGAGACUCAAUGGGAAAUGUAUUUUUUUUCCACCUUUUAUUUUCAAAAAAGGGGAAAAAUAGAUAGUAUAAAAAAAAGUUUUUUUUUUUACUUUUUUGCUGUUGAUGGUGCCAUAAUUGUUAUAAUAUUGAAUUUUUUUAAUAAAUAAUAACUAUAAAAAUAUUUUAAUUAAUUAUUAUAAAUUUUAAUUAGGUAAUAUUAAAUAAAUAAUAAUAAUAAUAAUAAUAAAUUAUUAAUAAAUUAUAAUGAAUUAUAAUUAUAAUAAUUUUAUAAUAAAUAAUAAUGAAACAAUUUCAUACUGAUAAUAAUAACAAUAAAAUUAUAAAUAUAAUAAUAUUUUUACGAAAUAAUAAUAUAAUAAAAUAUUAAUAAUAAUAACUUAUUAUUAUAAUUAUUAUUAUAAAGUUUGAUUACAAUAAUAUUUUCAUAAAUAAUAAUCAUAAAACAAAAUCAUGAAAUUAAUAAAUAAUAUCAAUAAUGAAUUAGUAAUCAUAAUUAUAAUACUAUUUUAAUAAAUAUUAUGAUGAUGAUGACGAUUAUUCUUAUUAUUAUUAUUAUUAUUAUUAUUAUUAUUAUUAUUAUUAUUACCACCAAUUGACAAUAAUCAACAAAGGGCAUUUAAGAAAUUAUGAUAAUUCAUUCCGAUUUCAAGACAAAUUAAACAUAUCGAUGGAAAUGAAUCUCAUUCCGACUUCAAUUUCUACAGCUCAAAUAAAUAACUUAUUCUUAUUCACAUUCUUGAUUCUGAUUGUAGCCCGUUACGAUUACUGAUUGGUAAAUGCACCAUGAGCAGAUUAUUGUGGUUUAAUUGGGUCUGUUUUUUUCAAACCUAAUGAAUAAUUAGUUUGGGUUGGAUAAAUUAUAAUUAACCAGUCUAACCCAACCAAAUCUAUAAUAAUAAUAAUAAUAAUAAUAAGAAGAAGAAGAAGAAGGAGGAGGAGGAAAAUGAUAAUGUGUUAAUUCUCAAUUGCAAAAUUAUAACGACUUAAAUGGUUUAUCUAAUUUUUUAUUCUUUUUAAUCUUUUAAUACAAGAGGCUAUUUCAUUCUUGCAUCUGAUGCUCUAGACUACAAUUCCAAAACCAAAAUCACAUUAUCUUAUAAGUAAAUUUAUUAUUUUAUAAGAUUAAUAUAAAAGUAAGUUGGUUUUAAUUUUUUUAUUUUUUUAGUGAAUACUUAACGGCACAUAAUUAUAUAUCACUUUCAUUUUAUUUUUGUAUAUGAUGCUAGCUAAUUAUCUAAAAAGUCUUAAUUUGGAAUUGGAAAAGGAGAUGCAGGAGAAAUAAAGUCUAUAUGGUUUUUGUGGAAAUUUUCUUAAUUUAAAGAUAGUUAAUUUAUUAACUUUCUUUACGUACACUAGAUAGUGAAUGAAAAUUUCAUGUUAUAAAAAAUAUGUAAAUCACAGAUAAAACUAGUAAUUUAAUGAAAAAAUGGUAAAUUAAUGUUGGAAUUGUAAUUUGCACGAAGAACUUGUAAACAAGACAAAAACUUAGAAAACUGACAUAGAACUUGUAAAUUCACAUUAAGUGUGAAAUAAAACAAAAAAUAUGUAAAUCACACAUAACACUAGUAAAUUGAUGGAAAAAUGAGAAAAUUAAUGUUGGAGUUGUAAUUUGUACGAAAAACUUGUAAAUAAAACAAAAACUUAGAAAAAUGACAUAGAACUAGUAAAUUCACAUUAAGUGUGACAUAAAACAAAAAAUGUGUAAACCACACAUAAAACUAGUAAAUUAAUGAAAAAAAUGAUAAAUUAAUGUUGGAAUUGUAAUUAGCACGAAGAACUUGUAAUCAAAACAAAAACUUAGAAAAAUGACAUAAAACUAGUAAAUUCACAUUAAGUGUGAAAUAAAACAAAAAAUAUGUAAACCACACAUAAAACUAGUAAAAUAAUGAAAAACAUGGUAAAUUAAUGUUGGAGUUGUCAUUUGCACGAAGAACUUGUAAACACAACAAAAACUUAGAAAAAUGACAUAGAACUAGUAAAUUGACAUUAAUUGUGAAAUAAAACAAAAAAUGUGUAAAUCACACAUAAAACUAGUAAAUUAAUGAAAAAAAUGGUAAAUUAAUGUUCGAAUUGUAAUUUCCACGAAGAACUUGUAAACACAACAAAAACUUAGAAAAAUGACAUAGAACUAGUAAAUUGACAUUAUUUGUGAAAUAAAACAAAAAAUAUGUAAAUCACACAUAAAACUAGUAAUUUAAUGAAAAAAAUGGUAAAUUAAUGUUGGAAUUGUAAUUUGCACGAAGAACUUGUAAACAAGACAAAAACUUAGAAAACUGACAUAGAACUUGUAAAUUCACAUUAAGUGUGAACUAAAACAAAAAAUAUGUAAAUCACACAUAAAACUAGUAAUUUAACGAAAAAAAUGGUAAAUUAAUGUUGGAAUUGUAAUUUGCACGAAGAACUUGUAAACAAGACAAAAACUUAGAAAACUGACAUAGAACUUGUCAAUUCACAUUAAGUGUGAAAUAAAACAAAAAAUAUGUAAAUCACACAGAAAAUUAGUAAUUUAAUGAAAAAAAUGGUAAAUUAAUGUUGGAAUUGUAAUUUGCACGAAGAACUUGUAAACAAGACAAAAACUUAGAAAACUGACAUAGAACUUGUAAAUUCACGUUAAGUGUGAAAUAAAACAAAAAAUAUGUAAAUCACACAUAAAACUAGUAAAUUAAUGAAAAAAAUGGUAAAUUAAUGUUGGAAUUGUAAUUUGCAUGAAGAACUUGUAAACAAAACAAAAACUUAUAAAAAUGACAUAGAACUAGUAAAUUCACAUUAAUUGUGAAAUGAAACAAAAAAUAUGUAAAUCACACAUAAAACUAGUAAAUUAAUGGAAAAAUGAGAAAGUUAAUGUUGGAGUUGUAAUUUGUACGAAAAACUUGUAAACAAAACAAAAACUUAGAAAAAUGACAUAGAACUAGUAAAUUCACAUUAAGUGUGAAAUAAAACAAAAAAUAUGUUAACCACACAUAAAACUAGUAAAUGUAUGGAAAAAAUGGUAAAUUAAUGUUCGAGUUGUAAAUUGUAAGAAGAACUUGUAAACAAGGCAAAAACUUAGAAAAAUGACAUAGAACUUGGAAAUUCACAUUAAGUGUGAAAUAAAACAAAAAAUAUGUAAAUCACACAUAAAACUAGUAAAUUGUGAAAAAAAAAUAGUAAAUUAAUGUUGGAAUUGUAAUUUGCGCGAAGAACUUGUAAACAAAACAAAAACUUAUAAAAAUGACAUAGAACUAGUAAAUUGACAUUAAUUGUGAAAUAAAACAAAAAAUGUGUAAAUCACACAUAAAACUAGUAAAUUGAUGAAAAAAUAAGUAAAUUAAUGCCGGAGUUGUAAUUUGUACGAAAAACUUGUAAACAAAACAAAAACUUAGAAAAAUGACAUAGAACUAGUAAAUUCACAUUAAUUGUGAAAUGAAACAAAAAAUAUGUAAAUCACACGUAAAACUAGUAAAUUAAUGGAAAAAUGAGAAAGUUAAUGUUGGAGUUGUAAUUUGUAAAUGUAUGGAAAAAAUGGUAAAUUAAUGUUCGAGUUGUAAAUUGUAAGAAGAACUUGUAAACAAGGCAAAAACUUAGAAAAAUGACAUAGAACUUGUAAAUUCACAUUAAGUGUGAAAUAAAACAAAAAAUAUGUAAAUCACACAUAAAACUAGUAAAUUAGUGAAAAAAAAUGGUAAAUUAAUGUUGGAAUUGAAAUUUGCACGAAGAACUUGUAAUCAAAACAAAAACUUAUAAAAAUGACAUAGAACUAGUAAAUUGACAUUAAUUGUGAAAUAAAACAAAAAAUGUGUAAAUCACACAUAAAACUAGUAACUUGAUGAAAAAAUAAGUAAAUUAAUGCCGGAGUUGUAAUUUGUACGAAAAACUUGUAAACAAAACAAAAACUUAGAAAAAUGACAUAGAACUAGUAAAUUGACAUUAAUUGUGAAAUAAAACAAAAAAUGUGUAAAUCACACAUAACACUAGUAAAUUGAUGGAAAAAUGAGAAAAUUAAUGUUGGAGUUGUAAUUUGUACGAAAAACUUGUAAAUAAAACAAAAACUUAGAAAAAUGACAUAGAACUAGUAAAUUCACAUUAAGUGUGACAUAAAACAAAAAAUGUGUAAACCACACAUAAAACUAGUAAAUUAAUGAAAAAAAUGAUAAAUUAAUGUUGGAAUUGUAAUUAGCACGAAGAACUUGUAAUCAAAACAAAAACUUAGAAAAAUGACAUAAAACUAGUAAAUUCACAUUAAGUGUGAAAUAAAACAAAAAAUAUGUAAACCACACAUAAAACUAGUAAAAUAAUGAAAAACAUGGUAAAUUAAUGUUGGAGUUGUCAUUUGCACGAAGAACUUGUAAACACAACAAAAACUUAGAAAAAUGACAUAGAACUAGUAAAUUGACAUUAAUUGUGAAAUAAAACAAAAAAUGUGUAAAUCACAAAUAAAACUAGUAAAUUAAUGAAAAAAAUGGUAAAUUAAUGUUGGAAUUGUAAUUUGCACGAAGAACUUGUAAACAAGACAAAAACUUAGAAAACUGACAUAGAACUUGUAAAUUCACAUUAAGUGUGAACUAAAACAAAAAAUAUAUAAAUCACACAUAAAACUAGUAAUUUAAUGAAAAAAAUGGUAAAUUAAUGUUGGAAUUGUAAUUUGCACGAAGAACUUGUAAACAAGACAAAAACUUAGAAAACUGACAUAGAACUUGUAAAUUCACGUUAAGUGUGAAAUAAAACAAAAAAUAUUUAAAUCACACAUAAAACUAGUAAAUUAAUGAAAAAAAUGGUAAAUUAAUGUUCGAAUUGUAAUUUGCACGAAGAACUUGUAAACAAGACAAAAACUUAGAAAACUGACAUAGAACUUGUAAAUUCACGUUAAGUGUGAAAUAAAACAAAAAAUAUGUAAAUCACACAUAAAACUAGUAAAUUAAUGAAAAAAAUGGUAAAUUAAUGUUGGAAUUGUAAUUUGCAUGAAGAACUUGUAAACAAAACAAAAACUUAUAAAAAUGACAUAGAACUAGUAAAUUCACAUUAAUUGUGAAAUGAAACAAAAAAUAUGUAAAUCACACAUAAAACUAGUAAAUUAAUGGAAAAAUGAGAAAGUUAAUGUUGGAGUUGUAAUUUGUACGAAAAACUUGUAAACAAAACAAAAACUUAGAAAAAUGACAUAGAACUAGUAAAUUCACAUUAGGUGUGAAAUAAAACAAAAAAUAUGUUAACCACACAUAAAACUAGUAAAUGUAUGGAAAAAAUGGUAAAUUAAUGUUCGAGUUGUAAAUUGUAAGAAGAACUUGUAAACAAGGCAAAAACUUAGAAAAAUGACAUAGAACUUGUAAAUUCACAUUAAGUGUGAAAUAAAACAAAAAAUAUGUAAACCACACAUAAAACUAGUAAAAUAAUGAAAAACAUGGUAAAUUAAUGUUGGAGUUGUCAUUUGCACGAAGAACUUGUAAACACAACAAAAACUUAGAAAAAUGACAUAGAACUAGUAAAUUGACAUUAAUUGUGAAAUAAAACAAAAAAUGUGUAAAUCACACAUAAAACUAGUAAAUUAAUGAAAAAAAUGGUAAAUUAAUGUUGGAAUUGUAAUUAGCACGAAGAACUUGUAAUCAAUACAAAAACUUAGAAAAAUGACAUAAAACUAGUAAAUUCACAUUAAGUGUGAAAUAAAACAAAAAAUAUGUAAACCACACAUAAAACUAGUAAAAUAAUGAAAAACAUGGUAAAUUAAUGUUGGAGUUGUCAUUUGCACGAAGAACUUGUAAACACAACAAAAACUUAGAAAAAUGACAUAGAACUAGUAAAUUGACAUUAAUUGUGAAAUAAAACAAAAAAUGUGUAAAUCACACAUAAAACUAGUAAAUUAAAGAAAAAAAUGGUAAAUUAAUGUUGGAAUUGUAAUAUGCACGAAGAACUUGUAAACAAGACAAAAACUUAGAAAACUGACAUAGAACUUGUAAAUUCACAUUAAGUGUGAACUAAAACAAAAAAUAUAUAAAUCACACAUAAAACUAGUAAUUUAAUGAAAAAAAUGGUAAAUUAAUGUUGGAAUUGUAAUUUGCACGAAGAACUUGUAAACAAGACAAAAACUUAGAAAACUGACAUACAACUUGUAAAUUCACGUUAAGUGUGAAAUAAAACAAAAAAUAUUUAAAUCACACAUAAAACUAGUAAAUUAAUGAAAAAAAUGGUAAAUUAAUGUUCGAAUUGUAAUUUGCACGAAGAACUUGUAAACAAGACAAAAACUUAGAAAACUGACAUAGAACUUGUAAAUUCACGUUAAGUGUGAAAUAAAACAAAAAAUAUGUAAAUCACACAUAAAACUAGUAAAUUAAUGAAAAAAAUGGUAAAUUAAUGUUGGAAUUGUAAUUUGCAUGAAGAACUUGUAAACAAAACAAAAACUUAUAAAAAUGACAUAGAACUAGUAAAUUCACAUUAAUUGUGAAAUGAAACAAAAAAUAUGUAAAUCACACAUAAAACUAGUAAAUUAAUGGAAAAAUGAGAAAGUUAAUGUUGGAGUUGUAAUUUGUACGAAAAACUUGUAAACAAAACAAAAACUUAGAAAAAUGACAUAGAACUAGUAAAUUCACAUUAGGUGUGAAAUAAAACAAAAAAUAUGUUAACCACACAUAAAACUAGUAAAUGUAUGGAAAAAAUGGUAAAUUAAUGUUCGAGUUGUAAAUUGUAAGAAGAACUUGUAAACAAGGCAAAAACUUAGAAAAAUGACAUAGAACUUGUAAAUUCACAUUAGGUGUGAAAUAAAACAAAAAAUAUGUAAAUCACACAUAAAACUAGUAAAUUAGUGAAAAAAAAUGGUAAAUUAAUGUUGGAAUUGUAAUUUGCACGAAGAACUUGUAAACAAAACAAAAACUUAUAAAAAUGACAUAGAACUAGUAAAUUGACAUUAAUUGUGAAAUAAAACAAAAAAUGUGUAAAUCACACAUAAAACUAGUAAAUUGAUGAAAAAAUAAGUAAAUUAAUGCCGGAGUUGUAAUUUGUACGAAAAACUUGUAAACAAAACAAAAACUUAGAAAAAUGACAUAGAACUAGUAAAUUCACAUUAAGUGUGAAAUAAAACAAAAACUAUGUAAACCACACAUAAAACUAGUAAAUGUAUGGAAAAAAUGGUAAAUUAAUGUUCGAGUUGUAAAUUGUAUGAGGAACUUGUAAACAAGACAAAAACUUAGAAAAAUGACAUAGAACUUGUAAAUUCACAUUAAGUGUAAAAUAAAACAAAAAAUAUGUAAAUCACACAUAAAACUAGUAAAUUAAUGAAAAAAAUGGUAAAUUAAUGUUGGAAUUGUAAUUUGCACGAAGAACUUGUAAACAAAACAAAAACUUAUAAAAAUGACAUAGAACUAGUAAAUUGACAUUAAUUGUGAAAUAAAACAAAAAAUGUGUAAAUCACACAUAAAACUAGUAAAUUGAUGAAAAAAUAAGUAAAUUAAUGCCGGAGUUGUAAUUUGUACGAAAAACUUGUAAACAAAACAAAAACUUAGAAAAAUGACAUAGAACUAGUAAAUUCACAUUAAGUGUGAAAUAAAACAAAAAAUAUGUUAACCACACAUAAAACUAGUAAAUGUAUGGAAAAAAUGGUAAAUUAAUGUUCGAGUUGUAAAUUGUAAUAAGAACUUGUAAACAAGGCAAAAACUGAGAAAAAUGACAUAGAACUUGUAAAUUCACAUUAAGUGUGAAAUAAAACAAAAAAUAUGUAAAUCACACAUAAAACUAGUAAAUUAGUGAAAAAAAAUGGUAAAUUAAUGUUGGAAUUGUAAUUUGCACGAAGAACUUGUAAACAAAACAAAAACUUAUAAAAAUGACAUAGAACUAGUAAAUUGACAUUAAUUGUGAAAUAAAACAAAAAAUGUGUAAAUCACACAUAAAACUAGUAAAUUGAUGAAAAAAUAAGUAAAUUAAUGCCGGAGUUGUAAUUUGUACGAAAAACUUGUAAACAAAACAAAAACUUAGAAAAAUGACAUAGAACUAGUAAAUUCACAUUAAGUGUGAAAUAAAACAAAAAAUAUGUUAACCACACAUAAAACUAGUAAAUGUAUGGAAAAAAUGGUAAAUUAAUGUUCGAGUUGUAAAUUGUAAGAAGAACUUGUAAACAAGGCAAAAACUUAGAAAAAUGACAUAGAACUUGUAAAUUCACAUUAAGUGUGAAAUAAAACAAAAAAUAUGUAAAUCACACAUAAAACUAGUAAAUUAGUGAAAAAAAAUGGUAAAUUAAUGUUGGAAUUGUAAUUUGCACGAAGAACUUGUAAACAAAACAAAAACUUAUAAAAAUGACAUAGAACUAGUAAAUUGACAUUAAUUGUGAAAUAAAACAAAAAAUGUGUAAAUCACACAUAAAACUAGUAAAUUGAUGAAAAAAUAAGUAAAUUAAUGCCGGAGUUGUAAUUUGUACGAAAAACUUGUAAACAAAACAAAAACUUAGAAAAAUGACAUAGAACUAGUAAAUUCACAUUAAGUGUGAAAUAAAACAAAAACUAUGUAAACCACACAUAAAACUAGUAAAUGUAUGGAAAAAAAUGGUAAAUUAAUGUUCGAGUUGUAAAUUGUAUGAAGAACUUGUAAACAAGACAAAAACUUAGAAAAAUGACAUAGAACUUGUAAAUUCACAUUAAGUGUAAAAUAAAACAAAAAAUAUGUAAAUCACACAAAAAACUAGUAAAUUAAUGAAAAAAAUGGUGAAUUAAUGUUGGAAUUGUAAUUUGCACGAAGAACUUGUAAACAAAACAAAAACUUAUAAAAAUGACAUAGAACUAGUAAAUUGACAUUAAUUGUGAAAUAAAACAAAAAAUGUGUAAAUCACACAUAAAACUAGUAAAUUGAUGAAAAAAUGAGUAAAUUAAUGCCGGAGUUGUAAUUUGUACGAAGAAUUUGUAAACAAAACAAAAAUUUAGAAAAAUGACAUAGAACUAGUAAAUUCACAUUAAGUGUGAAAUAAAACAUAAAAUAUGUAAACCACACAUAAAACUAAUAAAUUAAUGGAAAAAUAGGUAAAUUAAUGUUAGAGUUGUAAAUUGUAAGAAGAACUUGUAAAUAAAACAAAAACUUGUAAAUGUUGCAUAAAACUUGUAAAUCAACAUUAACUUGUAAAAGUUUCAUAAAACUUGUAAAUCACACAUAAAAUUAGUAAAUGUAACUUGGAACUUGAACAAAAAAGAGUAAUUACCUGCUACUUAGGUAACAAAUUACCUAUUUAUUUAGAAUUAAUGGUAGAAAUUUUUUAUUCAAAUCUAACGGUCCACGUCCAUUACGGCAUCAAUGCCGUAAAUUUAGUUACGGCAUUAAAGAAUGACCCUUAAAAAUAUUAUCUUGGGUGGAUCCCGCCCCUAAGCAUAAGUGAUGGGGAAGUUAGCUGCCAGCCGGGCCCCACGACUCAUGCAAUUCUCUAAUGCGUAAUUUUGCCGUCCGAUUAUUGUUAUACUUCAAAAUGGGCCAUGGGUUUGUUACUUACAAAAGAGAGUUGGGGUCUGAUUGGAAAUACUUGCAAGAUGUUUCAAAAAUGAUUUUGAAAAGUUAGUAGUUAAUUUAGGUGUUUGAUUUUUUUUCUUAAUUCCUUUGGAGAAAAUUAUGCCAUGUAAAUUUUAAAAAGUAAAAAAUGAGUAACUUUUUUGAAAUCUAAUUUUGACAAUCAUUUUUUAUAUUUAAUAUAAUUUCAUAUAUAUCUUCACAUAUAUUAUAAAAAUUUAAAAUUAUCCUUAUUAAUUAGAAAUAAAAUUAUUAAAUUUAAAGAGACUAUUAUUAUUGCCAAUUAUAUUGAGAUAACAAAAUAAAAAUAAAAUUAAUAAUAUAAAAUAUUUUUUUUAGCUAUCAAAUAUUAUAUAUACACAUUAAACAAAUAUUUUACAAACAUGUUUAUAAAUCUGUUAAUAAAUUUUAUUCAACAUUAUGUCCAUUUCAGUCGUUUAUAUUCUUAUAACAGUUGAACAGUAAGAUUUAUCAAAUACAUAUGACUGCUUUUAAAACCUAUAAUACUUUAAAAAUAAAUCUUACUAAACAUUUUAUUAAUUCCGUUCACAACUGAUUAUUUUGACAAUGCAAUUAACAAUAAUUAUUUUAAAAGAUACAACAUUAUUAAAGUGGUCCUUAGUUUCUCGGGCUUACUCCUAAUAUAGGAAUGAGAUUCUUUUGGGCUCUCUUUUUAUGAGAUUUAAUUUUUAUUAUGUGAUUUUGUUGUUUUUCGUUAAUCGGUUGUCAAUUAAUUGCGUUUUAGAAAUAUUUAUCUUUUUAGUUUUUAAGGAUUGCAUUGGAAAUUUUUUAAUAAAAAUGGUUGAAUAUGACCAAGUAAGUAAUAAUAAAUUAAUUAAUUAAAUUAGCAUUGUUUACAGAUAGCGUACGCAGAGUUACGGAAUCCAAGAAAUAUACUAAGUUAAUUAUUGUAUUCAAUUUUUUUACGAGGCCUUCAUCUUAGUAAUGCUAAGGCAUUUCUAAUAUCAUCAUUUUAUUGUCGCUGGAGACUUGCACUGCAUGCAAUAAAUCCUGGAAUCAAAUUUGAUGUAAAACCUUAUUAAACCCAAAAUCCAAAUUUGAUGCAAAUCCUAUUAAAUCCAAAUUCAAUAAAAUCACAUAUUAUUGUAUACCGUUCUUUUACCUCUAACCUUCACCAUCACCAUCGGCGUAUCGGAGUAUGUAGAGACUCAAAAUAUGGAUCUAAAGAUUGUACUAUACUUUUUGUUAGUGACAGUAUCGAAUCACGUCACGUGCUUCUUUGAUCAUUAAUUGGAGAAACAUUUGAAAGAAAAAAAAUAAGUUAAUUUUUCGUUUAAUUGUCUCCAACAUUUCAUUAGUAUUUAUCUAUAGAUAUAGGUGAGGUUUACUAGGUUUACUUUGGCUAUAGAUUUUAAGACGGUAUAAAAACUAUGCUUGUCAAGGCAAAAAAGAAAGGUUACAGAAAGAGAUUAUGAAAAAAAAAAAAUCUUUGAAAAUGUUAUUAUAUUUGUACAAAAACUAAAAUCAUAUAAAGUUUAUGUCUCUUUUUACCUACUCACGACUAAUAAUUUUAUGCCUUCUUACAAAAUAGUUAUAACUAAACCAAAUAAAAAGAAUAUCACUGAAAUUUAUAAGUAAUAAAUAUUCCCGUAUUUAGAUACCCAUGAUUGCUGAUUUAGGAGUCGUAUAGUCAUUUUUUCAAAAUGCUACAGCAGGACAAAGUUUCUCACUACAGCUCCAUAGUGUAGUUCAUCUGUUAACUAGAAAUGCCUAUACAUAGAUAUAUAUAUAUAUAUAUAUAUAUAUAUAUAUAGAGAGAGAGAGAGAGAGAGAGAGAGAAGUUUUUUAUCAACUUGUUAACAGUUGCUCUUUGGUUGGCACGAAGCUAACAAAUGCUGUGCCUAGUUUCCAUCCGAAGGCAAUUACACUGUAGAUGAUGUUUCUCUCGCUUACAUUGUUGGUGCUGCUUGCUCUCCGAAUCUUGGACCGUGUGAUGAGAUGGAUGAUUGGAAGCCUUUUCCUGAUGGAAUUCUACCGGAAGAAAUUACUACAAGUGACGAUGAACGUGUUGUGUACAUAUGCUUUCGUGAGGCUUCUGAGGUGAGAACAAUUGAACGGUGGGAAGUUGAGCAUUGUUGCCGUAAGUCAAUUAAGGUAGGGUCAAGCAAGAAGUGUCGAGACGAUUAACGAAGAUGAUCAGCAGCCUGUUCGGAAUAUUAUUCAUGAAUUUUGGCUCAUUGACGGGACUUCUUAUAUUGGUUGUGUUUAGUUUUCACCUGCCGACAAGGUUCAGUACACAUACUUGAAUAAAUUCAGUUUAACAUUUCAACUACGACCAUGAAGUACCCGUACAGGUUGCCACCUUGAGACUCAGUGUGUAAAAUUAAGAAUGAAGGUGCUUGAUGGAAAUGAUGAAGUGUACUAUGAAAUGCCACAGUGAGGUUAUUUUGGUGGGAAGACGAUAAUUAGAAUUUAGCAGCUCAAGGUACUCUCGAAUCAGCUAAACAAACACCCUCUAGAAGAGCUCUAUAGAAUACACUAGAAUACUGAAGAUGAAGCCAUGAAAGAUUGUGAUUCAUCAAGCUUAAUAGCAAAAUGUAUCAAGAGUUCUUAUUUCUAAUUGUAUCAAUCUAGACCCAAUCCUAGCCAUUUAAAAAAUAAUAAAUGCAAUUUAGUGUAUAAGCUUAGACUAAAAAGCCUGCAAAAUCACUUGCUGGAAAAGACAAAAUGAAUUUAUCGUAUUUGUGCGUUUUUGUUCUUUGUUUCUAGUUAUUCAUUUACUGCUUUUUUUUUUAACUGGACCGUCGAUGAAAACAUUUCAUAACUUGUGAUAUUAUCAUUUUAAAAUAAUAUAUAUGAUACUCAUCCAUGAAUGAUGAGAUAGUUUAAUUCAUAAAAUGUUUCAAAAAUUGUAAAAAUUUAUUAUUCACUUAAUAAGAAUCACAUGACUUCGAAACAGUUCCUUUGGUCCUUGCAUUCAUUAGCUGCUAUGCUAGUGCUCAUCAGUUGAGAAGAUGAAUGGGAUUAAUUGCUUUGAAUUUCCCAAAGUUGAAUCUCUUUCUUCUUCCACUCUAUUUAAAGCCUUCACCCCAUCAACUUGUUAUCGAUGGACUGUUUUUAAUUUUGACCUGCACGUAAGAUACAGAACCUGAGGAUGAUAGCCAAUUAGCCAUGAAAUAAAUUACAUAAGGUCGUUUGAUAUUAAUUUCCACUAGCAUUUGAAAUUUAUUUCCGUUUUCAGUUAUCUGAUCAAUUUUGAGAAACACAUAUGCAAUGUGGUUUCUGUUUUAGUUAAAUUUUAAAUUAUUCAUGGAGUAGUACUUAAAAAGAAAGUAACUUUGAGAAGAAUGGGCAAAUAAGGUAAUUCUGUUAUCACUCUAAUUCUCAAUUUAUAAUCACAUAAUUAUAGGCUCAAUUUGUCUCCUAGCCGUUGGAGUCAAUCGUGCAGCUGUAAAUGAGAUAAUUUACUUUCCAUGCAAGGUUAUAACAUUUAAUAGAUGAUUUGUUGCCAGACUUGGUUAUAACAUUUUUCAAAAUCCAGGAGUGAUUGAUGCAAAAUUUAAUGUCAUUGAUUCUGAAAAUCCUUUAGGAUGUUUCUCUUUAUAUAAAACACAAGUGUAAAAAUUAUUCACCCUGCACUCGACACAAAGAUAGUUAAAAAAUGAGCAUGAAAUUCUUAGGUAUACAAAUUGCAGUAGCAUUUACAUUUACGUUCUCACCUUGACCAGCAAAAUUAAUGGCUUUAGAAUUGAGCUCACCCCAAGAACCUCCAUUGAUUCGGCUCUGUUUCCCAAAGACCUUUCUCCAGAAGAAAUACAUCACAGAAUUGCUCAACUCUCCAGAGCUCGCGCUAUUCAUCUUAGAUCCAAUCAAGAACCCGAAACACUAAAAGCACCUGUUCCUCCUUCUCCUUUUGUUAACACCAAUAUAUACAUAACAAAGAUAUCCAUUGGCUCAACACAGUUCUCACCUUACUUGAUAGUGGAUACCGGUAGUGAUGAUACAUGGCUUCAAUGUGAGGGUUGCACAAGUUGCUUUCCAAUCAAGGGAGGAAGCUUUCCUGUCAAGGAAUCAAAAACUUAUCGCGGCUUAGCUUGUGAGCACGCUUUGUGUCCCCAAAUUGUGUAAUAAAGGUCUAUGCUCAUACGAUUGGAAGUACAAAGAAGGCAGUGGAACUAAGGGUGUGCUUUCGUCCGAAAGUUUCACUUUUCCUGGGGAUAAAAAUACAAGCCUAACAUUUGCAAAUGUAACCUUUGGUUGUGGCUAUGACAAUCAGAACGUAUCAUUUGGUGGAUACAUGGGAAGUGACAAUAUAAUUGCGGGGGUGUUUGGUUUAGGGGCAGGGCAACGAUCAAUCCUGAGGCAAUUGGAGCCUGAGACCAACCUACAUUUCUCUUACUGUCUUCGCUUGUACCCCACAACAGACGGGAGCAACACUACUUACUUGCGAUUUGGCCCUGAUGCUCAGAUAAAAGGAGACAAUAAACGAAAAGUUCAGACAAUAAAAUUGAACCCAAGCCUACCCGGGUAUUUUGUGAAUGUUACAGGUAUUAGCGUUGAAGGAAAACGACUAGAAAUAGACCCAGCUUUGUUUCAGCUGAAACAAGGAGGCUCUGGUGGAUUUGCUAUUGAUUCAGGUGUUGGACCCACUCUUCUUGUUCCUGAGGCAUAUGAAGUCUUGAAACUAGAAAUCCUCGAAUUCUAUUUGGCGCGAGGCUUUCAUCCUGUAAAAGUAUUGCAUGUGCCGUAUGAUCUUUGCUAUGCUAUUACACCUGCAGCUAAUGCUGAUGCUAGUGUUUUCUUCCCGUCAAUGGUAAUCCAUUUCGAAGGGGCUGACCUUUUUCUGGAUGAUACUGCUGUGAUGGGGUUCGUUGCUCCUCAAUUGUUCUGUUUGAUUUUCUUGCCUACGCAUCCAUCCGGACCGAAUCUUCUGGGGGCAUUUCAGCAAGAAAAUCAAAGGUUUUUGUUUGAUGUUGGAAAAUCUACUGUGUCAUUUGUUUCUGAGACAUGUAAUGAGCAAGAAUAAGAUUAUGUGACUCUAAAAAAAUUGCAGGCUUUUCAAAAAUUUUUUUUUUCUUUUUCUUCCCAGAUUGUCAGCUUCUUUGGAUUCAGGUCCUGCAAUUUUAAAGGCCUGAUCAGUACUCAAUUUUAGACAUAGCAGGUGUUAAAAAUGAGACUGAUGCAAUAUUUAAUUACGAAUUCUCCAAAUUUGAACCCUACGUAAACUUGAUUUAGAUAAUCAUGAUGUAAGAAGCAAUAAUGAUACAUGAUUAGGUGUACAAAAAGUUAUCGUUAAUGUAAAUAUAGAAAUUUGUAGAACUGGCAGUCGCAGCUCAUCAUGAUUAGUUGUGCAAUACCUUUAAUGGUAAAGCAUUAAUGAAAUUCUAUAAAGACUAAAAACCAUUUAAACCAAAAGAUAUAGAUUUGAUUGCCGCUCACAUGGGUGGGAAAGGGAGUAGAUUACUAUUAAGCCUAAUAAUAAUAAUAAGGAGCCCCUACGUUACGAUUAACGUAACGUACACUCACACACAGCAACAGUACCAAUUCAUUCAAUUCCUCAAUACCCAAAAACGCUGAUCUAAGCUUGCUUUAGAAAAGAUAAUUAUUAGGUAAGAAACAAUGAUACAUGAUUGGUGGUGUAUAAACAUUUAUCAUUUGUGCAAUAAUAUUGAAACUUGAAACACUGAUAACAUGAUUAGUUGUACAAUAUCUUAACGUUAAUGCAAUUUUAAAAAGAGUAAAGAGCAUUUAAAUGCAAAAUCAGCACCAAUUCCUCAAAAGCCAUUUGUUCUUCUGUAUAUCCAUACAAAAUUACAAAUGAUGCAACAAUGUUCUUGCUACUCACAAAAUAUAGAGAUUAUAGCUGUGAAACCCUUUGAUUUACAGCUACAACGGGUGGCUGCAGUUGCCCUUUACAUUUACAUCCUCACCGAGUUCAUGAGUACAACUUAUAGCUUCGAAAUUGACCUCAUUCCAAGAACCUCCAUUGAUUCAAAUCUUUUCCCCAAACACCUUACUCAUGAAGAAACAUAUCAUAGAAUUGCUUCACUUUCGAGAGCUCAUGCUCAUCAUCUCAGUUCCAUGAAUUCUGCCAAAUCCUCCCGAAAACAAAGCACACCCCGAGCCUGAUCAGUGGAUGCAACCACCAACUUUUUCUUUUCCUUUUGCUAAUAUAUAUGUAACAAAGGAUCGAGUUAAUUGGUUCAAGACAAUUCUCACCUUACCUGGUUAUGGAUACUGGUAGUGGGCUAUAUGUGACUUCAAUCUGAAAGAUUGAUUAGACAUUGAUCCGGCAUUGUUUGAGCUAAGCCGUGGCAGUUCAGGUCGGGUUUGCUAUUGAUUCACGCGUUGGACUGAUAAUUCAGGUUCCUGCUGCAUAUAAAGUUUGAAAGCUGAGAUGAUCAAGCACGUUGUUAUACAAAAUGGCUGGCAUCUCGUAGAGGCAGAGAAUUCAAAGAAAAUUCCAUAUGACUUCUGCUUUUGGGUCACACCAACUGGCAUUAAUGAUUCAAAACCAUCAAUGACAAUCCAUUUUGAGGAAGCUGAUCUUGUUCUGGAGCCUAAUGCUGUGUCUCAGAAAGUUGGUGAUCCCUUAUGAAUGAAUGUUAUCCCCAGCUAUCCUAAUGGACCAAAUCUAUUAGGGGCUUCUCAGCAGGCAAACAACCAUUUCUUGUUCGAUGUUAGAAAAUUUAUUUUGUCAUUUAUUACUGAAAAAAGUAAUGAAUAGGUAGGUUACAAGGUUAAAAUGUAAUGACUGGGUAGAUUAUAAGGUUAUCAAACAGAAUAAUUAGAGUUAUCUGCAUGAACAUAUAUAAGAUAUGUAUGACAAAAUUCCAGAGGCUAACUCUUAGACUACAAUAUUUCGGUUGAGGUUGAAUCAAUAAUUUAUCCAACUCCACAGCAUUCCAUCAUAUAUUUGUAAAACUCUUGGACUAUGAGACGGGCAAUUUAGUAAAUUGAACAUUAAUUAAAUGAAACAUACUUACAAAUAUAUUUAUGUAGAUAUAUUUCAUUAUUAAAAUUAUAAUUCAUACAACACAUCAUUUACACAGUUACGUGCCACUAAAAUUCUCGUUCGUCUUAACUAUGUUACAAUACUGUCAUCAUCAUCAUAUGAGUUUUUGUUUUACCGUCAAAUUAUGAUUGAAAUUUUGACCAACCUAUCUUCUUGUCACUGUUGGUGUACCGUCACCACAGUUUGUUGAGAAUCAAAUAAAACGGGAUUGAAUGAAGUUUUCAAAGACAUAAUCCGCACUUGUCAAAAGGAUAAUCUGCACUUGUCAAAGACAAGAUCCACGCCGAACGGAUUGAAACAUUUCCUUCCGUAUUCACAUAUGUAAACUUUGAAAAAAAUGUAGUCUCUGCAUCUAUAAAUAACUCUCAGUGUAUAAUGUUUUAAUUAAGAAAUGAAAACAAGUUUCUUCAUGGUAUCAGAGCCAUGAAUACGCUCAAGUUUCUUCACGUUUUGCUGCUCUGUUUGCAACAAAAACAGAGGAAACCAAAUUCUUCCCACAACCAUCUUUCCCACCAUUUUUCUUCCUUACAACCAUUCCUACCAUUUCAGAAAUCCAUGCCGAUCAAAAAAACAAGCCACCUAUACGUAAAAAACUUGAGUUUACAAAUUUAUCAACAAUCCUAUAAAUUUUCCAAGAGUGUGUUCCUCAAGAACCAAGAAUACCAUUAAAUUUCUCAGUUUCCAGUAAGUAAACUGUAAAAGUUUCGCAUUUAAACACAUUUCCACGCGCUCCCACGCACCACCCGAAACCACACCCAGUCAACCACUCGCCUCUGUCAUCUUCACGCGCUCCCACGCGCUCCAGAGGUUGAAGAAGACUUCAACCGACAUGUCGUUGUUUAUCUCCAGAGUGCAGCAGUCAUAAACGACAUGUCGUUUCGUAUUACAUUGAAACCGACAUGUCGUUUGUAAAGUAGAGACAAACCGACGUGACGUUUAAUUUCCAGAGGUGCAGCAGUCCUAAAACGACAUAUCGUUUCUAUUCCAUCAGAACCGACAUGUCGUUUUUUCAAGCAGAGGCCAAACGACUUGUCAUUUUUUGAUCUAAAAAGGUUAUUUUUUUUUCUUCUUUCAAUCUAGACCCCAAAAAAACAAAAAAAACAAAAACAAAAACAAAAAAAACAAAAAAAAGGAAAAGGAAAAGGAAAAAAAUAAAAAAAUGGAGAAAACUCCAAUUGAAUCUGCUCAUGUUGUCAUUCAAUCUGUUCAAUCUGAUGGAGUAUUUAAUGCUGGAAUUAUCCUCACUGAGACAAACUACGAUGUUUGGUCUCAAAUAAUAGAGAUGCAUCUUGCAGAAAGAGAAAAACUCUCAUAUAUUCGUAACAACACAAAGUCAUCUGAGGAAUCUUCAAAGGAAUAUGAGAAAUGGUAUAGUGAGAACCAAAAAGUAAAAAAAUGGUUACUCAUAUCCAUGUCUCCGGAGAUCAUGAAGCGAUAUUUACGAAUUCCUACAGCCUACGAAAUCUGGGAUGCAUUAUCAAAAGCCUUCUAUAAUGGAAGCGAUGAAUUACAAGUUUUCACUCUAAACCAGAAGGCAUUCUCUAUCAAGCAAAAUGGACAACCACUCUCUAAAUUCUACGGAGAAUUGAUCAAAAUAUUUCGAGAACUUGAUCACCGAGAUAAAGUGGUCAUGAAGGAUCCAGAAGAUGUUGUAAUAUACAGAAGGUCUGUUGAAAGAUUGAGAGUGCACAUUUUUCUUGCUGGGCUAGAUGAAGAAUUUGACCAAGUUCGUGGAGAAAUUCUACGAAAAGAUAUUAUCACAGACUUAGAAGAGUGUUAUUCUCUUAUCCGAAGAGAAGAUGUACGGCAAAGCAAACUAAACAAGAAGGUCGACUCAGAAACGUCUGCUAUGAUAGCACGACAGCAGCCUCAAAGGAAGCUUGUUGACAAGUCAUCACUCAAUUGCACUCAUUGUAGAAAGAAGGGUCAUACGAAAGAACAAUGUUUUGAAAUCAUUAGAUAUCCUGACUGGUGGGAUACUCGAAAGAAGAACACCAAACAUGGAUCAAAAACUGCAGUAGCUGAAUCCACAUCCACUACAGAUCUUAGAAAAGAAUCUUCAGUGCAAAUCGCAACCUCUAUCAGUCUAAGUAAGGCCCUUAAAACUCUUACACCUGUUAUUAAUAGUACAUGGAUAAUUGAUUCUGGGGCAACUGAUCAUAUGACUUUUGAUUCUCGAUAAGUUUCUCAAUUGAAACCAUCUUCACAAAAACAUAUUUCCACUGCAAAUGGAACCACAACCUCAGUUAUUGGGGAAGGAUCUUUACGACUCACAGAUGAAUUAAAUUUAAACUAUGUGUUAAUUGUUCCAUCUUUAGAUUAUAAUCUUUUAUCUGUGUCUCAAUUAACCACUUACUUAUCAUGUGUUGUAAUUUUUUGGCCCGAUCAUUGUGUGUUUAAGGACAUCCAAACGAAGCAAACGAUUGGUUAUGGUAUUAGACGAGGCAACUUGUACUACUUGGAGAUGUCAUCAACAAACACUGAAAAGCUAAGCCCCACACUAGUCGCAGAUAGUUCCAUAAAAAAAGAGAAAUCAGAAAUUUGGUUAUGGCAUAAACGUUUAGGGCAUGUGUCAUUUGGUUACUUAAAAAAAUUAUUUCCUAAUUUGUUUCUGAAAUUUGAUGUUUGUAACUUUAAAUGUGAUGUUUGUGAACUUUCAAAAAGCCAUCGAACUACUUUUUCAUUGUCCUUAAAUAAAAAUCAAGUUCCUUUCAUGGUAGUACAUUCUUAUGUAUGGGGGCCAUCUAAAGUUUCUACAAUUGGAGGUGCUCGUUGGUUUGUUACAUUUAUUGAUGAUUGUAGUAGAAUGACAUGAAUUUUUCUGAUGAAAUCGAAAGAUGAAGUAAACCCUUUAUUUCAAAGAUUUCAUAAGAUGGUCACGACUCAAUUUCAGGCACAAAUUCGAGUUCUACAUACUGAUAAUGGAGGCGAGUAUAUGAGCACAGCAAUUCAACAGUUUCUGAAAUCACAAGGAUCUGUCUAUCAAACCACUUGUGUGGGGACACCCCAACAAAAUGGCGUUGCUAAACGAAAAAACAGACAUUUACUAGAAGUUGUUCGAGCAUCACUAAUCCAAGCCCACAUGCCAUUAUCUUAUUGGGGAAAAGCACUGGCAUCCGCAGCAUACUUGAUCAACCGAACACCUUCAAGCUCUCUUGGAUUCCAGACUCCUUUCCAGGUUCUGAAUGAUGCAAUUAUGUCACCAAAUGUGCCGAAUUUACCCCCACAUGUGUUUGGUUGUGUUGCCUUCGUUCAUUUGCCGCAACAAGACAAAUUAUCUCCUCGAGCACUACGUUGUGUGUUUGUAGGGUAUGCCUUACAUCAAAAGGGAUACUGCUGCUAUCAUCCACCAUCAAGAAAAAUAUACAUCACCAUGGGUGUCGUCUUUCAUGAAGAUAUCAUGUACUACUUGUCAGAGCCUGAAUUUCAGGGGGAGUAUAAUGAAAAGGAAAUUCAUACUCUUACAUAUCUUCCACCUGAAGAAGGUCAAUCUUCCAUUGAGAUAGUAAACCUUCAAGAUACUGGAAAAGAUAAUGGUGAUGAUUCUCAGGCUAAGAUAAGUGAAGACACAUUUGGGGAGCACAAUAACUCAGACACAACUGCAAUCGAGAAUGAGUCACAUGAAGAAAUACCUAACCAAUCGUCUGCAGAGGAUGUUCCUACCACAAGUCCAAUCAGAAGAAUUCUUCCCUAGCGUCAAAAUAGAGGUAUCCCUAAAACCACAUAUGAGCCUGACUUCUCUAGUAGAGUCAAAUACCCUAUGAGUCAUUUUGUGUCUAACCAUCGCUUGUCAGAAUCAAAUUAGUCAUUUGUGAAUCAAUUAUCUAUUGUAUCUAUUCUUAACAGUGUGCAGGAAGCCUUAAAAGACCCAAAGUGGAAAGCGGCUAUGAAUGAUGAAAUGAGAUCUCUUCAGAAAAAUCAAACAUGGGAACUAGUUGAUCCUCCACCAGGAAAGAAACCAGUGGGUUGCCGAUGGAUCUACACUAUAAAGUACAAAGCAAAUGGCUCUAUUGAACGAUACAAAGCAAGACUCGUAGCUAAGGGUUACACCCAAACCUACGGGAUAGAUUAUACCGAUACGUUUGCACCAGUAGCAAAAAUUAAUACUAUUCGUAUCUUAUUAUCAUUAGCAGUCAACUUGGAAUGGCCAGUGCAGCAGUUCGAUGUAAAGAAUGCUUUCCUCCAUGGAGACUUGUCUGAAGAAAUUUAUAUGGAUCUGCCACCAGGAUGCAGUGGACCAGAACGACUCAAUCAGAAAGUAUGCAAAUUGAAGAAAUCAUUCUACGGGUUGAAGCAAUCCCCAAGAGCAUGGUUCGGGAAUUUCACAAAGGCUAUGGUUCUUUUUGGGUAUAACCAAAGCAGUUCAGAUCAUACCUUGUUCAUUAAAAAACGACAAGGUAAAAUCACUGCCCUUAUUGUCUAUGUGGAUGAUAUGGUAGUUACAGGCAACGAUGAGGAAGAAAGAAAGGCUCUUCAGAAGUACUUGUCGAGAGACUUUGAGAUGAAGGAUUUAGGAGCCUUAAAAUACUUUCUUGGAAUUGAGGUUUCUCGAUCUAAGGGAAGAAUAUUUCUGUCUCAAAGGAAAUAUGUCUUAGAUCUAUUACACGAAACGAGAAUGACAGCUUGUCAGCCUAUUGACACCCCAAUAGAAGAAGGACUGAAGUUUUGUAUUACCUCAGACCAAGUUCCAGUAGACAAAGGAAGGUAUCAAAGGCUGAUUGGAAUAUUGAUGUACUUGUCCCACACAAGGCCAGAUCUUGCUUAUGCAUUGAGUGUUAUAAGUCAGUUUAUGCAUAAUCCCGGAGAACAACACAUGAAAGCAGUAAUGCGGAUCCUGAGGUACCUGAAGACAAAUCCAGGAAAAGGAAUCUUAUUUUCCAAAAAUGAAGAUUACAGCAACAUAGAAGUUUAUACUGAUGCAGAUUGGGCCGGAUCAGUUAGUGAUAGACCCUCUACUUCAGGAUACUUUACCUUUGUGGGAGGCAACCUUGUCACAUGGAGAAGCAAGAAACAACAUGUCGUUGCCCGUUCGAGCGCUGAAGUAGAAUAUCGAGGCAUGGCCCUUGGGGAUAAGCUCUAUCUUAAACGAUUUGGGCUAUCCAUCACAACAACCAAUACAACUAUACUGUGACAACAAAGCUGCACGAGAUAUUGCUCAUAACCCAGUUCAACACGAUCGAACAAAACAUGUUGAGGUAGAUAGAUUUUUCAUCAAGGAGAAAUUAGAUGAAAAAAUCUUAGAACUGCCGAAAAUUCGAUCAGAAGAUCAACUUGCAGAUAUUUUAACGAAGGUCAUUUCAAGCAGGGCAUUUACAAAAUUCCUAGACAAGCUGGGUAUGUAAGACAUCUAUACACCAGCUUGAGGGGGAGUGUUGAGAAUAAAAAAAAACGGCAUUGAAUGAAGUUUUCAAAGACAUAAUCCGCACUUGUCAAAAGGAUAAUCUGCACUUGUCAAAGACAAGAUCCGCGCCGAACGGAUUGAAACAUUUCCUUCCGUAUUCACAUAUGUAAACUUUGAAAAAAAUGUAGUCUCUGCAUCUAUAAAUAACUCUCAGUGUAUAAUGUUUUAAUUAAGAAAUGAAAACAAGUUUCUUCACAGUUUUCUUGAUUGGUGCACUUAAACGUAACGGGGCCAAAGUGGGGUGUAAUAUGUAGAUUCAAGAGAGCUUAAUGGUUAAGGAUUAUAAGUGAGGACUACUAAAUUUUAACGAAAAGAGGAAAAAUUGUGGACUAGUAUGAUUAAAAAGACAUUAAAGAAGUGUGGACUAGUAGUAAGUAACGCAUAUGGAAAGAAGAAAUAAAAAAACAUCAAUGAUCUAGUUAAUUACAUUUGGGUGAUACAUAUUUUGAUAAAUUAAAAUAGUGACACAUAAUUUAAAAAUUCUCGAUCAAGUGACAAUACGUAAAUUUUUAUCAUUAAUUCUAACGAAUGAAGGGAAAAAUUAGAAAAAAAGAUUUAUUUUAGAGUUAACUACACUUGGAUGACACACAUUUUGAUAAAUUUCAAAAUAAUUACACACGUUUUAAAAAUACUUGAUUAGGUCAAAAUCCAUAAACUUUUACUAUUAAUUCUAAUGGAACAAAGAUAAAAUAAAAUAAAAAUAGUUUUUUUUUCAUUUUUCUCUCUCCCCUUCUUCCUUCCUCUUCUCUAGUUUUUUUCUCCUUUCCUCAUCUUCUUCAGUUCAUUUCCUUCUCGUUUUCUCCUUUUUUUUCAUCUUUUCAAUUCGUCCUUUUUUCUCCCUCUUUCUCUCCUUCUUUCUUUGUCUUCUCUAAGCAUCUUCUCCACACCCAUGGCAAAAUAGUAGCCAUGAGUUGCUAAGGUUGACUCAACAAGAAUUAAAAAAAAAAAAUAGUUUGAUUUAACAGAAAAAAAAAAAUCCUUGUUAGUUAGACUGACCUAGAUUCAAUUAUAAGUAAGUAGGUACAGAAACACCAUUUUGCAACUAAUUGUUGGGGCAAAAAUAUUAUUUUCUUAUUAAUUGACUAAUUCCUUUAGUUAACGGAUUAUUCUCUAAUCAAGUAUUUUUUAACGAUGUAACACUUUUUUUAAAUAUGUCAAAACAAGGUCACUGAUGGUAAUUAACUCUAAAUUAAAUCUCUUUUUAUUCAAUUUUAUCCUUGAUAUGUUAGAAUUAACAAUAAAAGCAAUGGAUUGUAUGAUAGAAUAUUUUUAAAAAAUGUGUCAUUAUUUUAAAAUUGUCAAAACAUAUGUCAUUCAAAUGUAAUUAACCCUUUUAUAAUCAUCUAUUAGCUGUAAUGGCUUGUCUUAAUUUUCUGAAGGCACAUGGGCGCCAUGUUCAUUCAAUUGAUAGAAAUUUGGUCUAUUGAUCAGGUGUUCCGUGCCGUUUUUGUCUUGAGAAUUGAAAAUCAGCCUCAACCUGAAAGCGUGUUAGCUUUGAAAAAAAGAAAAAGAAAAAAGCGACACAUCAUUUUCAAGCUGAUUAUAAUUCUUCUUAGUCUGUGUUUCGAUGGGAGAAGAGAAAAAGAGAGAGAAAAGUAAUUUAAAUUUUAUUUUUAUUUUUAUUGCUUGACUGGACAAAAUAUACAAGAAUUUAAUUUCUAUUAAAAUUUAAUAUCUAUCAUAAUGUAAAAUUUGAAUUUCACACCAAGUAAUGAAAAAUUUAAAUUUCUCUUAUGUUGAAAAUCAAAGCUUCUAAAAUUACCUUUCAACUUUUUAACUUGUUUAAUGCCAUUAAUAAUUAUUAUUUAUAAUUUUAUUUUAUCAAUAUAAUACUAUAAAUAAUUUUAUAUUAAUAAAAUUUAAUAAAUGAUUUAAGAGAUUUAACAAAAUAAAUGAACUUAUUUAUUUUAUUUAUUUAAUGCAAAAAUAUAGAAAUAUAAAUUAACUAUUGCCGAAAUUCCACUGGAAUUCAUGUGGAUUGUUGCCCUACCACCAACAGAACACCGCCGAAUGUAUGUAUAUAUAUAAUUCUAAUAAAUCAUGAAUUGUUUUAGAACUUUUUGACAUUAAAAAGGUUUGGUAUUGAUAUUAAAUUAUAUUUCAUUACUAAUGUAGAUAGUUUAGUAUUUAAAGUAAAAGAUAAUUUUUUCCAAAGAAAAAUAAUUAUAAUUUCUUUCCCUAUCAAAUUUUAUGUCAAAUUAAAUAAUAAAUUUUAAUUUCACUAUUCUCCUUCACUCCUUUCUUCUCUCUUCCCUUUCAUUCAAUUCUUUUCCUCUCUUCCCCUUUCUUCAAGCCAAACAUGGCCUUAGUCCUUUCUUCUCCCUUCCCCUUCAUUCAAUUCUUUUCCUCUCUUCCCCUUUUUUUCAAACCAAAUAUGGCCUUAGUAUAAUUUGGCUCUCAGGGCAUAGAAGGAAAAUUGCACGGGUAAGGAAAAAUUUCUCUAUUAAUUUUUUUUCUAAUGAAAUAAACGAUCCAUAUUAAAUUCUGAAUUUGAUAUUAACUAAUUUUUUCACUACAUUUAGAAAAUUAUGAGAGAAAAAUAAUAAUAAUAAUAGUAAGAAAGAAUCAUAAUCUAUAUUGCACAGGUUGUCGCAGUGACUCGUGAGUCGUGUGUCGUUUUUCGUGGGCGGGUGACUUGGAUUUGGCCUCAUAUGUCACUGCUCGCGUCAUCUGAAUUUCUCUUUCAUAAUCUAUAUUGCACAUAAUAACAGCGAUUAAUUAAGAAGCACUGAAGCACAAAGCCGCAAACCAGAUUUGUCAUCAAACCUAGUAAUUGCAGAUUACAAAGCUUGUACCAACAACCAAAAAUGAGCUGGUGGUGGGCUGGGGCAAUUGGCGCUGCCAAGGUACAGACUUAUAAUUAGAUCAUCUCUUUCAAUUGCUGUGCUUGAAAAAUUUAUUCUUAUUAGUUCAUAUUUUUAAAAUCUUGAGUUUAAUUUUCAUUUUAAAUUACAGAAGAAAUUCGAAGAAGAUGAGCGACCACCGCAACCUCAAGACUACCAGCACGUGGGACUCGUGAUAGGCAUUACGGGAAUUGUGGGAAACAGCCUAGCUGAGAUUUUGCCCCGACAGGAUACUCCCGGGGGCCCGUGGAAGGUCUACGGAGCGGCCCGACGCCCCAGGCCCGACUGGAACACCGAUCACCCGAUCGAGUACAUCCAAUGCGACGUUUCCGACCAGGACGACACGCAGGCCAAGCUCACAAAACUCACCGACGUCACCCACAUCUUCUACGUGACGUGGGCCAGCCGUCCCACGGAAGCCGAGAACUGCGAGGUCAACGGCACCAUGCUUCGCAACGUGCUCCGUUCCGUUAUCCCGAACGCGCCAAAUCUCCGCCACGUCUGCCUCCAAACAGGAGCGAAACACUACUUGGGACCGUCCGAGUCGUUCGGCAAGAUACGGCCUCACGACACUCCUUUCACCGAAGACCUGCCAAGACUGAAUGUGCCAAACUUUUAUUACACUCAAGAAGACAUACUGUUUGAAGAAGUUGAAAAAAGAAAGGGGCCGUUGCCAUUGACUUGGUCCGUACACCGGCCUCAUUUAAUAUUUGGGUUUUCACCGUACAGUUUGAUGAAUGUUGGGGGCACUCUGUGUGUGUAUGCGGCUAUAUGUAAACAUGGAGGGGUUCCUUUACUGUUUCCAGGGAGUAAAGAUUGUUGGGAGGGCUACUCGAUUGCGUCGGACGCGGAUUUGAUUGCGGAGCAACAGAUUUGGGCGGCGGUGGAUCCGUAUGGGAGAAACGAAGCUUUUAACUGCAGCAAUGGGGAUGUUUUUAAGUGGAAGCAUUUGUGGAAAGUGUUGGCUGAGCAGUUUGAGAUUGAGAAUUAUGGGUUACCACAGGAGGGCGAGAGAGUGAGAUUGGAGGAAAUUAUGAAAGGUAAAGAAGGUGUGUGGGAGGAGAUCGUGAGAGAGAAUCAGCUGCAGCCCACAAAGUUGAGUGAGGUGGCUGUCUGGGGGUUUGCAGAUAUGAUGUUAGAUGGAGGGUUUUUGUGGUUGGGUAGUAUGAAUAAGAGCAAGGAGCACGGAUUCUUGGGCUUCAGGAAUUCUAAGAAUUCUUUCGUUUAUUGGAUUGACAAGAUGAAAACUUACAGGAUUGUGCCUUAAGAGGAGUGAUACUCUUGUGAAGGUUGUAAUUGUUGUUUGGUGAGUAAAUGGUUAUUAUGUUUCAUUAUCAUGAUUCAUGUAACUGUUUGAAAAAUCAAUGGUUUUUGGUCUGAAGUUGGAAAAUCUACAGUCUCGUCGCAUCUGUUUAAUAAAAAUAAAUCGGAGGCUUUUUAAUUUCUGUUUCUUUGUGUUCAUCAGUUCAUCCCGGCCUUUCUUUCAUCUUUCCUUGGUACACCAACCAGUUGUAAUAAUUGCACAACAAAACUGAUAGUGUUACAGAGAUCUAUUUAUGGCUAUGCUUUGGUUAAUGAAAAAACUAAUGUAUACGACAUAAUUUGUGGCAGUGGGGGCCUGCGUUCGCGCGGCCCCCUCCCCAACUCAUUUAAAAUUUUGAACUAUUUUUGUGCGCCAUUAUCUCAACGGCUAUCUCUCAACUUACAACUAUUUUUGUGCGCCAUUAGCAGCCUCCUUAUUCUAAGUGAGUUUCAUAAUCCUGAUCAGACUGAAAAUCUUUUGUACAUUGUCGUCUGGUUGUGACUAGUGCCCUAACGGUGUUACAAUCAGAUCUCUGCCGAAGUCAAUGCGUAUCUUAGUAUACUUACCUAAUAAGAUCCUAAUUAAGGUUUAUUUUAUUAUUUAAAAAUUAAAAAAAAAAACAAACUGAAUAAUUAUAUUUGCUCACCUAAACGUUAGGCCCCAUCUUAAUAUAUAGUUCCACUAAAAAAUUAGUUUUUCUUUAUUUUCUUGUUUAAAAUGUAGGAUUUUAAUUUUUUUCAAUUAUUUAACAUUAAAUCUUGAUUGAAUUUAGACCUCACUGAGAUUUAGUUAAGGAUUAUUCUCUAUUUUUAAAGUUAAAUUUCCAUCAAAUAAGGUUGUUUAAUGAUUUCUACUUUUAAAAAAAAUCAAGGCAAUUAAAAAUUAUUAUGUAGAAAAUUUGUUAAGGAUUUAUAUUUUUUUAAAAAUAAUCAUACAUAUUUAUCAUAAAAAAUUCAAUCAAUCUCAUGUUAACCUUUUUUUUUAAAAAAAAAAAAUUUUCCUAAGACCUAAAAUUUAAUUGCGCCGACCCUAACCCACAGUUUAGGAUGGAUAGAUUUUGUUGUUUUUUUUUCCAUAUGACGGUAUUAAGAUUGUGGAUACAUGCCUUAAAUGGACUUAGACCCUUAUUACCCUACGACGUGUAUCGCCUAAAUUGACUAUAAAUAAAAUAAGGCUGGAAAUGUAUUUAAUAUUCUAAAAGCUUGUCCGAAAUUGGCUAGAAAUAAAAUAAGAGCAGAAAUGUAGUUAACAUACUGAAGCUGGUAGCUGCAUCUAAAACUUUCCAACGGCUAGUCUUCUAUGUCUAACAUUCAAGACCCUGCUCAAGAAUGAUAGCAUUUACCAAUCACACGCUCAUUAAAUAAAUCAUCUUACCAAAAGCACUUUCAUUUUUGUAAUAAUACAAUUUUAUUAUUGUAUAUUAAAUUAAGUGCAAAAACUAAAAAAAAUCAGUUAUUGGGAGAUUAUGGACCCUUGGAGAUCCAUUGUUAUUAUUCAGAGAGGGGAUGAAGAUCCCUCAAGCAAUUCUGACAAGGACGGGAUCAUAUGCGGAAUAUUGGGAAUGGGUACAUGGAUUUCGACCUCCUCUUCUCCUCUCCCCAUUACCAUUUAAGGUUUAAACGAUAAAGGAAGCAUGUUGAUUUUAUCAUGAUUAAGUAAGUAUGCGUGUCACAGGUGCAAUCAAGCUUUGGAAAAUCAAUUGUAAUGGUUUGAUGUUGGAAAACCUUCGUUCUGCCAUCUCUUUUAUUACUUGUUAUGAGCAAAAAUUACUUGGAAACCCUUGUACUACCCAAAUAGAAGUCAUGUUUGUUGGUUAGAUUUCCAGCUAUGUAUUACUUUGUUGUUUGUUAAUAGCAAAUAAAUAAUUAAACGUGUUUGGGGAAUUAAAUAAGGUGACCAUGAUCUCCUCCAAUUAAAAGUGAGCAAAUAGAUGAGCAGAACACCUCGAUCAGGUGGUAAUUCUUGAGACCAUGAGCAGACCACCCCGACUAGAUGGUAAUUAUUGAGAUCAUGAGCAAACCAUCUCGACCAGGAGGCAAUUCAAGUGAUUGUGAGUAGAUGGGUUUGAGGAGACCAAAACCAGGUCGGUCCACAGACCCCAAUUAAGUUUUAUUGACGAGUUCCCUUUGAAAAUUCGGGCAUGACGUCCAUGCAUGGCCAGUUGUUAUAAUUACAACUCAAUAACUACUAUGUAACGGGCGCAUUAACUCAUGAUUCAAGCGGCGCAUUCAACCCAGUAACGCCAACGCAUUGAAGAUGGUAUGAUAAUUUCGGAUGCCUAUAAAAGUACUAAAAAAUCCAAAGGGAGGGGGUGACUUUUCUCUCUCUAUGAUAUUUUUUACUCUCUUCAGAGUCUUCAUUCAUCUUUAUAGAAAAAUAAAAAACAGUUUAUUUUUUUUAGUUUUAUUUUGGUAAACCCAUAAACUGACUUGAGCAUUGAAGGGUUCAUGCUGUAAAAGCUUAUGGUGCCUCUUACCGUUCUCUAUUAUUUCAGGUGUUCGCAAAUUAUUUACGAGUGGUUGCAAGGUAUUCUUGACGAUUGGGCAGCCGAUUCUCCACCAAAUAAAUUUAAUGCUGGUGCAGAAGUCUAGUAUUCAGUCGCUAAUCAACUCAAUUGGAUUUCAGCAUCAACAAAACAAUUUUACGUCAUUCUCAAACUUCAAUAAAAUUGAGCAUAUAUACAAAAUAAAAUUGACCAAAUAUUUCAAAUUUUGAGGAUCAACAUUAUCUAUCAUAGACAACAGCUAGCAAUACAUAAAGGCAGCUACCAAUGUAUAAGAGGAUAAGAUCGAUCAACAAAAGGGUGGGGUUCCACGAGGGCCAGGUCGCCCGCCGACCAUUGGUCCACAACAGCUCUCAAAAAGUGCAGCAGUAGCGCAGCACAUAAAUACUAGGGAUGGCAAACAGCGGGCCUGGGCCGGGCUUUUUCAAGCCCAUGUCCAAGCCCUCUGUCAGCUAAGUGUACAGGCAUGGGCCGGUCCAGGCCCAUUGCGGGCAUGGGCCGGUCCAGGCCCAUUGCGGGCAUGGGCCGGUCCAGGCCCAUUGCGGGCAUGGGCCGGUCCGGGCCCAUUGCGGGCCUGGGCCGGGCUUGGGCUUUAUUUAUUUAUUUUAAAUUUUUUAAAUUAUUGUAAAUUUGAAAUAAAUUAAUGAUCAACAAGUUAUUACAAUCAUAGAUAAAUUAAAGAAAAUGAAUAUUUCAAAUUAAAAUAAUAAAUAAAGCAAAUAAAACUCAUAAUUUUAAUUUUCUUUAAUACUAGAUUUUCUAAUUCAAACGCUCUCUUAAUUAAUUGACACAAAAGAGAGAAUUUAGUAUCAUAAUUUUAGUUUUUUUGAAUCAUAAUUGAUUUAUAAGUUAAGAAUUUAAGUUUUCUUCUUUUAUUUUUAAAUUACUUUUCAAUUUUAAUCAUAUUAUUCUAAUUUAUAAAAUUAUUUUUUUAAAAAAAGUAGUGGGCUUGGGCUUUGUCCGGGCUUUUUUUCUUGGGCCCUUGUCCAGGCCCUCAUGGGUGAGGGCCGGGCCUAAGCCCGCGGGCCUGGGCUUGGGCCGGCCCGGGCUUUUUUGCCACCCCUAAUAAAUACUAUUACAAUAAUUAAUAAUGCCCUAAAUAAGUACCCAAAAAAAAUCAAGACUUUUUUUGUAGGGAUAGCGAGGGCUCGAUUCAAUUUGGUUUGCUUCUGGAUCGAACUAAACUGAUCAAUUUUUGUCCAAUCUAUAAACCAAAUUGAAUUGAUUCGGUUUGAUUUUUAUAGUUUUGAACUGUAAAUUCUUUUACAUUUUGUAGUUUUUUCAAUUUCGAUUUUUUUAACCAAUAGGGUUUUCUUAAUUUUUUAAAUCACACCGACGUAGAUUGAACCAAAUCAUCGGUUCGAUUAAAUUUUUUCUUGGCAUCAGUUUUUAUACCCGCCCCUAAUUUUUUUGUAUCACCCAAUUCAAUUAAAGUUACCAUAAAGAAAUAAAACGGAAAAUACCACCAAAAAAAAAAUUCAAAGUAACCACACUCGGCCCUCCUAACAACGAACCCCAGCCUAGCAGCAUCUUCUUAUCUCUCCCUAAUUAGAAUGCAAUGCAAGGAUAUAUAUACGCUGAUGGUUAUUGAUCAAGCAGAUGUAGAAAAUAUACAGUGGUGUCUGUGCGCGCGCGCGCGUGCGCGUGUAGAUUCAAGAAAGCUUAAUGGUUAUGGAUUAGAAUUGUGGACUAACAAAUGGAGAAGGUAAAUGGAAUUUGUUUAAUUUAUACAGCCUGAUGUUCCGCAUCGAUAAUGAAAGACUAGUAAGUACUAAGUAGAAAGAACCAUUUAUAUAUAUAACCCAGUGAUCGAAGUUCAAAUUGUUCAUGACACUUCGAUAGGAACAGGUGAGUCAAGUUGAUGAAAAGGUAAACGAAAGAAUGUAAAACAAAAUGUAAAUUCAAAUUUCUCGGUUUUUGCUUCAUAUAUGCAUUAAACACAGAACGCUUCUAUGUUGAUUGUAUGUUAAUAUUUGCAACCAAUCACUCUGUCAACAAUUAAAUGACUCUUUAUAUAUAUUACUAUUAUUCGAAGAAUUCGAGUUUCUCUGCUGCAAACAAUAAUGUUUGGCAAACCUAGGAUUAAUUAGAGUGCUCUAUUUAUAUUUAUUUGUGGGAUGAUUUAUAAUAAGAGAUUUCUUAUAUAUAUUUUAGCUUUCCUUUUGCUAUUGUAGCUGUCUAAAUAUUUUGAGGGGUAAGGCUCACUAUGUCUCCGCUAACUAGGUAUAAAAUAUUUUUGGUUUUUAAUAAAAUUACCUCGCUAGCCAAAUUUCAUUAAAAAAAAAAAUUAUCUAUUUAUUUAUUUUUUAAUGUUAGGAGGUCCCUCAAAAGUUAAAUCGAUCUUUUUAACCCCUAUGACCCUAUCUCUCCAAAUUGUUUAAAAGUUCAGGACUUUUUUUUUUUUGGUUUUGACCACGAGGUAUCCUGGGGAGGGCCCCAACUGUGGGAGGCACCUUUAAGGUCGUACCACAACCCAGACUAAAAGUCCUAAAAGUUCAGGACUUUAAUUCUAACAUAUCUUGAUAAUAUAAUAUGAGUAAUAAAUUGACACUUACUUGGCAAUUUAUUUAAUUAUUAAAAGAUGUCACACGAUUGGCAUUUCGAUGAUUGAUAAACCACAAAGUUAAACAACACUAUACACAUCAUAAUUAAUGAUAUGUGAAACAAUGAUUUGAGACAAACUAUAUAAACCCCAGUUUCGUAAAUGUAAUAUAAUAAAUAAUUAUUAUACAUUAUAUUUCGAAUCCAUCCUUUACACGGUAAGAUUGAAUUAAUAAGUAUCAAGUAAAGUAAUGGUGAAUUAGCAUCAUUUUCAUCCGAUUAAACUUUCAUACAAUAACAAUGAACAAAACCAUCCAAUAAAUCAUAGUUAACUAUCUUAAACAAAUUCCUUAACAAUUAAAACUACCGUCUUCAUUACAUAAACAACAUCGGAGUAAAAGUAAAGCAGCACAGAAAACUCUAUGACAAGGUGGCAACUGGCAUGCAAGAUGAUCACGGAGGUGGUGGGCCGAAAUCAGUUGGACCAGGAGGACCAAGUUGGCCCAUUGGAUCACCAAAGCAGCCUCGUUGCAACCAGCAGCGGCUCACAAAGCUCAAGCUGUCAUAACAAACCCAACGACAAGCAAUCAAAAGCCAGUACUAGCUUUUUCAGCCACUGAGAAUUUUUGUCAGUAUGUCAAUUUUUUCGUGAUUGUUCAGUUGCAUCUAAAGUCCCCAUUUUGACACGUUUUAGUGUAUCUUACACUACCUGAUAUAUCAACGAUGUUUACUUGGAACAUGGAGAAUUUUGAAACCCUCAACACCUAAAUCCGAUGUUUAAUGACUUACCAUGAACCGAUGACGUCACAAAAGCCAACGAAAAAUUAGUACUGUUACCGGCUCUUUAAGCAAAAUUAGUACACGCCAAGGAAAAUAACAAGAGACUUUCACAAGUCCAAACUUGCUCUUGCUUGUAUAUACAGAGAUGCAAAACGUUUUCAUGUUAAAUGGACGUGGUACAAAUGCCAGAAGGUUUCUUGUGUUUAUAGAAAGUGCAUGCUUAGGAUUUAAGCAUCCAUCUUUGUUGUCACAUUUGCAUCUAACACUUUCCAACUGCUAGUCUUCUAUGUCUAACAUUCAAGACCCUGCUCAAGAAUGAUAGCAUUUACCAAUCUCACGCUCAUUCAAUAAAUCAUCUUACCAAAUGCACUUUCAUUUUUGUAAUUAACAAUCACAAUAGUGAUUUUGAUAAUUCAAGUGAUAAUCGCUGUAGUUAAAACCCAUUUAACAACCUAUGGAGGAUUUGUGCACGCAAAUGUGACCGAAUGGUUUUUAAAUAAUUUUAUUUAAUUGGCUAUCCAACUUCAAAUCUUAAGAGAAAUAAGGGAUUUAAACAAAAUGAAUUUGAUCAAAAUGAAUCUGGACUUUGCUCACUGCCUCGAAAAAAAUAAAAACUACAUAAGGUUAUCGACACGAGUCUUCAAUGAUAAGCAAUUAGAUUAUAUUUUACUUUCCAGAAGAUAGCAUGUCUCAAAGAGGUUUAAGUCAAGAAAUUUCUAAAACGCAACAACAGAUGAACGAGUGUGAUUAGAAAGUGCCACAGAGAAAUGAAAAGAUGUUGGUGAAUUUUCAAAUAUGGAGGCAAAGAGUAAAGAAAAUUUCUUAGGAUUUGAGACGUGUUUACACACUUUCCUUUAAGGUUUUAUUUGCCCUCACCAAUCUUGGUUUGCUACAGAGUUUUAAUGGCAAAUUUCCCCCAAGAUAUAUCAAAUCCUGAAUACAAUCUCUAGCAAAUAAGAUUGUAUUUCCAGAACAUGUAUGAAACCUGUAAAAUCUGAUAUUAAUCUAAUUAUAUGUCUAUCUUUAAUGAAGAAGAUAUUUAAUUGAAAGAAUACAACCAUUAGAAAUGGUACUUCUUCAAAGACACUCUUUUGGUUUGAAUUUGCAUCGACUGACAAUUGAAAUUUUCAAGCUUGCUAACCGUUUUUCCAGUUGACGUCUCUCUGGAAAUAAACGGUUAGCCGUUUUCUAAAUAACGGCGAGCCGUUUUAUUUCAAAAUGUCAAAUAAGUUACUCACUGUAAAUAAACGGUUAGCCGUUUUCUCAAUAACGGUGAGCCGUUUUCUCUAAAAUAUGAAACCAAAGAUUGAAAAAUAUAACAAUCUCUCUUACAAAAGAAUACUAUAACUAAUACAUCUAUAAAUCUUAUUUCCAUGAUGACAUUAUAGCAGUGGGUUACCAAACCCAAUUGAAUUAUAUAUAUAUUUACUCGAAAAUUAGGUUAAACUGAUUACACAAAUUCUAUAGAAAAAUGGCCAAAAAAGAAAAUUAAAGAAAGACAAGUGCAGCAAAUUAAAGAUGUUUAAUUAAACCUCUCUAACCUUAAACAUAACAUAAGUCGUUGAGGUGCCGAAUAUGCAUGGAUCGAUCCAGUACCGUAAGUAACAAGGCAGCUUCUUCUAAUUAAGCAUAUUUCCGUUUGCCAGACCGCAACCUCACCCAGGAUCACAUGAUUAUCCUCCAACAAAACAAUCGUUGCCAAGGUCAUAAUGAAGCCAUCAUCAGACUGUCCGUGCUCUCCACGGACGGCAGCAGCUAUAAGCUCCUAAUAAAUCCAUCACAUUGCAACAACAUUUUCCAUCAAGAAAAGAUGUGCGGGACCCAAAUCUGCACUACGAAAAGCACCACGAAAGAAGUUGAGCAGCAAAGGUAUGUAAAUCGAGAGAAGAAAAUAAUGCACAUUGAUGGUUAAAGAGAGCAGAACGCCGGCCCGCCUGCUUUGUGUGCAGACAUGAGAUAAAGCUACUACGUAUUGUGCCCAGUAAAAGAUCGAAGAUGCUGAUUCGAUUCUGAUGCUGAAUCCCCAGACCAAGACUAAGGUUGGAGCAAGGGUUGCUAUGGCUGCAUAUUCAGAGCCCAACACCUCCGCGAACAAGAUCAUCCAGCUGUUUAAGUUUGUGAUGAGAAUCAUUGUUAACAAAGAUGACAUGUCGGGAAGAAGCUCAUGAUUGUGGGUUGGCCAAAUGGGCAUUUUCCCUUUUUUUUUUGUAAAUUUUUUUUCUCAGUAUUGUAUGUAACUUGUCUGUUUGGCUUCUGGGAAAAUAAAUAUGAGAGGAGAAAGCGAUUGGAGAAAAUUAAGCUGAGUCACAUGAUGAGGAUUGAGGCAGUCCAAACCAUGUGCUUCUACUCUGUUAGUGCAUUUACCUAUCUCAUAUAACAAAUGGAAAUGGCAGAGAAUUCAAAUUAAAGCUUCACAAAAUGGGAAACUGAGGUAUAAAGUGCUGGGUGGAAGUGACAAAUUAAGGAAUUUUGAAGGUCAUAGUCAUCUCAAUUUAUAGACUUCAUUAAUGCCAAUAUCUUAUUAAUUUCUGAAGUUGAAAAUUAACAUAUCGUAGACUUGUUGAGCUGUACAAAGCUCGUUACUCAUUCCAGUCACUUUAUUUCUCAAAUUUAUGAUCUUUCAAAAUCUUCUCAACUCCCACUGUUAUUGCUGGUUUUUCUGUUGAUCAAUUAAAAUUUAUUUCUUCGUUUGUAUGCAGGCACGUUUAUUUUUCAUCAUUUUUUUUAUUUAUGCAUAUCUAUAUUUGAGUACUUGUAAAAAAUUAUGUAUCACACAUAGGAAUUAAGAAUUGUUGCUAUGUUAUUAACCAAAUUCUCAAGAUUUUAAAUGCAGUGGAAAGUUUUGUACAUUUCAAUAUUAUUUCUAUCAAUAUUUUUUGGAGAAAUAAUUGUUGAAAAAAUAAAAUAAAAUCAGAGAGCGAGAAACUUUUGCCAAAAAUUGAAAAGAAGACUUGUACUCCAAGUUAUUGCGGUACGCCCACACAUAACACAAGAAUAACAUAUAUCUCCAUAAUUAAAUGAUGAAUGAGUGAGUAUUCACGUCUCUUGUAAAAGAUGAAAAAUUCAAGAACAGACCAAUAAGUCUGAAAGAAGAAAUAUUGAUUAGAUAUGAAGAUGAUCGAUGUGAACUUAACAUGUUAUUGAAUCAUUUGAAAUAUUGUGUUGCAAAGAUGGAUAAAAUAUUGAAGCUAAUCACGUCGAUAAGUGAACAUGAUAAAAUAAUCAGCGUUAAAGAUCAUUUGAGCAUUUUACAGUUUAAAUGCAUAGAGAAAUUGUAUGAUGGAUGGAGUGAUGUUGCGACAGAGGCAUUGAUUAAUAAAUUAAGGUUACUUGAUUUUAACCUUAAAAAAAACUUACUUGCCUUUUGAACUUUGUAACAGGCUAAUAUUUGCAUUUAAUUUUCUCCAAUAUUUUAAUAGUACAUUUGUCUAUAUCUAUAGGCUGAGGUUUAUCAUGAAUAUAGAUUCAAAAUUGUAAAAACCAUGCUUUUAUAGUGAAAAAAUGAAAGAAAAUAAAGAAAACAACGAACAGCAGAAAUAGAUAACGAAUAAAUGUUCUUUUAAAAAAAUUAAAUAAUUUAUGUCUAAAAAGAUAACAAUCAUAACAAGAUUAUGUUCUUUUUACCUACUCACAAUCAAUAAUUUUAUGCAUUCUAAUAAAAUAGUAAUAAUUAAGUGAAAUAAAAAUAAAAUAAGUUCAUGAUCAACACCAACUACCAACACAGACAACAAAUAUUUUGUGACAGACUGGGGACAAAAUAACGUAUAUCAUAAAAGCACGCGAACUCGUGAUGGAAUUACAGUUUAUGAAGGGAUUAAUGACCAACUUUGUGAUAGAAUUAUUGGCAAUCAUGAAUUUAUGCUAUGGUCUGAGACAAAAAAUUAUGUUAACUAUCAUUUGAAAAUAAGAAAUGAAACAGUGCAUUUACAUAGUGCUUGAGUAAAAACACUCCGGCAUUUUCCAAGUCUAAACACAGUCAUCCUUACGGUAACGGGUCACAGCCUCACUGUUAAAUUUAGAAACUCAAACCCUCACUCGAUCAUUCAAAUCUCUAUGACGUCACUGCGUAUAUUACAAAGCAAAGAGAGUUACCAUAUUGCUGUCGUUCAGAGCUCACGUUGCCGCCGUUGUACCAAUAAUCUAUUGGAGUUCUUGGCGAAGAGUGGUCGGGAUUUGCUCCCCGGUCGCUGGAGGCCCCAACGCUGGUGAGAUUCGAAAGAAACAUUUAGCUGUGAAGCGAUGAGUUAGGCGUGGCCAGGAUUAGUAUCAUAUUAUUAAUCGAUGGUUCAUGCUCUUUCAUUUCUAUUUCAUAAAGAAUUACUUCUAAAUGUAUAAUUUAACUUGGUAAUUAAAUAUUUAUCCGUUUAAUUGUUGCAAGUUGAGCUGGAUUAUGAGCUGUGGGUUCCCUCGAUGAGAAUUCAAUUCAGUCUCUUGAUCAACUAUGGGACCUCACAGUAAUACCAAUUAUUCAACCUUUUUUUGUCCAUAAACCAUAAUAUAUGAAAAGGAGCCUGCUAACCUACCCGUUCAAUUUGACAUUUUUGUUAAAACCUGGAUUUUAUUAAUUUUUAUUAUUUUCAUAUGUGCCCUAUGGUGGAGUUACUGAAGAGUUGAAAGGCAGUUGUUAGAAAACAAAAAAGUAAUAUCCAAUUCCUUAGUUCAUCCUAGACUCCGCUUGCAUGGCUUUUUGCACAAACCAUGCCUGACUAUUGAAAUUAGGGAAUUAGCUUGGAUAAUGCUUAGAUGGUCAAUAAUUAGCCAAACAAGACAAGUAAUAUCCAUUGGUUGAUGAUGCUUGAUUACAGGAUGGGUCAUCUUAAUAAUAGUGCCUUUGAUAUUAGGUAUACUUUCUUAUUUGUUUUGGACUCAUCCAGGGACCAGAAGGCAGAGGCUGAGACUAAGCCUUUAUGAAAAAUUCUCUCUCCUAGGUUAAUACUGGCACUAUUGUGCAGAGUAGGUUGCAUUAAUUUCUUUCACCCUCUGUGUUUUUGAUUCCUUGAUCAGUUUUCGAUUAUGCAAAGCACUGAACUUAAAUUUCUGUGAUUGUGUGGUACACUUAAAGGAGGUUGACUUGACUGGAAACUUGCUUUCAAAUUAGAAGGUUUGCGUUCUUACAUUUUACAAUUUGUAAGAGCUGCUUCAAUUAUGUUUUGAUCUAUGCUCUCUGUUUCACCUGUUUUAAAUUUAUUAGCUACAAAACCUGCAUUUUCUGCUAGAUAACCUUUUAAAAAUCACGGUCAUAUUUAGCAUGGCAUGGAUGCACAUAAUUAAUUGGCUUUUUAAUCUUUCAAUAAAUUCUAAAUUUCUCAAAGUAAAAUGCAAUCGGUGAUCUUUUGUUUGUUUGAGUUUCUCUGUUCAAACUUACCCUUUUUUUUAUACUGAAAAAUGGAAAUGAAAAAUCUGAGCGCAUUGAGAUUUCCUACAAUUGGUUUCUUAAGUCAAAGCUUUUUGAAUGAAAUGAAAUUCGCUACUGCUGCAGUGCAUGCCAGAACAAUUAAUCCUACUUCUACUUUUUAGUGGCGUAUCUACUGAAGUUUCAUUGUUAAUCAUAGUGGAGAGUUGAGACAAAUUGGCUGAAAGUAUAUCUAUAAUUUCGUAGCAAUGUUUUGGCUCAUGCUUUUAUAUUUUCAUUUGUUUGGUAUAUUUCAUGAGAUUACUAUUAUUAACAUAUUAACUACUGUUUGAGUAUACAUUAAGGGGUUAAUGCUACAAAAGUGUUUCUUGUUCAAAACAAAUGAUAGUUUAUACAAGCAUUUUUUUUAAUUAAAAAAUUGUAUAUCAUCAUUAUGGUUUAAUUAUGAAUUCUUUGGAUGAUGAUACUCUGAUGGUUUUGGGGGUUAUUUUAGUGUUGGAAUUUGGUGGACAUUGAUUUUUGGCACGGGUACUUCGCACCUGGUGAUUACUUAUAUUAGGAUAUGGGGUUGAUGUAUUUUGAAAAUACUUCAAAAUACAUGUAUUUUGUUGUUUAUUUUUAUAGGGGGCAACAUCAUAAUAAAAAAAAUAAUAGUUUAUAAGAUUUUGCAUAAUAUCAAAUUUUGUUUAAAAAAUUAAUCCACCAAAGAUAAUUUUUCAAAAAAUUAAUAGGAAAUUUAUUUUUGAGUGGGUUCAAUUGCCCCUGCACCCUUAAAUAUAGAUCUAUCUUGUUGACAAUGAUCUAGAUGAAGGAUAGAUUGCUUGUCAUGCACCCAUUUUAUGAUAAUUAUUUUCCGUCAUCUACUGUCCUUUUCUUGUAAUGCUUGUUAAUUUAAGAAUCAUACAAUUAACUUUGAAUGUGCCCAUUUGCAUAUGUGCGACAUUUUUCCUAUUUCUUGGCUUAACUAGGGGGGAAAAAACUUUAUUGACUUAUUUUUUUGUAUUUCCUUUAAAUUCAUCCAUCGUUUUCAUUUAAACUCAGUUUGAUAUAGUUUUGUAAAUAGAGCUUAUUUACCUUAAGUAUAACUUUUGUUAGUAGAGCUUUUACUAAAACAAUUUUAGUUGUUUGGUUGUCGAUGUAAACUUUUAUUAAAAAUUAUAAAAUUAUUUUAAUAGGUAAGUUUUUUUAAAGGUAUAUUAUGAAAUGAAUGAAAUAAGAUUAUCAAAAGCCCAAUUUUGAGCUCUCCGAGUUAAGGCAAAGUAACUUAUUUGAUCUUUAAAAGUUUUAUCCAGAUAAGUCAUAUCAAACAAGCACUUAGAAUUUUAUUCAUUAUAAGAAGUCAUAGCAUUAAAAUUAAAAGUCCUGAAAUUUCCUUGAACCCGCCCUCGAUACACAUUAUUUGUUGUUGUUCGUUUAUUGGAAUAUUACAUUAAUUUUGACUUAGGGACGGUUCAAAUUAAACAAUGUGAUAGCAGGAAUAUUUGGUUUAGGAGAUAAAUGAUUUGGAAAAUUGCAAAAACAUUAUUUCACUUUCAAGUUUUUUUUUUUAAUUUUUAACUGUUCAUAUAACACCACAAAUCUAACGCCCACAAAUUGUUAGUUAGACUGACCUAAAUUCAAUUACAAGUAAAUAGGUACAAAAACACCAUUUUGUGACUAAUUGUCGGGACAAAAAUAUUAUUUUCUUAUUAAUUGACUUCUUCCGUUAGUUAACAGUAUAAGGUAGCGUUUGUUUUUUUGUCUGAAAUCUAAAUGGAUCUGAAUUUAUCUAAAGUUUGAAUGGGUCUGAAUACGAAAAUUUAAAUGACAUGUUUUUUUUUUAAUAUCUAAAUAUAUGUGGCAUCUUGUUUGUUUUUAUAAUAAAAAAACCUUAAAUUUGGUUAUUUGACAUUUAUGUCCUUGUAAAUUAAAACAAAAAAAGAGGAUUAGAUUUUAUAGUUUAGGAAAUAAGUUAUUUUACCGAGAUAUUUUUGGAAUAUAAUAUUUACUUGUCAUUAAGAUAUUUUUCCAUUCAGAUAAAAGUCAUAAAAGUUUACUUUUUUUAUUCAGAUGUAAAUGUCUGAAAAUCAGACAUAAAUUCCAAAAAAUAAAUAAGUAAAUUUAAAAAAAGGUCUGAAAUUAAUAAAAUUUCAGACUUCAGACAUUUAACAAACAACUUCUAAGUUAAUGGAUUAUUCUCUAAUCGAGUAUUUUUUAAAUAUAUAUCACUUUUUUUUAAAUACGUCAAAAUAAGUGUCAUUGAUGGUAAUUCAUUAUAAAAUAUAUUUUUUUUCAAUUUUACCCUUGAUCUGUUAGAAUUAACAAUAAAAAUUAAUAGAUUAUAUAAUCAAAUGUUUUUAAAAAAUGUGUCAUUAUUAUAAAAUUUAUCAAAACAUGUGUCAUUCAAAUGUAAUUAACCCUUUUAUAAUCAUCUAUUAGUUGUAAUGGCUUGUCUUAAUUUUCUGAAGGCACAUGGGCGCCAUGCUCAUUCAAUUGAUAGAAAUUUGAUCAAUUCUCUAACUACUAAGCGAAUAUUGUAUAAAAAAGACGCCAUGUUCAUUAAAUUGAUAGAAAUUUGGUCUAUUUUCUAACUUCUAAGCGAAUAUUGUAUAAAAAAAUAUCAUGAUCAAGCUGAAGGUUGACAAAGUGACAAGAAUAGUCUGAUCAGGUGUUCCGUGCCGUUUUUGUCUUGAGAAUUGAAAAUCAGCCUCAACCGGAAGGAGUUAGCUUAAAAAAACAAAAACCGAGAAAAACGGCACAUCAUUUUCAAGCUGAUCACGACUCUUCUUACGGUGUUUGGUUGAGAGAAGAAAAUGAAGGAGGGAAAAAUAAUUUAAAUUUAAAUUUUAUUUUUAUUAUUUAUUUAGAUAAAAUUUAAUUUUUAUUAAAAUUUAAUAUCCAUCGUAAUGAAAAAUUUGAAUUUCAUACCAAGGGGUAAAUAAUUCAAAUUUCUCUUAUGUUGGAAACUAAAACUUCUAAAACUACCUUUCAACUUUUUAACUUGUUUAAUGCCAUUAAUAAUCAUUAUUUAUAAUUUUAUUUUAUCAAUGUAAUAUUAUAAAUAAUUUUAUAUUAAUAAAAUUUAAUGAGUGAUUUAAGAAACUUAAUUAAUAAAAUAAAUGAACUUAUUUAUUUUGUUUAUUUAAUGAAAAAUAUAUAAAUACAAAUUAAUCAUCGCUGAAAUUCUACUGGAACUCAUGCGAACUAUUGCCGUUGACUGUCGCCAGAACGCCGUUGUGUGUGUGUGCAUAAUUCUAAUAAAUCAUAAAUUGUUUUAGGAUUUUUUGACAUUAAAAAAGUUUGGUAUUGAUAUUAAAUUAUAUUUCAUUACUAAUAUAGAUAGUUUAAUAUUUAAAGCAAAAGAUAAAUUUGUCCAAAAAAAGAAUUGUAAUUCCUCUUCUUAUUAAAUUUUAUGUCAAACUUAAUAAUGAAAUUUAAUUUUACCAUUCUCCUUCACUCAUUUCUUAUCCCUUACCCUCCAUUCUAUUAUUUUUCUCUAUUCCCCUUUCUUUAAACCAAACAAGGCCUUACUAUAAUUUGGCUCUUAGUGCGCAGAAGGAAUAUUGCAAAUGGAUUAUCUCCCCCCUCCCCCCCCCCCCCCCCCCCAACAAAAUGGUUUUUCUCUAUUAAUUUUUUUCUAAUAAAUUAAAUUAUCGGUAUUAAAUUUUGAAUUUGAUAUUAAUAACUUAAUUAAUUUUUUCACUACAUUUAGAAAAAUAUGAGAGAGUAAAAUAAUAAAUACAACAACAACAACAACAACAACAAUAAUAAUAAUAAUAAUAAUAAUAAAAGAAUCAUAAUUUAUAUUGCACAAGUUAUCUCAAUGACUCGUGAGUCGUGUCGUUUUUCGUGGGUGGGUGACUUGGAUUUAGCCUCAUAUGUCACUGCUCGCGUCAUCUGAAUUUCUCUUUCAUUUCCCACACAUAAUAACAGCGAUUAAUUAAGAAGCACUGAAGCACAAAGCCGCGAACCAGAUUUGUCAUCAAACCUAGUAAUUGCAGAUUACAAAGCUUGUACCAACAACCAAAAAUGAGCUGGUGGUGGGCUGGGGCAAUUGGCAAUGCCAAGGUAAAGACUUAUAAUUAGAUCAUCUCUUUCAAUUGCUGUGCUUGAAAAUUUUAUUCUUAUUAAUUCAUACUUUUAAAAUCUUGAGUUUAAUUUUCAUUUUAAAUUACAGAAGAAAUUCGAAGAAAAUGAGCGACCACCGCAACCUCAAGACUACCAGCACGUGGGACUCCUGAUAGGCGUUACGGGAAUUGUGGGAAACAGCCUAGCUGAGAUUUUGCCCCGACAGGAUACUCCCGGGGGCCCGUGGAAGGUCUACGGAGUGGCCCGACGCCCCCGGCCCGACUGGAACGCCGAUCACCCGAUCGAGUACAUCCAAUGCGACGUUUCCGACGAAGACGACACGCAAGCGAAGCUCACAAAACUCACCGACGUCACCCACAUCUUCUACGUGACGUGGGCCAGCCGUCCCACGGAAGCCGAGAACUGCGAGGUUAACGGCGCCAUGCUUCGCAACGUGCUCCGUUCCGUUAUCCCGAACGCGCCAAAUCUCCGCCACGUCUGCCUCCAAACAGGAGCGAAACACUACGUGGGACCGUUCGAGUCGUUCGGCAAGAUACGGCCUCACGACACGCCUUUCACCGAAGACCUGCCAAGACUGAAUGUGCCAAACUUUUAUUACACUCAAGAAGACAUAUUGUUUGAAGAAGUUGAAAAAAGAAAGGGGCCGUUGUCAUUGACUUGGUCCGUACACCGGCCUCAUGUAAUAUUUGGGUUUUCACCGUAUAGUUUGAUGAAUGUUGUGGGCACUCUGUGUGUGUAUGCGGCUAUAUGUAGACAUGAAGGGGUUCCUUUACUGUUUCCAGGGAGUAAAGAUUGUUGGGAGGGCUAUUCGGUUGCUUCGGACGCGGAUUUGAUUGCGGAGCAACAGAUUUGGGCGGCGGUGGAUCCGUAUGCCAGAAACGAAGCUUUUAACUGCAGCAAUGGGGAUGUUUUUAAGUGGAAGCAUUUGUGGAAAGUAUUGGCUGAGCAGUUUGAGAUUGCGAAUUAUGGGUUACCAGAGGAGGGCGACAGAGUGAGAUUGGAGGAAAUUAUGAAAGGUAAAGAAGGUGUGUGGGAGGAGAUUGUGAGAGAGAAUCAGCUGCAGCCCGCAAAGUUGAGUGAGGUGGCUGUCUGGUGGUUUGCAGAUUUGAUGUUAGAUGGAGGGUUUUUGUUGUUGGAUAGUAUGAAUAAGAGCAAGGAGCACGGAUUCUUGGGCUUCAGGAAUUCUAAGAAUUCUUUCGUUAAUUGGAUUGACAAGAUGAAAACUUACAGGAUUGUGCCUUAGAGGAGUGAUAUUCUGUGAAGGUUGUAAUUGUUGUUUGGUGAGUAAAAUGGUUAUUAUGUUUCCUCAAUCAUGAAUCAAUGGUUUUUUUGUCUGACAUUGAAAAAUCUACAGUCUCUUGUCACAUCUGUUUUAUAAAAAUAAAAUUGGGGACUUGUUAAUUUCUGUUUCUUUGUGUUCAUCGGUUCAUCCCGGCUUUUCUUUCAUCUUCCUUGGCAUCACCAAUCACUUGUAAUAAUUGCACAACAAAACUGAGAUUUUAGAAAAAUACUUUUAUCGGACAGGUGUACAAUUCAUCCCUACCCCUAGCUUUCUAGCUCUAUAUUUUACAUCUCUCCUACUAUGUAUACCAAGGCCCUAAAUAAAUGAAACAAAUAAUGGAGACAUGUCGUCCCAUGCUUGAAAAAUGUUUCUCAUCAAAGAUAUAUACAUCACUGAUCGUUGAUAGAAACUCUCAGAUGUGUGUGGCAUGCAUAAUUAUUUAAUUACAAUGAAUCUAGUUAUUCAAUUGCAUAACCGAAUGAUCAAUAAGGCAGAAUCAAGCUUUUGUGGUAUUCUUGUGACAAAAUAUUCUGCUUUUUUCGUUUGAGAAGAUGACAAAAUAUAGAAUACUUAUUAAGUACUUGAAAAUACAGAGCUUGAUGAGACAGACAUUGGGGUUCCAACACCUUACCGCCAGCAGGUCCUCAAAAUCAAGAAAGUACUUGAAACAUGGGAUAUGUCGGAUGUUAAGGUAGGGACUGUUGAACAAUUUCAAUGAUAUCAGUGUGUAUUUUGUUGGUUGAAUUUCUCAGGUUUUUAUUUGCUUUCAUGGAAACAAUAGUAUAAAUAUCUGUCAGGACAGAGCUCAUCGUGAUGACAUUGACUGAUGAACAAUUGUUGCCAUCUUGUAUGAUUUGAUCCACAUGAUAGUGUUACAGAGAUCUAUUUAUGGCUUGGCGUUGGUUAAUGAAAAAUCUAAUUCAUCCCACAUCGGAACAGUAUGGGAGUGCAGCUACGACAACAGCUAUAAAUAAUGAGUGCUAAUCAACUGAAAAACAUACUUACCUGGACGGGGUCAAUGGGCGAUCAUGAAGGCCCAUGGCCUAGGUUGGUGGCCUCCAUUGCACUUGGGAGGUGCACCCGCCUAAGGUCAGCCCAAAGUGGUUGAGCCUACGUCAUAAUUUGUGGCAGUGGGGGCCUGCGUUCGCGCGGCCCCCUCCCCAACUCAAGUCAAAAUUUAACUACCUUUGUGCGACAUCGUCUCAACAGCUGUCUUUCAACUUACAAUUAUAUUCUAAGCGAGUUUCAUAAUCCUGAUCAGCCUGAAAAUCGAUUGUACAUUGUCGUCUGGUUGUGACUAGUGCCCUAAGGGUGUCACAGUCAGAUCUUUGCUAAAGUCAAGGCGUAUCUUAGUGUACUUACCUAAUAAGAUCCUAAUUCAGGUUUAUUUUAUUAUUUUAAAAAUUGAAAAAAAAACUGAAUAAUUAUAUUUGCUCACCUAAAAUUAGUUUUUCUUUAUUUUCUUGUUUAAGAUGUAGGAUUUUAAUAUUUUUUAAUUAUUUAAUAUUAAAUCUUGAUCGAAUUUAGACCUCACUGAGAUUUAGUUAAGAACAUCUCCAAAAACCUCUAUUAAUUUUACUCUUUAAAUAUAUAUUUGCUUACAUAUGUGGUAAAUAAAAGAGUGAAAAAAUAUGUUAUUAUCUAAAAACUCUUCAAAUAGAAAUAAGUUAAUAUUAUUUUAAUCAAAUAAUUAUUUUUUAAAGAAAAAGUCAAUAGCAAUUAAACCACUCUCUCUCUUUCUCUAAUGAAAAAUAAUAAAAUAUAAAUUACAGAAAGAGAAAUCAACUCUCCAAAUUUGAAGAGAGAGAAUCAUCUUUUAUUUGAAAAAUCUUAAUUGGAGUAUUUUUUGGAGCCUUAAAUAUUGAUGUGGCUCUUCAAAUAAGUAAUAAAAAUCUUAUUUGAAGAGCCUUUUGGUGAUGCUAUAAGGAUUAUUCUCUAUUUUGAAAGUUAAAUUUCCAUCAAAUAAGGUUGUUUGAUGAUUUCUACUUAAAAAAAAAAAUUCAAGGCAAUUAAAAAUUAUUAUGCAGAAAAUCUGUUAACGGUUUAUAUAUGAAAAAAAAUUAAUCAUAGAUAUUUAUCAUAAAAAUUUCAACCAAUCUCAUGUUAACUUUCUUUUAAAUAAAAAUUUUGCCUAAGACGUAAAAUUUUAUUGCGCCAACCUUAACCCAUAGUUUAGGAUGGAUAGAUUUUGUUGACUUUUUUACCAUAGGUACAAUAUGAGUGCCUUAACUGACUUGGAUCCUUAUUAUCCUACUACGUGUAUGGCCUAAAUUGACUAUAAAUAAAAUGAGACUAGAAAUGUAUUUAAUAUUCUAAAAGCUUGUCCGAAAUUGGCUACAAACAAAAUAAGAGCAGAAAUGUAGUUAAUAUUCUGAAGUUGGUAGUUGAUUACAAUUAUAAUCAAUCAUUGUUCUCUUUAUUAUCAUAAUUUCUCGCACCCAAUGGAGAAAGACCGUAUAAUCGGGUCCAUUUAGGUGAUGUCGGGGUUCAAGAAAGAUAUUUUAUAUUUUAUCUCAAACGAUAUGUCAUUUAUUAAAUAGUUAAUAAAUUAAUGAAUAUCACAUCAAUUGUAAUAAUUUUUGGGAUAAAAAAUUAAAAAUAUAUAAAAUUACUCUUUUUAUGCGGAGAUGGAAGCUUGCAAUUUAUCAUGUUCCAAUCUUGAAGACCAUGGAAGAACGUGGACAAAGAUUGAAAAAAAAAUUGUCACUUUGUACCCAAAAAAUAAUUCUAAAGUUUGUUUAAAUGAUCAUACAACACUUAGUUUCAUAAAUGGUUACAUAAAUAUUUUAUUAUUAUUAUAGUAUUAUACCUUUUUGCAACUAUACCCAAAAUUGGUAUAGUAAAUACAAAAUGUCAUUUUCUAUGGAGAGAUAUUUGAGGAUCGCAAAAAAACAAUGCCGACCACCUAAAAAAUAUAGGUACGAAAACUAUAUUUAUUAGAAUACUAUAUUUAAUUAUUUUCAAUCUGUAUUUUUAUCUUUGUAUAUGGUAUAUUGGCUUUUCAAUUCAACCACUCUACGAGUUUCUUUGAGAUUGAGGAUGAACACUAUAAGUAGAUUAUUUUAUAAGUUUUUACAAAAAUGAUAUUUGGUAAAUUUUCUAAAAACUGCUCAUUUAAGAAGUUUCUAUAUUUUAACAACAGCUUUUAAAAGUAUAUAUGAGAUUGCAAAUAAACUUUUCCUAUUUUGAUUUCUUAUCUUUUUUAUAAGCAUCUUAUUAGACAAGUCAUCACAACUAAUAUUAAUAUUUUAACAAAAUAACAAUUCUGUCUUGUUUUUUAAAUAAAUCCUAAUAUAUAAAUAAAAGAACAUUUAUAGUUUAAACUAACAUUUAUUUCAAUCUUUAUAUAAUAAAACAAUCGUUUCACAAUAAAAUUUAACAAUUACAUAUAUUCUACUUUUCAAUCUUAUAGCAACUACAACAAUACAAUAAAUUAAACACGAAACUACUUAGUCAGCAACUUAUUUCUAGUCGCUUAUCAGCCACUGCAAUCUCAUAACUGGUGCUAAGCCAUUGUAAUAAUUCACCUACAACAAUCAAAACUCUGAUAGGAACUAGGCAACAACAUCGUUUAUUAAUUAGUAUAUAUUAACAAUCAAUGAAAAUAAUAAGUCUUGGGCCAUGACUGAUAACCUGCUUUAAACAAUUUUCAUAAAACCCAAAAGUCAAAACAUAGAGGCAUGAGUGUUGUUGAAUCGUGGAGUGAAAAAAACUAUCAAAUUCAUCUUUUCGAGCUAAAAAGCCAAACAAAUGCCGAGGGCGGAGCUAAGAAUUUAUGGUGCGUUUACUUUAAUGAGGUGGAAUAGUAAUGAGAAUGGGUUAUGAGAAAUGUAAAUGAAUUCAAAUGUUUAUUUGGUAAAAAUAAAUGAGAAUGAGAAUGUGUUGGAAUGUUAUUAAUGUGUUUACUUGACAAAAUAAAUGGGAAUGAGGAAUGAGAAUAAGAAAUGGGAAUGAGGAAUGAGGAAUGAGGAUGAGAAUUAAUUUACCAAAAUACUCAUAGCAUUAAAUAAUGUAAUUUUCAUUAACUAGAUACAUGUAUAAAUAUUAUUUUAAAAAUGUUAUUAAUUAAAAAAAUAAAAUUAAUAAUAAUAAAUGUUAAUAACGAUAAUAUUAAUAAAAAUAAAAAUAACAAUAAUUAAUAGUAACUAAAAUAAUAAAGUUAAUAAAAUCUAAUAAUAAUAAUAAUGACAUUUAAAAUAAUAAAAUUAAUUGUGAUUUGAACGAGAGUAAUUCAAGAAAUAUGAAAAAAAAUUAGAGGGAUACAAAAGUCAGUUCAGGGAAUGAGAAUCCCCAUUACCAACUCCCCAUGAGAAUGUGAUUUUUAUUCCUUAUUCUCAAAUUGUGUGGGUCCUACACAUUUUAUUCUCAUUCCCAAAUUAUAUUUUGUCAAGUAAUACAUGUGUUUCAUUUAUAUUCAUUCAUUCUCAUUCCCUAAACUCUCAAGUAAACACAUCAUUAAUUUAACCGGAGUCAUAAUAGAGGAAUUAAAAAAUUGACUAGGUUAUAGCAUAAAAUUUAUAAAAUUGAAGAGGCAUUAAAAUGGAGAUUAUAAUAGUUAAAUUUAAAUCAUAAAAUUUAGUAUACCAUAAAAAAGGUCAAAGAAAUAUAUUUUUUUAAAACAUGCAUGCAUCCAUGGUUCCGCCACGGUCAUACCCUAACGCAAACUUAAGACCGGUCUUAACAACGCCAGGUUUUUAAAGGGAGAUGGAGGAAAGAAAGAAAUACUCACUUGAUUCGAGUGCCCUCAAUGCCCCCGUAGACUUGACUCAUGAAUCAGUAGUUACAAGUGAUCGCGUGGAAAUUGUCAACUUGCUGGGCUAAUUAUGCAAUAAUCGUUACGUGUUGUUAUAAACUUAUACUCAACGCAAAUAAGUUGUUGUUUCAGUUAACAAAUUAUUCUAAUUAAUUUUAAGAAAACAUUUAUAUCCGAAAUUGUUUCAUAAUUUGAAUUGGGCAUCAUCAACUAGCAAAUAAUUAAGAGUCAUCAAUAUUUGAAAUGGUAAGAUGUUAAUAGCGAUAAAACCGAGCACGAUUAAUAUUAUAAAAAAAAAGCACAUAACAUGAUGGAUAAUAAUACCAGCAAGAAAGAUCAAUUAUCUCAGAUUAUUAUAAUAAAAUCAGAACAGCACCGAUAUUCAGCACACAAUAAGUACCACAGUAAGCCCCGAACGGUGCGUUUUGUGUGCAAUAUAAAAGGCCACUGUUUGAACAAACAAACACAUUACACGCGCAUCUCACGCUCGCAUUACUCUCACUCUCAUUCACACCAAACCCACUCCUCAUUCAAGCUAGAAAUCUGUACAACUAAUUCUCCCAAGGCAUUUUCUGUUUUACUUGUGGACUGUUCCUCACGGUGUGAAAUCCGUCAGCUCUCUCACGGUAUAUCAUCCUCUUAGCUGUGUGAGGAAUUGAGUUGCAUCUUGGUGAUUGACUUCACUCAUCGUCGAUUGCGGCAAUCAAUUUCUGCAGGUAUGCAUUGGAUGCGUAUAUGCUACAGAUUAGGAGUUAUAGAAUCUUUGUUCAAGACGACUAGUUAAAUCCUAGAUGCACUAAUUGCGAUCCAGGAUAUACUUUUUUUUAAUUUCAUUGAAAAUGAAAAAAAAAAAAAAAAGAACGCAGCCCCCAGGCCACGGCAGCAGCCCAUUUCACUUUAGUUUCAAUUUGCAACCCAUUAUUUUAAUUUAAAUUAAGUUAAACAAAUUACUUAAUGAAAUGGAAAAAUAAAAAAUCAAGACAGUGAUCGGCAUUUUAUCAGUAACGAUUUGGCAUGCAUUUUUGUCCCAAUUAAAGACGACAGAGAAGAGAGAGACCAACGGCGGGAGACCCACGGCCAGAGACCAAUGCCGAGCACCACUGCCUGAGAAAGUUUGAGAAUAGAGACGACAGAGAAGAGAGAGAGCAGACCCACGGUGAGAGACCAACGGUGAGAGACCCACGGCCGGAGACCCACGGCCAGGGACCAACGCCGAGCACCACUGCCUGAGAAAGUUUGAGAACGGAGAUCAAAGAGAGACACGGCAAGAGAAACGGUGAGAUUUCUGUGAUAGCAUGGAGAAAAGGUGUGUGUCGCGUGAGAUUUAUUGCUCGUGUGUUGUGGUGGCUAUGUGUGUAUCACGUGAGUUGGCUCAUUUUAUACUAUGCCCAAAACGCACCGUUUGGUGCUUAUUGUGGUGCUUAACGUGGGAAGAGUCUCAUUUUCCAAAUCAGAAAGGUAGUGGCCCAGCAGGGCCAAGUGGGCGACCAACUUUGGCCCGCAGCAGGUCAGGUCCGUUGAAGGAUAAAGACGGGAGUAUCAAAAUGAAGUGACUGCCCGAGAUUUCAUUUAGCCAUGAUCCUGAUCACGAUCCUAAUCAUGAUCAAGGAGACAAUUAAAUAUAAUUAAGUGGGGUAUGUAUGAAUGGUUAAGGAUUAGAAAGUAUGAACUGGUAAGCAAAGGCAAAUGAAAAGAAGAAAUUGAGAAGAAACAUCAACGUCGAUGUACAAUUAUGUAUUAAUUGUAGUAGCUGACUUAUCUUUUUUUUUUUUUCUCUUUCUCCCCCACCUCCUAAAGUCGGAAAACGCCAACAUUAUGCAUGGUUUGCACAUGGACUCCAUGUCUCUUUCAUGUUUUGUUUAAGAAUGAAACUCAAAUGAGGACAUCCACAUGAGUAUGACAAGUUAUUUAUGAGAUAAUCGAGAAAUUGUCAAGUUAGCAUCUUUCAUGCUGGUUAAGUCAGAUAUUGAACGGUACGACAUCAAUUAUUUGUAAGGCUAUGGUUAUCUUUGAGUUAGCUCCAACGUGAAGUAUUCAUUCACAAUCACAUAAUUAAAAUAAUAAAUAAUAAAAGGUGCGUAAUAUUUUAGUUGUGUGGUUGUGAAGGAGUGCUUUACGGUAGAGUAACUUCAACAUAACCGGAACCUAUUGGUAAAUAUCAUGUAUAAAUAAUAUUUUUUAAAUUUAACAUACUUGUGUUAAAUGUAUAAAAUUUGAAAUUUUAUUAAUUUUAGAUUUUUUCGAAAAAAAUUUAUUUAUUUUUAGUAACUUAUGUUUGAUUUUUAGAUAUUUGUAACUAAAUAUAAAAAAUAAACUUUUGUGACUUUUAUCUGAAUAGAAAAAUAUUUAAACAAGAAGUAAAUAUUAUAUUUCAAAAAUAUCUUUAUAAAAUAUUAUUAAAUUAAGUGCGAAAUUAAAAAUGAUAUUAGUUAUUCAUGGAUCAUAAAUCUUUGGAAAUCCCUUGUUAUUAUUUAUAGAAGGGACGAAUAUUCCUCAAAUAAUUCUGACAGAGAUGGAAACAUAUACAAAUCAGGAAUGGGUACGAAGAUAUCGAUCUUCUCUUUCUCCUCUCCCCAUUACAAUUUAAGGUUUAAACGAAAAAGGAAGCAUGCCGUUUUUAUCAUGAUUAAGUAAGGACGCGUGUCACACGCGCGAUCAAGCUUUUGGAAAAUCAAUUGUGUUGGUUUGGUCUUGGAAAACCUUCGUUCUACCCUCUCUUUUGUUUCAAAGACUUGUAACGAGCAAAACUUACUUGGAAACCCUUGUACUACAAAAAUAGAAGUCAUGUUUGUUGGAUAGAUUUCCAGCUAUGUAUUGCAAUGUUGUUUGUUAAUAGCAAAUGAAUAAUUAAACGAUUUUACGUCAUUCUCAAACUUCAAUAAAAUUGAGCACGUAUACAAAAUAAAACUGAUCAAUAUUUCAAAUUUCGAAGAUCAACAUGAUCUAUAAUACAUAACAACUAGCAAUAUAUAAAUAUCUUCAAGGGCGUGAUUGGGUUAGUUGUAGUGUAGUUGUAACCUCUAUUAAAAUCCGGAUUCAAUUUUUAGGGGUGGUAAGGAGGGUAAAACAUUAUAUUUGGGUUUGCCCACCCUCCUUAUCUUUUUUUUAAAAUAAAAAAAAAAUUACAGAAAGAUAGCUACCAAUACAUAAGAGAUCGAUGAACUAAGAUUAAAAAAUCAGAAGGGUGGGGUUCCACUUGGGCCAAGUGGCCCACCGACCAUUGGUCUGCAGUAGCUUUAAAAAAUGCAGCACAUAAAUACUACCACAAUAAUUAAUAAUGCCCGAAAUAAGUACAAAAAAAAAAUCAAAACUUCUAUUUGUAGGGAUAGCGACGGAUCGGUUUGCUUAUGUAUUAAACUAAACCGAUCAGUUUUUGCCCAAUAUAUAAACCAAAUUGAAUUGGUUCGGUUUGAUUUUUACAAUUCUUUUAUAUUUUUUUAGUUUUUUCAGCUUCCGAUGUUUUUUUUAACCAAUAAGUUUUUAUUAAUUUUUUAAAUCAAACCAAAUUGGAUUGAACCAAAUCACCGAUUCAAUUUUUUCUUGGCAUCAGUUUUUAUACCCACCCCUAAUUUUUUGUACCACCCAAUUCAAUUAAAGUUACCAUAAACAAAUAAGACGGAGAAUACCACCAAAAAAAAAAAAAAAAUGCAAAGUCUCGGCCCUCCUGACAGCAAACCCCAGCCUGGCGGCAUCUUCUUAUCUCUCCCUAAUUAGAGCUUUCUUUAUUUUCGUUUCCUUAGAAAUGCAAUGCAAGGAUAUAUAUAUAUAUAUAUACGCUGAUGGUUAUUGAUCAAGCAGAUGUAGAAAAUAUAUAGUGGUGUGUGUGUGUGUAGAUUCAAGAAAGCUUAAUGGUUAUGGAUUAGAAUUGUGGACUAGCAAAUGGAGAAGGUAAAUGGAAUUUGUUUAAAUGUAUAUGCUAGGGAACUUUUAUUUACACAGCCUGAUGUUCCAUUCCGAUAAUGAAAGACUAGUAAGUAGAAAGAACCAUUUACAUAUGGUUCAUGCAGUGCAUGUUCUAUCUCGAAAUUACACCAAUUAAGCGCUUCAUAUAUGAAUUCGAUAGGAUACAGGCGAGUCAAUUUGAUGAAAAGAUGAACAAAAGAAUGAAAAACAAAACGUAAAUUCAAAUUUCUCGGUUUGCGCUUCAUAUAUGCAUUAAACACAGAACACUUCUAAGUUCUUUGUACGUUAAUAUUUGCAACCAAUCGCUCUAUCAACAAUUAAACGACUCUUGAUAUAUAUCUAUUAAUAUUAUUCGAAGAAUUUGAGUUUCUCUGCUGCAAACAAUAAUGUUUGGCAAACGUAGGACAUUAUAUUUAUUUGUAGGAUGAUUUAUAACAAGAGAUUUCUUAUACAUAUUUUAGCUUUCCUUUUGCUAUUGUAGCUGUCUUACUAUUUUGAGGGGUAAGGUUCAUUAUGUCUCCCCCAACUAGGUAUAAAUUAUUUUUUAUUUUCAAUAAAAUUACCUCGCUCAAGUUUUAUUAAAAAAAAUUGUCUAUUUAAUUAUUUUUUAUUGUUAGGAGGUCCGUCAAAACUUAAAUCGAUCUUUUUAACCUCCCAUCUCUCCAAACUAUUUGAAAACUACUUGAUCUAAGUCCAGGACUUUAAUUCCAACAUAUCUUGAUAAUAUAAUAUGAGUAAUAAAUUGACACUUACUUGGCAAUUAAUUUAAUUAUUAAAAGAUGUCACACGAUUAGCAUUUUGAUGAUUGAUAAACCACAAAGUUAAAUAACACUAUACACAUCAUAAUUAAUGAUAUGUGAAACAAUGAUUUGAGACAAACUAUAUUAACCCCAGUUACGUAAAUGUAAUAUAAUAAAUUAUUAUCGUACAUUAUAUUUCGAAUCCAUCCUUUACACCGUAAGAUCGAAUUAAAAAGUACCAAAUAAAUUAAUGGUUAAUUAGCAUCAUUUUCAUCCGAUUAAGCUUUCAUAAAAUAACAAUGAACAACACCAUCCAAUAACUCAUAAAUAAUAAAUCAUAAUUAACUAUCUUAAACAAAUUCCUUAACAAUUAAAACUACUGUCUUCAUUGCAUAAGCAACAUCAGAGUAAAAGUAAAGCAGUACACAGAACUCUAUGACAAGGUGGCAAUUGGCAUGCAAGAUGAUCACGGAGGUGGUGGGCUGAGCUCAGCUGGGCCAGGAGGUCCAGGUGGGCCCAUUGGACCACCAAGGCAGCCUUGUAGCAACCAGCAGCAGUCAUAACAGACCCAACGACAAGCAAUCAAAUACCAGUAUUAGCUUUUCAGCCACUAAAGAAUCAUUUUUGUCAGUUCGUCAAUUUUUUCGUGAUUGUUCAGCUGCAUCUAAAGUUCCCAUUUUGACACGUGUCAGUGUAUCUUAUAGAACACUUCAACGGUGGGAAUGGGAUUCAAGUCUAAAAGAACAGCAGAUGGAGAAUUUUGAUUUUUGAAAACCUCAACAUCUAAAUUCGAUGUUUAAUUACUUUCCAUGAACCGAUAACUUCACAAAAGCCACCGAAAGAGUCCGGCGGUCCAAGUAGUGGUGGACCCCACGCAGGUGGCCCUCCAGGUCCUCCCGGUCCCAUUGCUAUUUGUUGAUUACUGUUGCCGGCUCUUUAAGCAAAGUUAGUUAACACCAAGGAAAUUAACAAGAGACUUUCAGAAGUCCAAAUUCGCUCUUGCUUGUGUAUAUAGAGAUGCAAAAUGUUUUUAUGUUAAAUGAAAGUGGUACAAAUGCCAGAAGGUUUCUUGUGUUUAUAGAAAGUGCAUGCUUAGGAUUUAAGCAUCCAUCUUUGUUGUCACAUUUGCAUCAAACACUUUCCAACUGGCUAGACUUCUAUAUCUACAUUGAGAAAUGAGAAUGAUAGCUUUUACCCAUCAAAUGCUCAUUCAAUAAAUCAUCUUACCACAUGCACUUUCAUUUUUAUAAUUAACAAUCACAAUAGUGAUUUUGAUAAUUCAAGUGUUAAUCUCUGCAGUUAAAACCUACUAACAACAGUUAAAACUUACUAACAACCUAUGGAGGAUUUGUAUCCUACAGAUAUGACAGAGUGAUUUUUAAAUAAUUUUAUUUGAUUGGCUAGCCGGCUUCAAAUCUUAAGAGAAAUAAAGGAUUUAAACAAAAUGAAUUUAGUCAAAAUGAAUCUGAACUUUACUCACCGCAUUGGAAAAAAAAAAAAAACUACAAAAGGUUUAUCGACAAAAAUCUUCAGUGAUAAUCAAUUAGAUUAUAUUUUACUUUCCGGAAGAUGACAUGUCUCAAAGAGGUUUAAGCCAAGAAAUUUCAAAAACGCAACAACAGAUGAACGGGUGUGAUUAGAAGUGCCACAGAGAAAUGAAAAGAAUACUAUAACUAAUACAUCUAUAAAUCUCAUUUCCAUGAUGACAGUAGCAGUGGGUUACCAAACCCAAUUGAAUUAUAUAUAUAUAUUUACUCGAAAAUUAGGUUAGAGGGAAAACUGAUUAUACAAAUUGUAUAGAAAAAUGGCCAAAAAAGCCGCCUUUCGCCUCUGUAUAUGUCAUGUUAACUAGUAUUCUCUUCCAGAUAAUUCAUCCCUAUACAACUCUGCAAAUCACAAGAAUCCUUCACGAAAU
rnacentral:lncRNA from 1 species